rnacentral:lncRNA from 1 species
AAAGCUUUUUGUUGUGAUAAUAUGUGGAUGGCCCACAUGAAUAGUUUGUUACUAUUUAUGCACAGUAUUUUCACUAUUCAUUUGUGGAAAAUUUGUAAAGUGAAUAGUGCUUUCUUUUGUUUAUAUAAAGGAAGAAGAGGAAUGAAGUGAGGAGAGUUCACGGGAAAGAAAGAGAGGAAGGAAGGAAGAGGAAGAGAGAGAAGGAAGAGGAAGAGAGAGAAUAGAGGAAGAUGAGAGGAGAUAAUAGAGAGAGUUAUCUUUGUACUCCUAUUAUUCUAAAUUAUAAUGGAAGCACCACUGCUGCCCCGAGGACGUACUCCAGUCACACUGACUGUAGAGGAACCUUGUAAAUUUUGUGUCUUGCUUAUUUAUUCCACUGCACACACCGUCGAUUUCACAACACGUUAUCAGCACGAGAAGCUCUCAUGUCAGUGGAAAGCACAAUAUCAUAAAUCUGGUGAAGCAUUAUCUACCUCUCACCUCGGUCAGCUAAAAUCUCACAGAGUAAAGACGGCAAGCCAGACAUGUCAAACAGGGAAGAUCAUCUUGUCACAAAAAUCCAUCAACCUUUCUUUUAUCACUUUUUCUUUUAUCACUCUAACUAUUGAUGUGCUAAUCCUUAUCCCUGCUAGACCUGCAAUCUAUUUUUCUCUCGUGGACAAGAAAGAUGGAGAGAUCUUACAGACAAACAAAGGUGCAGCAAAACAAGCAAAGGUAUGUCCAUUUUUCAUUUCUCCCACCGUGCCAGAAGCGCCCCACCGAAUUCCGGUGCGAAUUGAAAUUUCCAACGACCUGAAGUCGUCACGAGAUAAGAAAACUCGUACCUGACAACUAGUUUCCAGAGAUCCAAAAGAAUCUCAUUAGACUUGGAAACCCAGAUCGUGUCGUUCUCAAUGGAUCUCGAGGACCUCCAUGAAUCCUCAGUUGUCUGAGAUGGUGAUGGCAUGACUGACCCCACACAGGCCUCCCUCUCUUGUGCCUUCGUCAACCUCACUGUCAUCUAUGUCUCUAUGGAGAGGUUCUUGCUUUGCGAUGCCAUGUUCUUUGGGCCAUGCAAGAACAACGCCAGUCUCUGGUAGCCUUUUUGGAUUGAAUUGGUUUUGUGUAACCCCCACAACAACCCAGCUGGUACUGGGUUUCGAGACUGGUAGAGAUAGACAAAGAAAAGGGGAAAUGGGGCCAAUGAUUUAGAAAGGUGCGUUGCACCAUGUAAAAUAAAAGAAAUAAAAACAAAAGUUGUUGGAAUGUUGUAACAUGUGAUUGAAUAAGAAAAUAAUAAAAUAAAAUAAAGGUAAAGGUUUUUGGAUGGUGUUACACCAUCUGAAAAGAAAGAAGAAAAUAUGUAUAUAUUUAUGUGAAUGGUGUUGGCUUAAAACACUUUCACAAGUUCUAUUUAUUUAAAGCAAUUUAUUUACAGUGGGUAGAAUUAUUACCCUUUGCUUUAAAGCUUUGAUAUUUAUGUGCAUGAUGUUGGUUUAAAGCCCAUGUCACAAGUUCUAUUUACUUUAAAACAAUUUAUUUAUCAUGGACGGUUUUACCGCCUACUGCUUUAAGUUUUGAUUUAUGUGAAUGGUGCUGAAUUAAAGCCCUUGUCACAAGCUUUAAUUUAUUUAUUGUUCAAUUUAUUUACUAUGGCUGGAAUUACCGACUAUUGCUUUAAUUUAUUUAUUGUACUUAUCUUUUGUUACAAUGAGUAUAUAUAAGACCCAAAGUUCCUUGAUCAGAUCAGAACCUGCAGUUUCUUGAUCCUCAUCAUAUAAAAUGAUUGGACCCGAAGUUCCAUCAUACAAAAAGAUCAGGCAUGAAGUCCUUUGAUCCUGAAGAUCAGAACAUGAAAUUCCUUGAUGAGUACCUUAAGUUUGAAGUGCCACAGUGCCUCAACUUAAUUAUAAUAAAGGUCAUAAAAGUCUCAGUCCAUAGACUAUUUAAUAAGGACCAGAAGUUCCUUAUGUCCAUACUUAAAAUGGUUUAGCAGAAGCAUUUAUUAAGCGGAUGAAAUUGAUUACCCGCGAUCUGCUCAUGAAAACGAAAUUACCAGUUUUCUACAUGGGGACAUGUCCUUUUACAUGACGCAUUUUUAAGUUCGGAUGAGACCAGUUUCCAACCAUCAAUAUUGCUCAGUACAACUCGUGUUUGGGAACUAGCCAAACAUUAUACAUUUACGGGUUUUUGGUUGUGUUAUCUAUGUGCCUGUAAGACUGCCACAACGUACUGAAAUGAGGCAUCAUCGUAGAUUAGGCAUUGAUGUUGAACACCAUCUAUCAUUCAAUAUUUGGAACCCUUAACUGGGGAUAUGUCUACCGCAUGAUUUGCGGACUAUGAUUUUGAUAAGACAAUUUUCCUGCCAUUAGGGGGAGAAAAUAACAUCGUUCCAGAAGAACGAUGAGAAAAUAUCAUUCCAAAAUAAUGAUGAGAAAAGACCGUUCCAGAAGAACGAAGAGAAUUUGUCUUAUUUUGAUUCACGAAGCAAUCAAUGAGAAAAUGAAAUAUGAAUAAUUGAAUGAUGCAACGAAAGUGAUGAAAUCAUAUAUACUUACUGCAAAUGUGCCUACAAGAAUUGAUGUCUCUGUUGGAUAAAAUAAUGAGACAGUAAAUGAUUUAUCUGUUGCACGCCUGAAGCAUGGCAGAUUUUUAGACUCAAAAGGUUCAGUUAUUCGAAAGAAGAAUAAUAUGACACUAUUGAACUAUUGCAUUCCCGAAGCAUAACUGUUGCAUGCCAGAAGCAUAACAGUCACUGCAUGGAUACACGUCCCAGAUAGGACAAUCCACAGACAUGGGAAUGUUGAUGUCUCAUACAUGGAGCAUAAUAGACAUAUAGGUUCCAAUGACUCAACUCCCGGAAGUGGAGAUUAAAAUCCAAGCUCUAUAACGCUCAAGAGGAGGUUAUGAUCCACAUUCUCUAAAUUAUGACUAUCCUGGAAGAGAUAGCGUCAUGCCCUUGAAGAGGCAAUGGAUAUCCAAAGAAAUGAAAAGCUUUUAUGCAUGCCCAUGCACAUGAGAAUAUGGGAUCACGGAUUGAUGAUAACCAAUGGUAAUUUUGGUUUUUACAAGUAGCUACUAAAUUCAUCAAUGAGCUAUGUUAAUAUUGAGCCACGUUCUUUUGUUUGUCGACAAAAGAAAAAUUAUUGGCCAAAAUGGAGAAAGGCAAUUUCAUUACAAUUUUGUAAGAACGUGGGCAAAUGAACCUAUAUAUAUUUGAAUACAAUACAAAUAGCCAAAAGAUGUUGAACCCAGGAGGUUACAUUGGGCAUUUGUAAUACAGUGAAAUACACUCACAUGAUAUGACACAAGGUUGUAAACGAGUUCAUAUGAAUGGAGAAUUAUAUACGAAGGGUUGUGAGUCGCCCACAUUAUAUCUCCAUAAGUAAAUCCCUCAAGUAUACAUGAGAGCAAAUUGCUCUGUAUAAAUUCCAAAGGAAAAUGUGUCAUGAAGUGUAGAAAACCCUUGAAGGAUUCAAAUUGCUUGAAGUAAGCCUCUGAAGGGUAAAACAUAAAAUAUGUACUCAAUACCAAUGGAUGAUAUAAAUUGCCUUAGUGAGUACUAUCAUUAUGAUAUUGUUGCAACAUACUAAAAUCUCUUGCAAGAGUCAAUGACAUUAAAUUAUAACUCUUGAAGAGUUGAUGAUAUUAAAUUGGGACUCCUGAAGAGUCUAGAAAAAUUAUAAAGUGUUGAAGGAAUUAUUGUCUCGAGCUGCAGAUCGAACAAUCUACCAACACGAAUCUUAUCCAUGAUAUUUGUGAUAUUAAAAGAACCAUAUGGAUUGAAGAUUAUGAGUUGAAUACUCAUAUGAUUUAGACACUAAGAACGAUCAUUUAUCUUCGUGAAUGUAAAGAUAAAUUGAUAUUUGGUCCAGAAGUACCACAUCUUAGUGAAGUAUAUGCUUUAUUGUAUUUGGCACAAUACAUUGAAUGAAAUAAAGCUUAUUUAUUAAUAUCUCCAAGAAAUUACAGAUAUAUACAUACACAUGAGUUAAAACAAACAAACAGGAUGGAGCCUUCAUAAAGGUUGCUCAUGUGAAGCCUCAGUACUCGGAAGUACCCCAGAAGGGGGAGGCACUGGAGAUUGAUCAUGUGGCACCCCAGUACUUAGCAAAACACCAGAAGGGGAAGGCAUCAGUUGCUUUCGGAAUCUAGCAACGAACCUCUGGUGAUCACUUUGAAUCCGAUUUUCGGAUUCCUGCAGUUGGACGAGCUUUCUUUUCAUGCUCAUAGAGUAACUAUUUGCAAGCACGUGUAACACCCUAUUCUCGUGCUUGAGCCCUCUGAUCUCUUGUUUAAGACUUGCCACCUCCUCCAUCAAUGAUUCAACUUGGCGAGUUUGAGCAAGUAGGCGUUGGCCCAUAUUGGACAUAGAGCCAGCACACUGAACACUGAGAGCCAAGAAGUCUUGAACGGCCGACUCUUCAGACCGUUCUGAAAGGAUCUUGUUAUCCCUUGGAGUAAGAAGAUUCCUAGCUACCACAGUAGCGGUUAUGUUAUUCAUCACAGAGUCCCCAACCGUAAGAGGACCAUUAGAAGAUAAGAAGGACGGGCGCCAUAUAUUAUCUUGAUGCUGCUCGUCUGUAUCACUCCUAAGACUCAAAUCUAAGCAAAUGUUAGAUGGGCAAGUCAUUUUUCAGAAAUGAUGAAGGAAAAAUAGAGGUCAAAUAAAAUUUCAAAGGUGCAAGAUAGAGGAAAUUUCUACAAGCAGCAACUUUCUGAGCAUACUCUUGAACAUAAUUGAUGUCUCUAUAAAAGAAGAGGCAGCAGAGCCACUCGUUCAAAGAUCGAAGAGGCACCGCUCUUCGAAUUUCAAAAGCCAGAUUUUCCUGAAUAAAGUUCGUUGGCAUUUUUCAGACGUAAUCCCAGCUUUUUCAGAUGUCGCGUGCAAUUUUGUCAAAGAUCUCUGACAAAGUUGAAAACACGUAAAUCUUACUGUUCUAUUUACACCACAGUUGCUGACAGGAGUAAAAGCACAGCACCACCACUUGCUAUUGAGAAAUCUCUAUAUAUGUCGACCUCUGUUCUCCAUAACAAGGCAGACCUGCAACACUGCAAGAAUACUCAACUCUUCCUCAUCUCCGAGAAUGCAUCUUCAACAUAGCAUCUCGAAAUACUCAGUUUUCUUCCUCUCCGAGAAUACCUCUUCAAACAUGUCACACCAGAGCAAGAUUAUCACAUAUCUUCAGGGACCAGAGCAAGAUUAUCUCAUAUCAUGCAAUCUCCCUGUCUUUUCUUUUGUCCUUGUUCUUACCUGCAAAGACAAGGAUAAAGAAAGCAGUAUGUCGGAACCUCCACUCAAACUCCAGGUAAGGAACAAACUGCUUGGAACCUUUCCCGAUUGCUUACCUAGCUCUUGAGUAGUCAUCUUCAACUGUUGUUGGAACUGGGUCUCCGGUCACCAAGAAGUGAUGAACCAUCCAAAUGCAAGGGUUUGCAUUCCACUUCUGCACCAGGGGACAAAUCCUACAAGAGAAGAUGCCACAUAUGCAUGGGGGGAAAAGCAGUGAAAAUACUACUUAAGCAAGGGGAGCAAGUAAGGAAAGUGAAAAUGAUGCAUUGAAGCAUGUGGAGACAAGUGCAAUGAACAUAUGCUGAUUCAUCCCCAACUAAGCCGAAUAUCACUUGUCACGUGAAGCUCCUCAUGGUCCAAUUUCAUUCAAGAUCAAGCCUCGAAAGUCCUUGAAGAAAUCAAAAGUCGGAUUCAAGAUCAAGUGUCCACCACACUUGAAUCAAAUCUGCUCCAGAUCAAAGGAGUAAAUUCAGACCUUUGGAUGCAAGUCUAGUAGAAAGUCCUACAACCCAGUUCAAGAAAAAGCCUGUGGAAAGUUAACAACAAGUAAAACACCUUUUUCGGCAACUCUCCCCGCUAAGAGACUGAAGCAGAAUGAUCAGUGAUCAGCCUAAAUGAUUUGAAAUCAGGGGGAGAUACUCAUCAAGGGAAGCAUCCAAAAACAGAUCAAGAUUUUAACGAAUCAAUCGAAGACUUAUGACCAUCCAAGGGGGGGUGUUGUGAUAAUAUGUGGAUGGCCCACAUGAAUAGUUUGUUACUAUUUAUGCACAGUAUUUUCACUAUUCAUUUGUGGAAAAUUUGUAAAGUGAAUAGUGCUUUCUUUUGUUUAUAUAAAGGAAGAAGAGGAAUGAAGUGAGGAGAGUUCACGGGAAAGAAAGAGAGGAAGGAAGGAAGAGGAAGAGAGAGAAGGAAGAGGAAGAGAGAGAAUAGAGGAAGAUGAGAGGAGAUAAUAGAGAGAGUUAUCUUUGUACUCCUAUUAUUCUAAAUUAUAAUGGAAGCACCACUGCUGCCCCGAGGACGUACUCCAGUCACACUGACUAUAGAGGAACCUCGUAAAUUUUGUGUCUUGCUUAUUUAUUCCACUGCACACACCGUCGAUUUCACAACACUUUUUGAAUUAUUAUUUUUUUAAUUAAAAGAACUAAAAAUAAGAGGCGUUUUGACAGACUUAAAAUACCUCUUUUCCUCCCCUUCCUCUUCUCUUCCAUGGCGACUGCAAUGCUGCCAAUAUCCGAGCCCGCCAGAAAGCAACCCCGACCGGGUCGGGGCGGAUUCAAUGCCCAUGGACCAUCCGAAAAAGAGGCCCGGGUUCAAGCCAUCGCCGAAAUCGUCAGCUCCAUGGUCGACCUCUCCCGGAAGGGCCAAAACGUCGACCUAAACGGCCUCAAGACCACCGCGUGCCGCAAGUACGGCCGUUCACGUGCCCCCACAUCGCCAUCACCGGGAAUAUUUGCGUGUACUGCCCCGGUGGUCCCGAUUCGGACUCUGAGUACAGCACUCAGUCUUACACUGGAUACGAGCCUACUAGCAUGCGCGCAAUUUGGGAAAGGUAUGGCUUUCUCUAGUUCAUUGACGCAUUUUAUCGAACACUUGAUGGGGAAUUCAAGUUUUAUUUAUUCAUCAUUCGUUUCAAAGCUUAAAGUUUUUGGCUUGAUUGAUUUUUCACCAUGAAGUUGAGAGCUUUGUAAUGAAGAGAUUAUUUGAAGGAAUUGGUGUUUAAAAUUGGAUUAGUGAAGUUAAUUUGGUAGUUAAUCUUUUGGUUUUGUGUGCUUAGAUACAACCCAUAUGUCCAGGCUAGAAGCAGGAUAGAUCAGCUGAAGACAUUGGAUCACAGUGUAGACAAGGUUUGGCCUGUUCUAUGUUUAGAGCUUAAAGAAUUUAUUUUCGGGUUUGCAGAUUUCCAUGAUAGAGUAAUAUGCAUAGUUGUCGCCUCAUAACUGGUACUGAAUUUAUGUUUUCAGGUUGAGUUCAUCUUAAUGGGCGGUACUUUCAUGUCGUUGCCCGCGGAUUACCAUGAUUACUUUAUUAGAAAUCUGCAUGAUGCGUUAUCGGGACACACUUCUGCCAAUGUUGAAGAGGCAGUUGCCUACUCUGAGCAUGGUGCUACUAAAUGUAUUGGAAUGACCAUUGAAACGUGAGUUUUUAGUUUAUUUUAGAAGCCAUUAAUUUCUCAUUCUUGUGUUUAACUUGGUUGACAGUAAUUUUUAGCUUACAUUCUAGUUUCCAGUUCAUCUGGUUGGUCCAGAAAGUUAACGAAGGUAGUUGUAACUUUUUAUUCUGCCGGAGGCCAGAUUAUUGCCUUGGACCUCACUUGAGACAAAUGCUUUCUUAUGGUUGUACAAGACUAGAAAUUGGAGUUCAGAGUACAUACGAGGAUGUGGCUCGGGACGCCAAUAGAGGUCAUACCGUAGCUGCAGUGGCUGAUUGUUUUUGCUUGGCAAAGGAUGCUGGUUUUAAGGUCAGCCUAGUACCUCACAGAUUUUGGACCUUUUAUAUCAUAAAACUCACUUACCUUCACCAUGGGAAAAGAAAGGAUUUUGGACCUUUUAUAUGUACAGUGACAGGAGAUUAAUCUUUCAUCAAAACAAUUUGUGAGCCUGGAUAUAUUUUUCAAAUUAUUGUGCUCUCCCAUAAUUCAGCGUGAAUAUUUUAUCAUAAUCUAGUUGGUUUUGGUAUUACCAUUCACUUUGUCUAAGUUCAAGAAGAAGCAUUUGUUUGUAAUUGUAUGACCGUAAUCUUUAUGAACUGCAAUAUUAAAAGCCUUGAGGACUGUUUACAAUAUGCAUUUUUGCUGUGUAUUCCUGUCGUUCAUUCUGAGUUACUUUUGUUUCACACUAAUAAUUUUAUGCAUUUGAUCACGUCGAAUCCUUAUGAAAAUGAAUUCAGAACAAAAUUGCGCUAAAGCUAGGGCGUCACCCGUAAGUGGCGCGCUGUGUGGCCCGAGCACAGUGAUAAGUGAGCAAGGGUCGCUGUAUCUCCAUUGGCACCCGGAUGCAGUGUUAAAUGAGCAAGGGGGCCAUAGAAACUUUUUUUCGAACGACUCCACUCCAAGUUGUUUGGGAGCAUAUGCUCCUAUCAACUUUACACGGGACACACAAAAGAAGUACUUUGAUCCUAUUAGACGGGGGAGGGUGAAGAAGCUAGGACAGAAGGGUAGAGUUCAAGAGAGCAAAAUGCGUUUAGGAACGUGGAAUAUAGGAACCUUAACGGGAAAAUCUAUGGAAGUAGUGGAAGUUAUGGUGAAGAGAAGGAUAAAUAUUAUGUGCCUACAAGAAACUAAGUAGGUUGGUAGUAAGGCAAAUGAUCUAGAAAACUCAGGGUUUAACUUUGGUAUUCGGGCACAAAUAGAACGAGAAAUGGUGUUGGCAUCAUCGUGGACAAGACCUUGACACAAGAUGUUGUAGAUGUCAAGAGGGUAGGAGAUAGAAUCAUGGCAAUCAAGAUUGUAAUAGGACAAGAACUUAUCAAUGUGAUUAGUGCGUACGCACCUCAAGUAGGGUUGGAUACGAGUUCGAAGGAGAAAUUUUGGGAAGACCUUGGAGACUUGGUGCAAGGAAUUGCUCAGACGGAGAAGUUAUUUAUAGGAGGAGAUUUAAAUGGACACGUGAGCAGGGAGACAGGCAACUAUGGAGGUUUUCAUGGUGGCCAUGGUUUUGGGGAGAGAAACGAGGAUGGGGAAGCUAUCUUGGAUUUUGCAAUGGCAUAUGAUCUCUUCUUAGCCAACACCUUCUUUAAGAAGAGAGAAGAACAUGUGAUCACCUACAAGAGUGGGUCGUAAAAAACACAAAUAGAUUUUCUUCUAAUAAGGAAAGGGGAUCGUAUAACUUGUAAGGAUUGCAAAGUUAUACCAGGAGAGAGCGUGGCUAAUCAACAUCGCUUGUUGGUGAUGGAUGUACAUAUCAAAAGAGUGAGACAAAAGAACAAGACUUGGAAGUGCCCAAGGACUAGAUGGUGGAAUCUAAAAGAAGAAAAACAAGUCAUUUUCAAAGAGAAAGUAAUCACCCAGUGUGUGUGGGAUAGAGAUGGGGAAGCUAGCCAAAUGUGGGAUUCCAUGGCUAGUUGUAUCCGAAAAGUAGCAAAAGAGGUAUUAGGAGAGUCCAAGGGCUUUGCCCCACACCAAAAGGAAUCUUGGUGGUGGAAUGAGGAGGUACAAACAAAGGUGAAGGCUAAGAAGGAAUGUUGUAAAGCCUUAUACAAGGAUAGGACUGAUGAAAAUGGUGAAAGGUAUAGAAAAGCGAAGCAAGAGGCGAAGAAAGCUGUGAGAUAAGCUAAGUUAGCGGCUUACGACGAUAUGUAUAAACGACUAGAUACCAAAUAAGGAGAGUUGGAUAUCUAUAAACUAGCUAGAGCAAGGGAAAAGAAGACAAGGGACCUAAACCAAGUGAGGUGCAUCAAGGAUGAGGAUGGAAAGGUUCUUGCUACAGAGAACGCGGUUAAAGACAGAUGGAGAGGUUAUUUUCAUAAUCUUUUCAAUGAAGGACAUGAAAGGAGUGCUUCUUUAGGGGAGUUGAGUAACUCAGAAGAGUGUAGAAACUACUCUUUUUAUCGUCGAAUCUGGAAGGAAGAAGUGGUUGUAGCUUUGAAGAAGAUGAAGCAUAGAAAAGCAAUAGGCCCAGACGAUAUACCAAUCGAAGUGUGGAAAGUUUUGGGAGAGACAGGUAUAACAUGGCUCACUGACCUUUUCAAUAGGAUUUUGAAAACGAAGAAGAUGCCAAAUGAGUGGCGAACGAGCACUUUGGUGCCUAUCUACAAGAAUAAGGGCGACGUACAAAAUUGCAUGAACUAUAGAGGUAUUAAGCUAAUGAGUCAUACAAUGAAGCUCUGGGAGAUAGUCAUUGAGCAUAGAUUGAGGCAAGAGACACGGGUUUCGGACAACCAAUUCGGGUUCAUGCCAGGGCGCUCAACCAUGGAGGCAAUCUAUCUCUUACGAAGAUUGAUGGAAAGAUAUAGAGAUGGGAAAAAGGAUUUACACAUGGUCUUUAUAGAUUUGGAGAAAGCGUAUGAUAGGGUCCCAAGAGACAUUCUUUGGAGGAUUUUAGAGAAGAAAGGAGUACGAGUAGCAUAUAUCCAAGCUAUAAAGGAUAUGUAUGAAGGAGCAAAGACUGCCGUAAGAACUCAUGAAGGACAAACUGAAAGCUUUCCCAUAACUGUAGGAUUACAUCAAGGCUCAUCCUUAAGUCCUUACCUUUUUGCGUUGGUAAUGGAUGAGUUAACAGGACAUAUUCAAGAUGAUAUUCCUUGGUGUAUGCUUUUCGCAGACGAUAUAGUGUUGAUAGAUGAAACUCAGGAAGGGGUAAAUGCAAAGCUUAACCUUUGGAGAGAAGAGUUGGAAUCUAAAGGUCUUCGCCUAAGCCGAUCAAAGACAGAAUAUAUGGAGUGCAAGUUCAGUGCAAAUGGAGGCCAAAACGAGUUAGGGGUGAGGAUCGGAGAUCAAGAAAUACCAAAGAGCGACCGUUUUCGUUACCUAGGAUCUAUCUUGCAAAAGAGCGGAGAAUUAGAUGGAGAUCUCAACCAUAGAAUACAAGCUGGAUGGAUGAAGCGGAAGAGUGCAUCUGGCGUGUUGUGUGACCGCCGUAUGCCACUGAAGCUCAAGGGAAAAUUUUAUAGGACGGCAAUAAGGUCGGCGAUGCUGUAUGACACAGAAUGUUGGGCGGUGAAGCGUCAACACGUACACAAAAUGGGUGUAGCAGAGAUGAGGAUGCUUCGUUGGAUGUGUAGGCACACGAGAAAGGAUAAGAUUAUGAAUGAGGAUAUCUGGGGUAAAUUAGGAGUAUCCGAAAUUGAAGGAAAGAUGAGAGAAAAUCGGUUACGGUGGUUUGGACAUGUGUAAAGAAGGCAUACUGACGCUCCGAUUAGAAGAUGCGACUAUGGGACAGAGGUUCAGGGCCGAAGGGGUAGAGGAAGACCUAGGAAAACUUUGGAAAAGACUCUAAGAAAAGACUUAGAGUACUUGGAUCUAACGAAGGACAUGACACAGGAUCGAGCACAAUGGCGUUCUAAGAUUCAUAUAGCCGAUCCCACUCAGUGACUUGGAUUUUCCAAGUCUCCAACCGAGAAGUUUUCCUCACUCAGGAAAUUAAGGGAACACUACCUCAACCUAUAUGCUCCACUCACAAAGCUUCAACAAAAGAAAAUUCAAAGAACUUAGCGAAGAAGGCUUUGGUGUAUUUAACACAAUACGUUGAAAUGAAGGAGAGCUUAUUUAUUGAUAUCCCCGAUAAGCUACAAAUAUGUACAUAUACAUAAGUCAAAAUAAACAAACAAGAGGGAGCCUUCACAAAGGUUGCUUAGGAGAAGUCUCAGCAGUCGGUAGAGCCCCAGAAAGAGAAGGCACCAGAGGGGGAUCAUUCGGAGCCUCAGUACUGGACAGAACCCUAGAAGGAGGAGGCAUCAGAGGUUGAUCAUUUGGAGCUUCAUUACGCGGUACAGCCCCAGAAGACGAAGGUAAUAAAUGCCUUUGGAAUAAACCCACAAAUCUCUGAUGAUCAAGUAAAACCUGACCAUCAGAUUCCUUCAUCUGGUCAAGCUUCCUCUUCAUGUUUGUAGCAUAGUCAUGUGCGAGCCGGUGCAACUGUUUAUUCUCAUGCUUGAGCCCUCUAAUCUCCUGUUUGAGACUCAUCACUUCAGUCGCCAAUGAUUCAACUUGGCGGGUUCGAGCAAAUAGGCGUUGGACCAUAUUAGACACAGAACCUGCACACUGAACAUUGAGAGCCAGAGAAUCCUUAACAGCUAACUCAUCAGACCGUUUGGAAAGUAGUCUGUUAUCUUUGGGAGUGAGAAGGUUCCUGGCCACUACCGCAGCGGUCAUAUCAUUCUUCAUCACGGAAUCCCCAACGGUAAGAGGACCAGUAGGGGAGACGAAGGAUGUACGCCAUAUGUUGUCAGGAGAAGGCGGGGCUGCCUCUUCAACAAGGUUCAAGUCAAAACGACGGUCGGAGGGGCCAGACAUUUUCAAAGGUGUUGAAGAGAGAAGAGGUCGGACAAAUCAAGAUCUUAGAAGUGCAAGAAUGGAGCUUCUACUGGUGGAGAUUCAAGGGUGCUUUGGAACUUAAUGCCAGCCUCUAUAAAAAUCUGCACUCGACGGAGCUUCAGAAAUCGAAGAGGCGCCUGCUCAGAAAUCGAAGAGGCGUUUGCUUUCUCAAAAGCAAGGCUGCUCAGAUACCACGAGGGUCGAUCUCAGAAAUCGAAGAGGUGUUUGCUUUCUCAAAAGCUGGGCUGCGCAAAGACCACGAAGGCCGAUCUCAGAAAUCGAAGAGGCGCUUGCUUUCUCAAAAGCUGGGCUGCUCAGAGACCACGAGGGCCGAUCUCAGAAAUCGAAGAGGCACCUACUUUUCCAGCCUUGUCAGCACCUGUCACACGCACACUCAGCUUUGCGGAAAUUAUGGGCAUUCGGUCGAAGACUUCUGGUGAAGUAGAAAGCACAUGAGUCUUACUGUUCAAUCACCCACUUCCCACACGCAACAGUAGCUCAUGGGUACCACAGAUAACUUUGCCAAAGUUCUCUGCCAAAGUUGAACACGUGAAGCUUGCAGCUCCCACUACAUCGCUCUGACCAAGAAGGGUAAAAGAAUAGCAAAGAAACAACACUAACAAAGUUUAGACACAUAAAUUUUGAAGGUCUAGCUACCAUAUUAUUACCCACAAGGGUAAAGGAACAGUACCACCACUGGAUAAUUGGAAAGUCCCUGUGUGUCAACCUCUGUGCUUCGUGGCAAGGUAGAUUAGCAAACAUGCCCAACCUUUAAUCACAUUCGAGAAAACACUCCCAACAAGAUUGCUUGCUCCAAAAUCGAAGAGGCACCGUCCUCCGAAUCUCGAGAGCCAGACUCCCAACAUGCCUACUUUCUCAAAAAUCGAAGAGGGUAAAGGAACAGUACCAUUGCUGGAUAAUUGGAAAGUCCCUGUGUGUCAACCUCUGUGCUUCGUGGCAAGGUAGACUAGCAAACAUGCCCAACCUUCACUCACAUUCGAGAAAACACUCCCAACAAGAUUGCUUGCUCCAAAAUCGAAGAGGCACCGCCCUUCGAAUCUCGAGAGCCAGACUCUCAACAUGAUUACUUUCCAAAAAAUCGAAGAGCCACCGCUCUCCGAAUCUCGAGAGCCACACCCCCAGCAUGAUUGCUUUCUCAAAAAUCGAAGAGGCAUCGUUCUCCGAAUCUCGAGAGCCAGAUCCCCGAUAGGAUUGCUUGUUCGAAAAUCGAAGAGGCAACACUUUCCCAACUUCAAGAGCCGGAUCUCCUUGGAUAAAGCUGUCUGUAAUCUUCACACGCAACAUCAGCUUUCCAGAUACCACAAACCACUUUUUCAAAGUGCUCUGACAACGUUAAAACAUGUGAAGCUGGCAGCUCCCACUACUGUGCUAUGACCAAGUAGGGUAAAGGAAUAGCAUUACUACUUGUUAAGGAGACUCCUAUAUAUGUCGACCCCCAUCCCCAACGGACAGGCAGACCUGCAAAAAUGCUCAACCCUUCCUCAUAUCUGAGAGGGCACUCCCAACGAAGCCUUUCGAAAUAUUCAGCUUUCUUUCCCCCCGAUAAUACCUCUACAAACAAGCUAUACUAGAGCAGAAUAUCUCAUAUCAUCAAGGUUAAAAGCAAGAGUAUCCCAUAUCCUGCUUUUUCCCUGUCUUUUCCUUUGACCUUGUUCUUACCUGCAAGAUAAGGAGAAAGAGAGCAAUCAGUCAGUACUUGGAAUCAAGCUUCCAUCCAGGAACUGACUGCCUGGAACCCCUUACCUGAUUACUUACCUGACAUUGCUCUCGAGUACUCAUCUUCAACAUCUUAUGCUUCCAGGGAAGAUACCGCAUCUGCCUGAGGAACAGAUAGGGCAAGGGAGAAGGAUACAAGGAAGCAUGUGGAGACAAGCGUAACAGCACACGUGCCGAUACAUCCAUUACUCUGUCAAAGCAAAAGUAUCCCAUAUCAGCAGGGUCGAACGUACUCUAGAUUUGAUGGACUUGUUUUGACCCUCAAAUUCUUCAGUCGGCCUUAUACUCUAGAGGAAACCAGAAAACCCUUCAGCUCAGUUCAAGAAUAAGCCUGUGGAAAGUUACUUCUUCAAAAGCAAAAGUAUCCCAUAUCAUCUCUUCUCAUUUUCUUCUCUUUAUCCUUCAUGCUGCCUGCAAGAUAGGGAGACUGUGAACAAUCAGCCGGAGCUAUGAUUGCUUACCUUGUCUGUCACCUCUUUCAACAGAUCCCCUAGCUCGGCGACUUGGGGGACUCCUACUACAUGGUUUGUAUCGUGCUUGACCAAGCCUGAAACUACAAGUAAGCUUCAAGUGAAAUUGAUACAUUACCUUGUGCAUCUCCACCAGUUAAAGAUACCACCCCUGGAUGGAGGAAGAGUACUUCCAGAGAAGAUGCCCUAUCUACUUAUGAGACAGAUAAGGCACGUCAAGACGAUACCACACUCCGAUACUUAGAAGUUUCGUGAUUACGAGAUCAUUCUCCCACAAUAUUUCCUAAUGUCAUUUGUACUAAAUCAUUCACUUGUACUCACUAAAGGAGAGCUUGAACCUAUGUACUUGUGUAAACCCUUCACAAUUAAUGAGAACUCCUCUAUUCCGUGGACGUAGCCAAUCUGGGUGAACCACGUACAUCUUGUGUUCGCUUUCCUAUCUCUAUCCAUUUAUAUACUUAUCCAUACUAAUGACCGGAGCAAUUUAGCGAAGAUCACAAAAAGCGACCGUUUUUGCUACCUAAAAUUUAUCGUGCAAGAGAACAGAGAAUUAGAUGGAGAUCUCAACCAUAGAAUACAAGCUGGAUGGAUGAAGUGUAAGAGUGCAUCCGGCGUGUUGUGUGACCGUCAUAGGUCACUGAAGCUCAAGGGAAAAUUUUAUAGGACGACAAUAAGGCCAGCGAUGUUGUAUGGCACAGAAUGUUGGGCGGUGAAGCAUCAACACGUACAAAAAAUGGGUGUGGCGGAGAUGAGGAUGCUUCGUGGGAUGUGUGGGCACACGAGAAAGGAUAAGAUUGGGAAUGAGGAUAUCCGAGGUAAAGUAGGAGUAGCCGAAAUUGAAGGAAAGAUGAGAGAAAAUCGGUUCCGGUGAUUUGGACAUGUGCAAAGAAGGCAUACUGAUGCUCCGGUUCGAAGAUGUCACUACUGGACAGAGGUUCAGGGCCGAAGGGGUAGAGGAAGACCUAAGAAAACUUUGGAAGAGACUCUAAGAAAAGACUUAGAGUACUUGGAUCUAACGGAGGACAUGACACAAAACCGAGCGCAAUGGCGUUCUAGGAUUCAUAUAGCCGACCCCACUUAGUGGAAAAAGGCUUUGUUGUUGUUGUUGUUGUUGUUGUUGCUCUAGGUGGUUGCAUGCAUGAUGCCUGAUCUUCCAAAUGUAGGGGUGGAGAGAGACAUGGAGAGUUUUCAGGAGUUCUUUGAAAGCCCCUCGUUCAGAGCAUAUGGGCUUAAAAUUUAUCCAACACUCGUGAUCCGUGCAACUGGACUCUAUCAGCUUUGGAAAACGGGCAGGUAUAGAAAUUACCCACCUGAGCAACUUGUGGACAUUGUAGCUCGGAUCGUAGCCGUGGUCCCCCCUUGGACGCGUGUUUAUAGAGUUCAGUUAGACAUUCCAAUGCCUUUAGUUACUUCUGGGGUUGUGAAAGGAAAUCUUCGGGAGUUAGCUUUGGCUCGGAUGGAAGACUUGGGCUUGAAGUACCGUGAUGUUCGUGCACGAGAGGCUGGAAUUCAGGUAUGUGGGUAGUCAUUCUUGUUUGAACGUGUUUUAUGCAACUGAGGCCACAAACAUGACCCCUCAAAUCCCUAAAAAAAUCUUUAUAGAACAUUUUUGCUGGUUCUAGGACAUACAUCACAAAAUUAGGCCAGACCAAGUGGAGCUUGUUUGUGGGGAUUAUAUGGCAAAUGAAGGAUGGGAAACAUUUCUUUCAUAUGAAGAUACUCGUUGGGUAUUCGUUCUUUUUAUGUGAGAGAGUGCUUCGUCACACGAAAUGUGUAGCGAUUUGUAUAGAUUAUAGGGAUUAUAUUUGAUUAGCCUUAUUAGGUUUUUAUUUGUUUCCCUGUAUAGUCUACUUACUUGUAUAACACUCUUUGUAAACCCUAUUUAUACUCUAUUCUCAAAGAGAAUAAUAUAUCAUAAUUUUACCCAUAUACUGUUUGACUUGGCAUCAGAGAAGUAAAGUUCUGGUGACCGUGCGUGCCCACCAAAACCAAAAAAAACCUCCUACCCGUGCAAAACCCUAAUUUGAGAAACUCUAAAUCUUGCCGUUGCUGUGGAAAUUUUUCUGUGAAAAUUUUCUGCGUUCGUGUCUUGUUGUGUUGAUUGUUUCCGCUGUUAUUUGGUGUGUGUGUUCUACAACCAUGGCUGGUGAUGAUGUUGUUAAACCCAACUUCGGUUCAUCUGGUACCAAGGAUGAACGACCCUACCGUGAUUAUUCUGCUCCUAUUGCACAAGAGAAAUUAGAUGGCUCCAACUAUGUCUCCUGGUCUCGUAACGCCUUUCUUACGAUAACUGGACCACGUAUGGCGGGGUUUAUCAAUGGCAAAAAACUUGCUCCUAAGGAUGGUGAUUCUGUGGAAUACUCCGAAUGGGAAGAGGAUAAUUGUUUGGUACAAAUAUGGCUUCUCAACUCUAUGACUCGGAGUGUGAGAAGUCUCUUUGAGCGUUGUACUUCAGCAUAUGAUGUGUGGGAGGCUGCAAGGAAGACUUUUACAGUCACCCAAAACAGCUCCUGGUUGUUUCAACUUCGAAGACAGUCCGUGACUACAACCCAAAAUGGUGAAUCUGUUGCUAUGUUUUAUGAGGAGCUUCAUGUUAUCUGGGAGGAGAUUGACAAUCUUCGUGCUAACCCACAUACCAAUCCUAAGGAUGUGGCUCUUCGACAUAAGGAAAUUGAAUCUGAGAGGGUGUAUGAUUUUCUUGGAGGGCUAGAUCCACAGUUUAAUGGUGUUCGUAGCCGUAUCUUGGCUAUGACUCCGGUGCAUUCUGUCUUGGAGGCGUAUGCAUUGGUCGUGGAAGAAAGCACACGUCAAGUCACUAUGCUUGGGGUGCUGCUGCUUUGAAGAUUGGUACAAGCCAGCAUCAGACAAAUGGUGCUUCCUCAACUGGCGGUGGUGGUCGUCAGUCGUCCCUUGUGAGUGCACGUUCCGGAGGCUCUUCGAACUCCAAGUCUGCCGUCUCCCGCCCUCCUGCAGCAAAGGCUCAACCUGGUUCUCGUGAAUGUGCCCAUUGUAGAGGUGAUCAUCUUUUAGAAAAAUGUUUCCAGCUUCAUGGUGUUCUAGAUUGGUUUCCUGAGUACAAGGCCCAUAAGUUUGGACCCAAAGCUGCUCAUGUCGUGACUGCAGACGAGCUUGAGUCGCCUCGUCCUUCCAUGAAUUUGAGUGUGAUAAAUUCCGUACCAGGUAACAGUUCCAAUACAUGGAUAAUUGACACUGGUGCUACUGAUCAUGUGACUUAUAAUUUUAAGAUUUUUGAUGAGUUGUCUAGCCAAACUUGUGACCCUUCUAUCACGUUUGCCAAUGGUAUGCCGUCUCCAAUUACUGGAGAAGGCACAAUCACACUUACCCCUACCUUGUCCCUGGCACAUGCGUUUUUGGUACCCAAUAUUAAUUGUAAUUUAUUAUCUGUGGGACGAUUACUGGACUCACUAAAUGCCUAUGCUACUUUCUAUCCUACAUGGUGUAUGUUUAAAGAUCUCAAAACCCACGAGACGAUUGGACGUGGUAAAAGGAUAGGGGGUUAUACUACUUGACUCUACCAACAGACGUGGUUCAUGGUAGUCUUGCUAAUAAAGUUCAGAGUGGCAGUGACAAGGACAAGCAUGAGUUGUGGUUAUGGCAUCGUCGCUUGGGACACCCUUCUUUUGGAUAUCUUAAACCUUUAUUUCCUUCACUAUGUCGUUCAUAUGAUGAGACUUGUUUUAAGUGUGAAACAUGUGUAUUGGCCAAAAGCCAUUGUACUGUUUUUCCGUUAAGUAAUAAUAAAGCUCUUCAGCCAUUUGCGUUGGUACAUUCCGAUGUAUGGGGUCCUGCUAAGAUUACUUCAAAUGGAUUUCGUUGGUUUAUCACUUUUAUUGAUGAUUGCACCUGUUUAACUUGGGUUUUCUUGAUGAAGAAUAAAAAUGAUGUGACAUUUAUUGUACAAGAAUUUACUGCCAUGGUAUCUACUCAGUUCUAGACUAAAGUCAAAGUGCUUCGGUCUGAUAACGGAGGAGAAUAUGUGAACACUGCCUUGAGUUGUUUCUUUCGUGAACAAGGUAUUAUUCAUCAGUCGACUACUCCGUUUACACCCCAACAAAAUGGUGUCUGAGCGGAAGAAUCGUCAUUUACUUGAAGUUGCUCGUGCUUUGCUCUUGGGAAUGUCGGUCCUUAAUUAUCUUUGGGGACAUGCAGUUUUAGCCGCAUGUUAUUUGAUCAAUCGGACUCCUAGUCGAGUUCAUGAUUUCCGCACACCUUUUGCAGUUUUACAAGAACAUAUCUCACCUAUCGGUAUCUCCAAGCUUCCUCCCAAGGUGUUUGGAUGUGUUGUGUAUGUGCAUAUUUAUUCUCAUCAACGGAGUAAGCUAGAUCCUUGUGCUCUUCGAUGUGUGUUCAUUGGGUAUUCAAAUACUCAAAAAGGUUACUAGUGUUAUCAUUCUCCUACUCAAAAGACUUAUGUCUCCAUGGAUGUCACCUUCCAUGAAGAGGUCCCGUAUUUUGCCUCAUCAUCUCCUAUCCCUCCACUUCCCGAUGAGAGGGUUUGCGAAGUGUUUAGUGAAGGAGCAACAGAAAGUGCAGGAAAUAGUGAUAUUGUGAGAUUGCUCGAGCCACCUUGUCUUACCAGACCCCGGAAAUGUGGGAGGAGAGCUUGAGGUUUACGGUAGAAGCUUGUCUUACCCAUGUGUCAGUUUAUGAUUUGCAAGUCGAACAAGGCACGAAAUUCGGGUUGUCGUAAGUGGAGUGAGUGAUGAAAUCUACGGUUUUAGUUUUGGAAUGAAUUUGGUCCUGAAGUUGGAGUUUCCGUUGCCUUCAGAAACGCGGUCUGCUGAGUUUUAUAAGAUGGCAUCUCGGACACUUUCGGAUGCAGGUUACAACCUCUAGAAAUUAGCAGUUACUGCAAGAGUGGAUAUCACUGCAAACACAAUCCAACUUAUUGGAAGAACAAGCCUUUCUAUGCUUUUGGCCUUGGCUCCGCUGGCUAUGCCGAUGGCGUUAGGUUUUCGAGACCAAAGAAGAUGAAAGAGUACACAGGACGAGGAGAGAAGGGACAUCGCUGCAGGUGAAUUCAACACCUUGCUAGUAAACGAGGACGAAACUGAAAGAAGUCCUGCCUACAUUCGGUUUAGUGAUCCAGAUGGUUUCCUUUUGUCGAACGAAUUGAUAGCACUUGCAUUUGCGGUUGUAGCUCCAUAAGCGAAGAGCAAUUCCAUGUACCUGCAGCAUCUGGUGGUAGAGUAUACUUGAACACAAGCAUUCAAGUAGUGUCAUGGCAUCGUCCAAAGCUGAAGGCUUCGAAUUUUCUGUAUAGCAUAGCAUCAGAAGAGAGAUUCAACCCUUGCGCCUAUCGUUGCCAUAGUCAUCGAGAAAAUGGUGCAGCAGAGAACCAUGGCCGGGACAUGCGUCAUUCAAGUGAUAAGCGACCAGCUGAGCAUAUCAAGAAACUAACAGGUUCAAGUUCCCGGCAUUGGAGAGGCAUCGCGGAGAAGAAUAUGUUGAGGUCGAUUGAAACAUGAGUAGUAAAAGGAAGGCUUGUAAGAUUUGUAAUCAAAUAUCGUUCGCAAAGGCAUUUCCUUCAGUUUUUUGUUUGGUCAUCCAACCAGAAUCAAAGUACUUGUUGUCUUAUAUAAAUUAAGAAAAUCAAUGUUCCACAAAACGUACCAACAUGAGGCCGAAUUACAAGUUUAGACGAUGAACUACAACAAACUAUAGACGAUGAAUUACAGGUGUACGGAAGAAUAGAUUGUUAGCACCUAGUUCUACUUUCGUCAUCCACCAGCGGCUAUUAAGGGAAUGAUACGUCACGUCAGGAGCAACAUACUCCUCCACGUGACGUAUAGCAUGCCGAUCUACAAGGAAAUAUGUUGAACGGCAAGUUUGUGCCUGAAAAAUCCUUGAUGUUCAUUUCAUCGACACCAAGUCCCUGAAUUGAAACAUAGGAAACAUAUAGAGUUUGAAAUCCGAGUCGCAUUUUGUGAUUUACAAGCGACUACGAGGGUUUUGUUUUCUGCCCAACUUUUGAGAUGCGCCUAAGCUCUUGGGUUCCUUUCCUCAUCUCUCAGCAAAUUGCAAAGAAAUUAGGAAAAUCUUGCAACAAAUCCAAAUGUGAAAUCUAAGUGUCCGAAAAAGUGAUACCUUUGGUGCAAAUACACCAUCAGAUAGAAAAUAGGGAGCAGCAUCAAAGUCAGUAUGGAGAUAGCCAGGUAGAAUACACUUAUAUGUUUCUGCAAAAACAAAACAACGUGACAACAUAUUCUCCGUGACGCAAAAAUCCUCAAAAGAAAGAAAAAUACGGAAAUAGAAAACAACAGACAAUCAUGGCAAACUGCAAUGGAACAUAAGCCAGGAUUGAAACUGCGGCACAAUUCAUUCUUUAUAGCGAAACCAACUGCAGUAACAGACUGAGACCUUACCUCUCCUCCUCUGGGAAAAAGUUUCCGUUUCCCCGAGCAAGUAUGAGCGUGACAAAAUUGGUGCAAGAAAAACUCUAUAAUAAACCCAAGUAUAAGCACAAGUACAAUAAAAGCAGUAGUGGUAGAGCUUCGGUUGACAACAAAAAAAAUACCAUUAAGACGGCGUGCUGAAGGACUUUGAUUAAUCGGGAAACAUCUAUUGGCAAGACCCUGCAUUAUAAAAGGGGAAAAAAGUAAAAAAGAUUAAACAAGGUAUGUAUAAGAAUCAACAAUACAAACAAAUAAAGUGCCUUGACGCAACCUCACAUAGGUGGUGAUUCCAUGCAACAGAUGCAGGAUUGCAUUUGGUUUUGCUCGACUUGGUAUUCAUCACAGCAUCGCAAUGCAAAGCUCCGCAUAAAUCAGCUAAGCACUUGCUGCUACUCUGCAUUCAUCAAAUUUUUUUCAAAGAGCACAAGAGAAACCAUAUGACGGAAACAAAAAUCAUACAUACGAUUAAAGAUAUAAUAGAAAAGAUAGAGAUCAAAUAAAUUUAUAAUCAUGUAUUGUUGUAUAAUGCAACCAUGCUUGAAGCAGACGCAGAAUAGCUCUUCGGACUUUGAAACAACUCCAGAUGCUAACUACCCUUCCCCGGAGCACCAAAGUACAAAAUACACAUCUUAAGAAAGGAAAGAUUAUCACUUGGAUAUUUCUUUAUCUGUGUUAUACAAUGCCAUCUUGUACAGAAGUUUAAGCCAUGUAAUUGUUCUUCGUCAUUUUUUAAGAAAUAGUUUUAUGAUCUAAUUUAUUGCAUCAUGCUACAAGCCUACAGCUAAAAUGAUAACUUUAAAUUUGCUUAAUUAUUUUUUUGAAAGCACGUUUAUGAAACCCCAACACAACAGGGAACUGAUAAACAUGGACUAGAUGCAAACGCUUUUAAAAGAAAAGUUCUUUCAUUUGCAGAUAAGCUGAAUAGAGAUAACUAGUAAUAUGCCCACGCGAUGCUGCGGGACUUGAAUGCACCAGCCUUAACUAUAUGAAUAAGACACGUUUAACCUAAAAAACAUUCAAUAUAAUCAUGAACGAACAAACAUGAUAGAUCUAGGAAAUUAUAAAAAGCAUUGUAACUCCAAGAAAUUAUAAAAAUCCAUCCAGUCAAGAGACAAUAAAAUAGUUGUGGGAAGGUGAGUAUGCAACCAAGAAUCUAAGAUAUACUUGACUUGCAAUUCCAUUAUAAUUUCACACACAAAAAUAGAUCAAAUUUUGAUUGAAACAUCAAACAAAACAAUCUCGUAGAUUGGACCAACUAAAUAAAGAAUAUAUCAAUAUGAUUUUCAACGUAACCAUAAAAAAGAGCUUUAUAAAUUCCAUAAAAAAAACUGAUUGCAUGUUAUCAAUUCCAUAGGUAAUUUGAUUUUGCAGUCUCAGACACCCAACACCUCUCUCCCUCAAAUAGAGAAACAUGCAGUCUCAGACACCCAAGAGGGGAAAUAUCUAUUUAUAAUUCCAUAGGUAAUUUGAUUUUACAUAUCAUGAACGAACAAACAUGCAGUUUCUCUAUAUAACUUUUUCGUUCCUCGAUUCUUUUCAUUGUUUCGAGCCUCAAUCAGUUUCUUUAAAUUUUUAACCAAAACUCCUAGAAUUUGUUGUUCGCUUUGAUCAAUCUUUUUCACCAUUUCAUCUACCUUGAAUCACAAAUUAAAUAUAGCGUUAAUAUUUAUAUUUUUUAGAAAAAUCUGUUUAGCUUGUAGGUCUUACAAUAACAAAGUUAAAAUUUUCAAAAAUUUAAAUAUGGAAGUUGUGAUUUUUUUUUGGAAAUAUGUCUGGUUUGUUGAGAGAUUGCAGUUCUUAACAACACUUAUUAAAGCACUUCGGGGCUGAUGAGACAGUUGACUACUAGAAAAACCUAACGAAAACAUCAACCAACCAAAGUAACCAACCUUCAAAGAAUGAUUUGGAAAAGUUAGAACACAAUAAGGAAAGGAAGCAACCAACAAAAAACAUAUAAAACGCCUAAUAACAUUUGAUAAACAAUUAAGAACACUGGGUUAAAUAAGAAUCACAACAUGAAGAGACCUUCAAACAACAACAGAAUUGCAUAGACAAAAUUUAAACCAUAAAAAAGAAAGAACUAUCAGACCUCUGGACAAUCAGAGGUCACAAAGAUAAUCAUGAAUGAGAAACAAAGCACAGAACAAACAUAUAAUAUAAGCUGAAAAAAAACCCAAACAGUGAUUUUUAAAAUUACAAAAUCGCAUUGUUUGAAAUGGAAAGCAUAGGGAAGUAACGUAUUCAAGUUCAGGACAUACCAAAGGCUUGAUUGAAAUGUAAUGGCUCAGAACCCCUUCAUCAAAGGCAGCAGCAAGAGCAGAUUAUGAUUCAACGAUGUGGGCCUGAUCUAAACUGCAAAAAAGUAAUGAGAUUGCGAUUAAGAAUUCGAAGUGCAAACAAACAGAUACAAUAAAAGUAACUUAAAUUGUUAUGGUAUAAAGGACUCAAUCUGUGAAGUGCACCAAAUAAAGGGUAAGUCUCAGAACAUUAAACAUAAAAACUAAAACACCCCCAUCUCUCUACAAAUCUUACAAACAAAAUCCUAAACGUAAUCGUUGAAAUCCAAACAGACCUAAUUUUGAAACCGUUUCUCACCCCAUACCAUAGAAAAUGCACCCUAUACCCCAAAAAUAAUGCUCAGUGGCCAGAUAGCAAUCUGUGCACGUUGAUCAAGAUGUCACUAAUUAGUUUUUGCUAACAGAUGGUUAACCAUUUUGCCAAUAUUUUUUUUUAUUUUUUUUUUGCAGAAAGUGGAGCAUGUUUAACUUUAAAAGACGAUCUCUAUUUUGCCUAGACAGAUUGCAUGACCAAUGCCUUGCCAUACAUUCACAAAAAUGAGCAGUGCCGAUUGACAAAUGGACAUACCUGAAUGGUACUAACCGAAGCACAACAAUCCUCCCAAGGAAAACAAACAAUGAAAUGACUUCAAGAAAAAUCUGUAUCAUUUAUUCAAUGAAACACCCUAAGUUGGAAAAGAGUGAAAUUAAAAUUGAAAAACAAUAAUCUAACAGAGACAAAUUUAAAAGCAAUUAAGCAUUAGAAUCUUUACAAAAACCAACAAAAAUGGUUGCAAGUUAAAAUUUGAUAUAUGGCUGAAUUUCCCUAAUGUUUAUAAUAAUUAGUGAAAACAAAAUUGGAUACAUCAGUUAAGAAUACACCAAAGCUUAAUACACCGAUGUAACAUGUUGCAACCAUUAAUACAUGUACAUAGAGACACACAUUUGAGAUGGGAAACCCUCCCCCCCCCCCCCCCCCCAAAAAAAAAAACACACACAUUUUGAAAAUAUAGCAAAAUAAAUUUAUAAAAGCAAAUGUGUGCUGCUUCACCUAUCUGAAAUGAAAUGAAAGGCUAUACUGAAAUGAAAGCCUACCAGGUGCAAAUAGAAUUAAACCAUAUAGAUGGGCCUUGUACAUGGUUAAAUCCUUGGUCUCCAGAAAUUAUGGUAAAAGGAAGACUAAUCAAAUGAUUACUCUUAGAACUAUACUAUUGUUUCAAUUUUUAAAAAGUGUUAACUGAGUGAAAAACCACACUAUUUAAAGAACCAGCAGAAAUCAGAAUAACAAUAGAAUACUACAGAGGUAAAUGAACAACCAUUGAUAUAAUUUUUUUCUCAACAUGGCAACAACAAUCAGAAAAAGAAAAGGAGAAAAUCUAUGGGAUAAAUGUAAAGUCUGUUUGAAAAGUUCAAUAUAUCUGUUUGUUAAACUGGGUUAUCAAACUUCACACCCAUGCUUUUCAAAAAGAAAAGAAAAAGAAGAACUGAAAUCAUUGACAAUUUCAAGUAAUAUAGCAGCUAUUAUUAAGAUCGAAAAUGAAUUCUGGAAAGUAUGGAGACCAAAGACUAUUAAAAGUUGGAAAUAUAUGCCGAUGCAGCUGUUUGAGAACACAGUUUGGGAAACUUUGUGUAGGAAAUAUGCUCGAAAGGAAAAUCAACAAUAGGUGAGUAUCACUGUCAAAGCUGGUUUAUGUUUAAAUUACUGAAUCACCAUAAUCGUUGUUGGUUGGUUUUCACUCAUGGUCUACUUUUUAUUCAAGUUCUUGUAAAGAAAAUUGGUCUUUUAACAUGCUCUUUUCUAAAUUUAAAAAAGGAUCAUAAUUUUGUAAAUACAUUCAAUUCCCAAAUUGAAAUUGCAGUAUAAGCAAGCCACAGUUGAUCACAUGGUUUUUUAUCAUAGCCAUAAUUAGACUAAUGUGAUUUAUACUUAGAGACAAAUAUGUUUUUUCAAAUGGUUUUUUCUGUCAAAAUUAAUAGAAAUAUGAAAAUGAUCAUCACAAAUUUCAAAACCCGAAUUAACCAAAAUUAAAAGGAAAUGGACACCAUGAGUGCUUGCAAGAUGAGAGAAGGGAAACAAAAAAGGAAAUGGUGCGUUUGAACAAAAUGAUGAUAAUUUAAAACCUUAGGUAUGAAAAUGCUUAAUUUUCAUGUGUUAAAUGAAUGAGGAUAUCUUAAAACUGUAAUUGGAAUGACCAGAAUGUUUUAAAACCUGUUAAAAAAAACAGAAUCACAGACAUAAUUAAAAAAAAAAAAAAAAAGAACCCAUCCAACAUCUGGAUAAUCAGGGGAUCACAAAGAGAAGAGAGAAAAAAAAGGAAAGAAAGCCGAAACCAAACGAAUAACAUAAGGUGAUCAAACUGAACAUUAAAUAAAAAUUUCAUAAAGUCGCAUAGUCUGAAAUGGAAAGCACCGGAAAAGAAAAUUACAUUUGUUAAAACAAUGGACUUAUAAAGCUGGUUUAUUUUUGCUUCAGGUUAAUAGAGUGGUAACUACAGAACUCAAAGUUAACAUGCACUGUGAGGCUUGUGCAAAGCAACUCAAGAAAAAGAUAUUCAAAUUAAACCCUAUUACCAAUGCAGAAUGUGAAACACUUCUGUAUAUUUGUUUUGGUUUUGGUGUAGUACAACACUGCACGUUUGUCAAACACUUAUGCAGAAUGUGAAACACCUGUGCAAAGGCAUGUAUUUAUCGUGCUAUAAAUAGCCUGUAGUUUGUCAUUUGGGAGAGUUUUUUUUUUUUGAAUUUUUUUUUUCCACAACUCAAAGUUCAUUUGCCAUAGCAUAUCUGCCCCCCCUCCCAACCCGUAAAAAUAACCUUACAAAUAAUAUUAAGCAGCACCAUUUAAGAAUCUAAAAACAGCCCAAACUAACCACACAGACAGGACAGACACCGAAACACGGAGACAUGCAACACAAAACCUGUAAUUAGAUCUCAAUCACAAAAUGGCAAAACAAAAUUCCUAAUCUAACUAUCCCUAUACUAAUAGCCCAUCCAAGCAAAUACAAUUCUAAUGGGGUUUAGAACAAAUAAACCAAUCAUCCAAUUCAAAUGGCGUUUGGAACAAAUACAGCAAUCAUUCAAUUGGAACAGGGUUUGUUACAAAUACAUGCUAAGCUAUCUCAAGCUUUGCAUAAAUAGAGAGAUACAGAUACGUGCACAAAAUAGAAAGAAGCCCAAUUCCAUUCUAAGGUAAAACAACCAAAUGGAUGCUUAAUUAUCUCAAUCGUGGCAUAAAUGGACAAAUACUGAUAUGUACACUAAAUAGAAAGAAACUCAGUUCCAAUAUAAGCUCAAACGACAAAAAUUGAAUUAUAUAUUUAAAAUCUAAGCAUGAAAGCUUCACAAAUAUAAAAUAAAAAAUAAAAAAUAAAAAAAAAGGUAGAUAGCUAAAUAGCCUUUGAACAAAGAUGAAGGGGUAUAAUUAUAUACCUCAAAACGGCAUGGAACCAACUUCUUCCUCAAAUGAUCCAAAUUUCUAUAAUCUGCACAGAAAAUAGAUCCAUUAGCAACUUAGACACUUUCAAAUUUAACAGAGAAAAUCUAAAAAAUUCUUGCUAAAUGACCAAAAUAUAUGGAAGAGCAACAAAAAUGAUAUCCAUUGAAAUUGCAGUUCCUCUGUUAACAGAACGAAAACAGAACAUGAAAAUGAGAUUCAGUUUAUGAAUCCAAUUUGGUGCAUAAGGGAGAAUUUCAGCAUUCAGUCAAUUAAAUGUGUUCAAUGCCAUUUCUUCAAAUUAAACCCCUACCAAUUUGUGAUCAGCUAAUUGUUUAACUCAAGCAUCUGAUUCCUCUGUGUUUAAGGUGAGUGCUUUUGUAUAUCGAAAUUAAAUUCCAAUCCAAACUCAAAUUCCAAGACAAUUUGUUGUGGUGCCCUUCGUGCAUAUAUAAUCCAUGUUUCCCUCUUUUUUCAUCUGGUCUAUCAGAUAAAUGUGAGUACUUAUUGAGUGCAUUUAAACCAAAAAUGUUGACAGAGGCAUAAUUGGAGAAAGAAAAGGUCUUUAUAUCAAUAAAAAUCAAAAGAUACUUAAUAAUUGGACAUAGAAAUGAGUCUCUCUGAACCCUCAGUUGAGAACUUUGUUAUCCGACUAUUAUAUCAUCUAUAAGCUAGUCUGCUAUGCGAAUCGUGUUUCCGGUGUCUUCUAAGUUUCAAAAAACUCUGAUGUGGAAAUUAUUUAUUGUGAAGGGUAUAACAAUUAAAUAUGAAAUUUUUUUUAUGGUGAUGCACUCGUAAUGUUUGUGCACCUUCGUGAGUUCGGAGUGCAUCACCACCGUCCCCCAUAUGACCCACUGCCAAACCCACUCAAACACCAUCUUGGUAACCUAACCCUGAUGCUACAUGCCCAAUCCCCCCUCUACUAACCCCUCGCCCCUCUCCAGAUUUCCCAGUCCUGUUGAGCCACCCUUGACAGGCAUUCUCAGCAAGUCAAAAAACAGAGGCAUUCGCAAACAGAAGAUACAAUAUACAGUAAAAGGAAAAUAACAACUGAGGAGAAAAAAUAAAAACCAAAAAAUAUAUAAACAAACAUCCCUCCCUACUUAAAAGCUUGUGGUGCCAACUAUUUCAUUUGAUUGAAAAUUAUAUGUUUGAAUACUCACAACCUGCUUGCUUGAUAGCCAUUUUUUCUAUCUUAGUGUUUUUCAAAAUCACUCAUAAUCAUUUUGGUCCAAUUCUAAAACAGAAAAAUGGCAAGAAAAGGGCUUUUUACAAAAGCAUAAGUACAUACCAAUUCGGCAGUGAAUCCUCGUGAUUCCUCCUGGGACCUUGAUGAGAUUAUUGCUGGUGAUCUGAAGAUAGAAAGCUUCAAUUAGGGUGGCUUGUUUUCCGAGUGCACAGAAAGACAAAAAGGGGAAAUAGGGUUCCUAGCAUAACACAAAACAUAUUAUUGUAUACAAUGGAAUUCCUACUGCUAAAUAAGAGCAAUGCUUUAGAAGUAAAAAGUUGAAAUUGUUUACCUUGAGCACAGAGGGCUUUCUAGGCUGCAAAGAAAAGGCCCAAAAAACGAAAAACCAGAGUCUCCUGAAACUGAAAACAAAACCAAAUUAAAUACACAUGUAAGAUCAAAACCCCUAAAAUUACAAAAAGUAAAUUUGAAUAGAAAACCCUCUUAUUGUUCAUCUUCAUCUGUGCCAAUCAAAACUGAUUCUUUACAGAAUGUGUGUGUGUGUGUAAAAUUUGCGUUUUUGAAAUAUAUAGUUACCCCUAAUUGGUUACCCUGAUUUCAUAGUCUCCAUUAUUGUUAAGACUUGGAAGCCCACUUCCUACAACCAAUUUCAAAACAUGCAUAGAAAUUUUGCAUGUUUGAUUUCUGAAAAAUAAUUUGUACCUAAGCUAGUAGAACUUUAGAAAUUUAUCUUGCAACCUAAUCUAUUGCCUAGUUCCAUUCUAACGUAAAACUACCAAAUGGAUGCCUAGUCAUCUCAACCCUGACAUAAAUGGACAAAUACUGAUACGCACAUUAAAUAAAAAGAAACUCAGUUCCAAUAUAAGCUCAAACGGCAAAAAUUGAAUUAUAUAUUUAAAAUCUAACCAUGAAAGCUUCACAAAUAUAAAUAAAAAAAAGGUAGAUAGCUAAGUAGGCUUUGAACAAAUGGAACCAACUUCUUCCUCAAACGAUCCAAAUUUCUGUAAUCUGCAAAGAAAGCAGAUCCGUUAGCAACCAAGACACUUUCAAAUUUAAAGCCACAUUAUGCAAUUUAAGCUAAGUAAAGUUAAACCCUCAAUUAAUCCCCAACUACAAACCUGAAUUAAACCUUCAAUUAAACUCCAAAUUAAACUAUUAACAAAACCCAAAUUAAAUCAACAAUUAGGAAAGAUAAAAAUACACCUAUUAAAAGCAUUGCAUAACUGAGAAAGCUACAUUUCUAAGAAAGAUUAAAACCUUUUUACAAAACACACCUACUGAAAAGCCUCACAGUUUUAAAGAUUGGAAGUUUUUGCUCAAAUUUUGUUUCCUUCAUUUGUUUAAAGUUCAUUUUCUCUCUCUGUUUUACAACUCUACUCACACAUAUAUCAACACUCAAAGUUCACUCUAAAGCACAAUACUAAAUCAAACUAAAGUUUUACCGUGCUAAAGCUGCAAACAGGGGAGCUUGGAAAUUAAAAUUGUUGUGGCAUGUGAAUUCCCAAGUGGUAUUAAACUAUCAAUGAUCAUAAGAAAGCUAAUGAUGAAAAAGAAACUGACGAACGAAAAACAAUGAUGCAUUUGAACACAUAGAGAAGAAACUUGUUUCAAAAUUAUACUACCUAGCAACAGAGAAGCAAAACAAUAAAUAAAACAGCCUUCUAACACCCUUAUCACACAAAUAGAGAAGCAACAAAACAUGGAGAAACAACCUAGCAACAGAGGGAUAUUAAAAGGAUGAAAAGCAGAAAAGGAACCUGAAUUCAACUUGUUGAGAAGGAAACAACAGCAAAGCAUGAAGAAAACAAAAAUGAGCUUAGUGCAACACCCCAAGUUUAAAAGACACAACCUUACUUUAACAGUGUACAAAAUAGUGCACCAAACAGACUUAUCUUCCUAACACCCAACUAAACAGGCUAUAAACAUCCAUUACAAUUUUGCCGAAACAAAAAAAAUGCCAAUCAUAGUUUUAACAAAACAAAUGGGAAACAAACAAUAAACAAUGAUUUCUGAACAGUGUUUUACCUGUUGAAUCAGAUGACAAAACUGAAAACCCUCUCCUCUCCCAUACCUCCCUCAGACAUCCUCUGCUCACCAACCCCGUGGGGUAAGCCCGUUAACCCCAGAAAAAUGCACAGCAUGCUCUCUGCCCUCUCUCUCUCCCUGUCCAUCUGUCUCUCAAAAAGUGGGAAAAAAAUCUCCAAACAUCUCUCCCACUCAUGAAAUCGAGGAUCUGCAGCAAUGGCGCUGAAAUUCCCACUCCUCCCUGUCGCUCUAUCUAUCACUCUCUCUCUCUCUCUCUCUCUCUCUCUCUCUCCCUCUCUCUCUCUCUCUCUCUCUCUCUCUCUCUCUCUCUCUCUCUCUCUCUCGGAGGCAUGGCCUCUCAUCCCCGAAACCCUCACUGAAUGACAGCAAACCCAAACCUACCCCAAUCCGUCUCAAACGCACAGGACAAAAUUACCCUUCCAACCCAACCCCAAUACCACCCCAAACCUCACGGUUUUGUUGUAAAUAGCAUGAAAUCGAGUGGCUCCCUGAUAAGCCAUAUGGACAAAAUUACCCUUUGAAUUUUUGAGAAUUACCCUCCCAACCUAUGCAAUUCGGCCGGUAUUGUUGUAAAUAGGGUGAAAUCGAGUGGCAAAGAAUGAGUCAGCUACAGUGCCGUUCCCCCUUCAAUUUUAGAAUAGACGAGAAAAUAUGCCCGCACGUUGCUGCGGGAACCUGUUGUUUCAGGUGUAAUCGGAUGAAUAAAUUCAACACAAUAAUGAACAAAUAGUUUUUUUUAUAUACAUUCAAGUGAGCUGGCAUAUAAACACAUUGUACAAUGAGUGGUAAGAAACUUAUUGUCUUUGAUUAGAAAGAGAUGGUUUCCAAAAAAGUUCUGUUUCCUUAAGAAACAGAAGAAACAUACAUAAAAUUUCAGUUACAAAUCCAAAAAAAUAAAACAAAAACAAAAAUGUGACUCUAUGGCUUUCUUACUACACAAAAAUAUCCCUUAGUUAAAGCAUGCCACACAUCAUCACAUUGCUAUUAUAUGAAGUAUAUUCCUCAGUGGCAAGUAAUAUACUCUCCUUAGCAUGACCUCUCAAUCCCCUCUCUUUAUCUCCCUAGAAUCGUACAACAACCCAUAAAUACAGUGCCCCUUUAAAAUCCAAGCAUACAUUAAGCCAAGUAGUCAAGUUUGGAGAAGUCGUUAAAUAAUCACUAUCUGAGGAUUGAGAAUAACCUACAUUCACAUUGCACAAAGUUCUAUGGAAAAAGGGGACAAAUUAACAUAAUUAAAAUAAGUAUUAAGAUGCAAAUAUUCUUAAUAUAAAUUAAGCAGAAAAAUGAAUACACUUUACCAAUUGUCAGACAUUGCUAAUUGCCAAUAUAGCAAGAUAAUGAAUUCCAUGAACAAAAAAAAUGAUUUGCAACUUCAACUUACCAUGCCAAAGAAGCUCCAUAAUAGUAGCUUCCUCCUUACUUCAUGCAUCCGUUGAUCAUGGAAAUUAUAAAAAUCCAUCCAAUCAAGAGACAAUGUAAAAGUUGUGAGAAGGUGAAUAUGCAAUGAAGAAUCUUAAGAUAUACCUGACAAAUUUGAGAUUCCAUUAUAAUUUCACACAAAACAAUCUCAUCUGUUACAGAUUGGACCAACCAAAAAAAAUAUUCUAUUAACAUGAUUUUCAACUCAACUAUAAAAAGGAGCUUUAACAACACAAUCAAUAUCAUUUCAACCCAACCAAAAAGAAACUAAUUGUAUGUCAUCAGUUUGUAAAGAGAAAAUGUAUCAUAUUUCAUGACUAAUGAAAAGCUUACAAAUGUCAUGUAAGAACCUACUUAAGUUCAAAUGCAAGAAUGCAAAUGAAGACAAUUCACUCCAUUGUGUUCAGCAAGGGAAAAAAAAGUUACGAAAAUAGUAUGACAGUGAUUCGUACCUUUAACUUGAUCUGAUGGCAGGGCCUUGAAUGUUGACUGAACAAAACUUUGCAAGUAAUGAGGUUGUGUAAAAACUUUCACCUGAAAAUUUAAACCCACCAUUAUAUGAAGGUAAAUAAGGAAAAUCCAAUCCAAUAAUCACAGCAAUCUGAGAAGUGUAUUUUAGUUUAGAGAGCAUGCAUGUAUUUUCUAACAGCGAAAACAUGAGCAAAUAUGAUUGGGCAGAAACAUAUAAUGGGCAGAAACAUGAGUGUAAAAAUUCUAAACCUCAAGAAUAUGAUUGUAUUAUAGCAAAUAUGAUUGGGUCGUACUCGAGGAUCAAAUGGGGACUUGAGAUUUUGGUAACUGUGUAGAAGAAAAAGAACACCAAUGGAACAUUCCUACAAACUAACCCUCAAACCCAUCCGAAUCAGAUCAACUAAUCAACCAAAUUAGCCCAAUCAAUAACCCUAUAUUUACUCAACCAAAUUUGCCCAAUCAAUAAUCCUCAAGGAUAAGAUUAUUUUAACUAUACACAAAUUCACAUGCUAGUCAUUUGAUACAUUUAACUAAUUCUGCAAGUUGUAUUUCUGUAAAUGGGAAUGAAAAUGUAACUUUUGGUCAUAUACUUUCAAAACCAAUACACAUCUCAAAUGUGGGAGUCUCAAAAGUUGUUUCAUUUGUUUCAUUCCAAAGAAAUUUUUUGUUUAGACAGAUAUUCUAACAAAAUACUCUCUGAUUGACACUCACUUUAACCUUAGAAGAACUCACAUUUCUCUAUCUGAAAAGGAGUUCAGGGAUAUGAAAAAAAUACUUAAUACCAAAAGCAUAAACCACACUCAAUACAAUCAAUAACUAAACUAACAAUUUAUCAAAAACACCAUCAAAUUAAACACCUUUAAACCAUAAAAACCAAAGGAACAAACCAUCUAAUUAAUGAGUGGUGAGUGCAGACUUUCUGGCAUUCAGGGCACCAAUUAUCCCAACAGAGAACGCGUUUUGGUCCUCCUCCUUUACCAUUUCCUCCUCAUACCCUGAAUCCUCAUCCCCUGCACGUUCCAAUGCCGUCUCGAGAAGCGCCUUAGCAAACACCGGGGAAGGAAAAACUAAUUAAUUUUUUUAAGACAAAUAUUAGUGCACUACAGAAAUACAUCAUCUAUAAUAAGGAAACACGUGAAUGCCUAAAAACACUAUUAAGUCUAAUAUAUCCUUGCAUUUCUAUUUGAAUUCAGAGUACGUGGAAAUCACAUCAACAAAUGAAAGCCCUAAAUUUUUAUCAUCAUGAAUUGGAAAAAUCUGCAAAACCUAAAAAAUUUCACCGCAUCAAAAUAAUUACAAAUUAAACCCCCCAUUCUCUUAUAUAGCUGAUAAUCAAAACCAAAUUAGUAAAUUACUCAGCUAAAAGCCUUUUUUCACCGAAAACACGGAAGGCAAGCCUGAGUCCUAAUAAUCCAAAAUCACGUCAAAUGGAGGAAAAUGAUAUAUCAGAAUCGAAUACUCAUAUAUUAAUAGAAAUUUUUUCCUUAAUUUAUCUAAUUAUAGAAAUAAAAAAAAUUAGAUCAAGAAAACCAAGAGCCAGAUACAAUUUUGAUGCAAAGAAAGCAAAGUUAGAAUACCAAGAGCCAGAUUAUGCUAUUAAAUCAGAGAAAACUGAGAUGCAAUGGAAUAUAUACAAUCUAAUCCAAGAAAGCAAACCAAAACCCUUACUGUCUGAGAGAAAUUGGGAUAGAACAUCAUAGAGAUAAAGCAAGAGGAAAGAUAUACCUGGCUCUGGUUGGAAUUGCUGCCGAUGAAUGUUUGGAGAGAAGCUUUACCUUUCACUCGCUUUUGAUUCCUGUAGCCACAACAGACACAUCACUUGUGACAGUUUCCAAAGGGAAUUCCGAAUUCAGAAUUCUACAACCUAAACCAUAAUUAACUCACAAUUUAGUUCCAUCAAUAUGAUAGACAUACCAAACUGUCAACAAACUAACAAAAGUAAACAUAAACGUCCCUAGAAAUAGCCCAAUGGUAGGAUUAUGUAGUCCGACUGUGCUGAACUAAAUAAGAAAAAAUUCAAGCGAUCAAAGCUAAUCUAGAGCUUUCUCCGCUCCCAAACAUAGCAAGAAUCAGAACGUGCGUCGUCAAUUUCAAGAAAUUCACAGAAAGAGAGAAAGAAAGGGAUAGAGUAGUACAAACCUCAGAUCGAUUGGCCUCGAUCCUUUGGAUUCCCUCAUUAUCUUAGCAGAAAUCGACAAAAGCAUAUAUACAAUGACAUUUUAUCAGCUACUGGUUGGACCACGUUUAUUACCUGCCAUAAACGGAGAAACAAUUUGGUAUAAGAAUCUCAUUCCACAAAACUUCUUCAGUGUUGGCCUAAACAACUGCAAGCAAAAAAAUCCCCAAGAUACAUACUUUCAUCCAAAUCAUCCACUGCCAUUAACAAAACCACACCAUAUCUUCCUCUAGCUAAGAUUAAAAGAGUGAACUUAUCACCCAAAUAAAAUAGGUAUAUUAACGAAUAUGAGUUAAAAAGUGGAGGAAAGCAACAAAACCAAUCAAACAACGAAUUGUCAAUAGAAUAAAACAACAAAUAUAGAUAUCUGAAUCAAAGUUUUUUUUUUUUUUGUCAAAUGAAGACUUAAAUUUCACUCAACAUUGUUUCUAAUCGUAGCUUCCUCUCUACCUGUAAAGCAUGGUUGUCUUAGCCCGACAUACAUUUUGAUCAUGCAGAAUCGAGAUGGAGACGUUAUCUGCUAACAACAGAAAUGGAAGUUCAAAAUAUUAUUGAAUCAUCAAAUGUAGAAAUUACCAAUCAAAUACAGAUAAACCACCACCAGCAACCAAAACAGUUUUUUUUUAAUGAAAUUAUACUCCUCUCAUCCAAGCAGCAACCAGUUUUUUUUAACUGCGCUUCUGUAAAACACAUGAGCACGGAUAUAUUAUAGAGAGCAACAAUCACUAAAUUUCUAACAUCACCAGCAUUUACAACAUUAAGCAUGUAGGGAAACUAUUUCAUUUCAUUUUAAUUUUAGGUGACACAACUGAUAAGAAGGGGUUGAGCAAGUAGCAUGGCAUCAAGAAUAAAGGAAGAUAUUUAGGAUGGAACAAUUAAAAGUUUCUGUAAACCAUUAAAUUUAUGCUUAGUGAGUAUACCAGAAUAUCUGCGUGCAAUGAAAGUACGGCAAACAGGGGUCUGUGGUUAGCUGGAGAACUCUGGAGACACGAAAAUUUCAGGGGUCUGAUUUAAGCGUCGAACGAACUCUUUCUCUCUCUGCAACCAAUUUUAGUUUUAAAAAAAAUCCAAAUUAUGAGCACCGACUAAAAAGGUCAACAAAAAGGAAAAUUCAUACUUCUAGACAUAGUGGGAAAAAACAUGAACUCAGAAUGAAACAUAAUUUUUUUUCCCUAAUAAGCAUAAGAAACAGAACAUUUUCAUUUAACAUUUUCAUUUUUUUCCCCUAAUUUUUAGAAGUAAUGUAGAUAGAUUUGUUUAGUUGCAUCAGGCUCCUCAGUUUCCAAUUGACAUGUCAAUUUAUGGUCCACUGCCCUUUCUUUUUCAGACAAUAAAUCUCAAACAUUUAUAUAACCAAAUGCAUCCAAUAAUAGAAAACUCUGUAAAUUUCCUAGGAAAGUGCACAUUCACAUAGCGAAGGGUUGCGUGAGAAAAUGUAUCUAAAAAAAGUAUAUUGGGGUACCUUAUCUGCAUUAUAUUUCACAGGUGUAGCAGGAUAGGCUUCAAGCAGUAAUCUUUCUUCUGCUAUUUCCUUCACGGUUUGUAACUCAUUGGUGAGUUUCGUUGCAAGGCAUUCAAAAGAAUAUAAAUAUAUUAGAGUUCAUUUUUAUGACACAACAACAAAGUUAUAAAUAAAUUAUCAAGGAAUACCAUAUAUAAAUGACAAAACCAAUUAUUAUAGUUAUUGCAAUGAUUUCAGCUUUGUUUAUUUUUCUUUUAUAAUGGUCUUGUAUAUGUGUUAAUUUCUUAUAAACUAUUAUUUGGUUGAGUCUAUAAUUUUCAGUCGAACAUUCCAACCAUAAAAACCAAACCUUCGAUCAUUCAAACUACGUAUUAAAUCUUCAUGGCCAACAACUUCGCUUCCAAAAUCCAAUUCACCACGUGAGGGAAGGAUUUAUGAGUAGAACGACGGGUACCGUCAUUGAUCAUUGCAAACAAAAAGCCAAGAAGAAUAAUACGACUGGGACUAAAUUUGUGCAAGCAUAGUUUCUUUUGACAAAUAUAUGUUCCCAAUUUAAUAGGCCAUUACUACUUAGCACAACAAAUUAGUUUUCGUAUCGAAACCAACAUAAAUCUAAGCAACAUACACAUUUUAAUAGUAAAUAAAUCAAAAAGCAGAUUAAUAACCACAUCACAAAUUCCCCCAGAUUAAAUAGUGAUGUUACCUCACCAGCAUGAGCAAAAGGGUGGUGUGCAGUUGUGCUGUGGCCUUGUACCAAGAAGGAUGACGACACUUAGGAAGAUAUUUGGUUGCCGUUUAACCAGAAAUUACCCGUCAGAUUUCUGAAACUCACCGGAAAAAUGCAAAUGUGAGGAUUACCUUUGAUUAACCUUAAAAUGAACUCAAAUCCAACAUGCAAUACCUGAAUUUAUCUCUUGGGAGUGAGAGUAGUCGUUUCCAGGUAAUGGCAAGGGCCAAUUCGCCUGAAUUUAUCUCUUGGGAGUGAGAGUAGUCGUUUAAUAAGAAAGAAUUCAGACCACAAUACUAUAGUUGAUUAUUAAAUCAACAGUGUAAUGUCUUGUUGAGAUUAUGUUUCAGCAUGCACUAAGAAUAAUCUCAAUGGCAUAUUCCUCUUCCACAGGUCCUGAAGAUUUCGGAAUGCGGAUCUUGGGUUCAUUUGGUUUGCAAAAUAUGAAUUCAUAAGCUCAAAAUCUCAAAACUUUCCCAAAAUUCUUCAAAUGAUGAUUUUUUUAUUUUUUAUUUUUUGAAAAGUAGAGAACUAACUGACCAUCUUCUUCCUUGAUGAAACACUUGAGAAAGAAAGCGAAGCAGCUUUGAAUCUCAGCUGCUACAUAGCUUAUAUAAAAAGCCAAAAUAUAAAAAAUUAAUCAAAAGGUUGAGAGAACUCACAUCCCAAUCAUGCUCGUUGCUGAUAUUGACACCCACUGACAGCAGCCUUCGAUUUUUGGAAUUCCCACGUUCAACUCCAUGACCUCUGUCUCUGCCAUCCUUCUUUCCCUCACAACCAUACCCAUUUUGGACCCACCCCUCAAUCCCGACACCAACCCUUGAUUUGAGGAGGAAAAAUCAAUCCAACACUCUUUUUGGCAAGCUUCACUACUCCCUCUUCCUUCCCCUCCCUGCCAAUCCACGCCAUAUCCCUCAUUGUAGCCCUGCAACCCACGUUUUUGGCAGACCUCCCUUUCCCUUCCUCUCCAUGACAUUCCACACCCUCCUCCCCCAUUCCAUAAACCCAGCCCAAGCUUUACCUCAACUCCGGCCCCCUCACUUUCUCGAAACCAACUUUCAAACCCUAGAAUGUAGCUCAUUCACUCUCUCGCAACCCACUUUGAGUGACACGGAUGCAACAACCCUCGCCCUCUCUCCCGCAUUCGCCUAACCCCAAAAUCGCUCUCUCCCUCUCCCUCUCUCUCUCUCUCUAUCUCUCUCUCUCUCUCUUUCUCUUCCCAAAUCGAGCAUCACCACUCAAUCCCCUCUCUUUCUCACCCUCAAAUCGUACACCCCAUAUGACUCUGUCUGCCUGCAAGCCGCAUGCCUUCUUCUCACCAAAUCCCUAUCUAUCUCUCCCUCUCUCUCUCUCCUCUCUCUGCUCGCUCACUCUCUCUCUCUCGACAGCAUGGUCUCACCGAGUCCCACUGUAGCUCAGAAAGAAAGGAAAUGAAACUCUCUAACUCACCCAACCCGUUCGAAACCCUACAGACCAAACUGACCAUCGCACCCCUGCCUUUCCACGAUCAUCAACACGCGGCAUGAAGAGCAGCGGCAGAGAGAGUCAGUGGCAACCUCGUAAUAAAGGGAAAUUCGGCUCCAAAAACUAUUAAUUUGUACAGUGCAAUUGAAAAGCUUUCUUUAGACUAAAGUAAUAAUUUGAGGAUUAUCAACUAGAAGAACAAAAUAUAAAUAUAACAGAGGAUAACAAAUGCGAAGAGGGCCAGCUGAAAAUGAAAUUGCUUCUUGCACUAAUUGGACAAGUGUUCCUAAUUCCUAACAUAUUAAGGCAAGGAAAUACAGUCCACAUACUACAUUCAGAAUGUUGUAGUGUCUGUUGUCAAAAUGUUGAUCAAGAAACAUUUCAGCACGGAAGCUUUUCUUACAGUAUCCGCACUGCCAUUCGUUUAUAUCCAAAUGAAUCUUGUGCUCUUCCUGAUCUCUAAAUAGAUCAUUGUCGGGAUGAAGUCGACAGUUACUUGGAAUCUCAUAGUGCUCGUGUUUGUUGGAAGUUUUGAGACUCUUGUCCCACAUUGGGGAAAACAAGAUUCUCAAGGGCCUUUAAUAGAUUUAGUGCUUUAGUCUAGUAAUUAGAAUAUGGGUCAUUUGGAAAUGGAUUGAAGGCUUGGGCCUUAUGGUUGUGUGGAUUAGGCUUGUAUAAUAUAGCCUAAAUACAAUUAAUAUUAAUUAAUCAAGACAAGAGCCUUGGGAUUCAUUAAUUUUAAUUUUCGGAUUAAGUUUUUAAUUAAUUUAUUAUUAAUUAAAAACGUUUUGAUUAAAAGACACAACUCUUAGAAAGAGUUGUGAACCUUCAAAUACACUGAACUGGUAUUUGAAAGGGUGUGAAACAGCCUAUAUAUCUGCAAUCCAUAGUAUCCAAAUAGAUAAUCUUUUUCUUGCUCUUUUCUUCUAUACGAAUUUUCUAGAGAUUAAACACACAAAAAGCAAAUUCGCUAGAGUUCUAGAAUCCAAUGCGGAUUGUAGAAUUUGAUACGCCCCGACCCUGAUAUUCCCCAAAUACCAGGAUAGACAUGUGCUGGCCGACACCCGAGGGUGACGAAAGCCAUUAAAUGAUACAAAAGCUAAGAAUAAGAAGUAAAUAAAGGUUAGAAAUUUUAAAUACUAUGAAUUAAUAAUUUAAGGAACGUGCUCAGAGCAUACAACUAAACCUAGUCACUAAAAAGAAUUAAGAUAAAAUUUAAUGAAUGAAGAAGUGAGUCCUACAUCGAGAGGAUCCGAAGAUGCUGCUGCGAAAGUGUCUUGACGCCGGGAUUGUAUGCCUCGAUUCUAAGUCCUGAAUGGGGACGCAAAACAAAUGUGAGUGGACCAAGUUCAUAUAUAUAUAUAUAUAUAUAAUAAAACAAUGAUCAAGAUACUAACCCCCACAGUUUAUAUAAUGAAAACUACUAGCAUAAUAAAUUAUGGAUUUAAUAAAAAUCCUAGCAUGCCAAAAAUAUAUCUCAAAAGCCAUAUAGCGGAAUAUCAUCGCAGAAAUCAAAAUAGUAAACGUCUCAUAAAUCGUCUCGUAAGCGCGGUGUGCUGCUAGUAAGAUCAUUGAAUAAAUAUAACUCCCGGUCCAAUGCCUGUUCCAUGGUCUCUGUGCCCGUAGCCAAAGAUUACCAACUCCCGGCCCAAUGCCUCUUCAUGUCCCUCAGCCCGUAGCUAGGGAUUAUUUCUCCCGGCCUAAAUGCCAACACCAAAUCCUCGCCCUAGGCGGUAUAGUGUCCACUAGGUACGCACAAAAUGUUACGCCUCUCAUAAAUAACCACUUCAUAGUAUAAAUACCGACCAUCGUUUAUACUAUAAAGAGGGGUUCAAAAACAUGUUCUAGCAUCAUAUCGUCAUCUAUUAGAUAGUCUACCAGUUCAUGAUUUUUAUAGAAAAUACGAUAUAUUAAAAUAUAGCUCAAUAUAGGCCACAAUUAAUUCCUCAUCAAAACACGAGACGAUAAUCAAUAUAUUCCAUAAACAUGCUUAUCAUAAAUCAAAUCAUAAACUCAUAAGGCAUGUUAUUCAUUUAUGCAAUUAAAGCAUAAAAUCAUAUAAUUUUAGAAGGGGUCCACUCACAGUACUUAGUUGCCAAAAGCUGCGCCACUAGCGAAGACGGAAACAUCACAAUAAUUGCCCCUAAGCACAUAAAGGGUUUAGGGUGAAGAAAUGUGGUUUGGGCCUAAGCCCAAACACACACACGCACCACACAAGCACACACACAACAAACACACACAUGCACGGCAUGCACAUGCAUGCAAGCAUGCAUAUACACACACGUACACAUGCACUUAAACACACACACACACGCCUAAUACACACACACACAAACCACAAAGGCCUUAAGGCCUCACACAAAGGACCGGGCUUUAAGCCAUUUCACUUAAAACCGGCCUAAGGCCCCUUGGGCUGCUGAAAAUAAAUAAUUAAAUAGAAUAAAAACGGGCUAGGAUGGGCUAGGCAGGGAAGGCCCAAAGGCCUUGGAUUUUCUGGGCUACAGGAUUCAAAAGGCCGGAAAUUCGGCCGGAAAACCACCCAACUUUAAACGACCAUAACUUUAUCACUACUCAACGAAAUCAAGCAAGACAAAAAUGAAAGUUGUAGCCCUCAAAGAGAUGAAGAGAAUGGUACCUCACGUGACGUCUAACUAGCCGUGUUUUGGCCGGAAAAUGCCUCAAAAGCCACUGAGGUCGCCGGAAACUGGGUAAGAUUCAAAUGCGUAUAACUUAUUCAAUACUCAACAAAAUUGAGUGAAACAAAAAGGAAAGUUGUACUACUCGACGGGACAAAGAGAUUGAUACCUUACACGCUGGCCAACGCACCGUGGUUUGGCCGGAAAUGGCCUCGAAAGGCGUCGGUCUGCGUUGGAGCUCAUGUAUGAGGCUUCCUGGUUCGACUUCCAAGAUGCCAAGACUAAGGUUGAGUUCGUAGCGACGAGAUAAAGACGGGGUGAUGUUUGUUGGUAAGAAAACUCUCGGAUGGGUUGAGAUAGAGAAGGCCGAGAGAGUGAGUUGCGGGAGAGGUGAGGGAGAAGAGAGAACUGAGAGAAGAGAGAGGGAGACCGGAAAACACAAAAAUAAAACAAGGUGGGCCCCAUGGGCUUACCAAGGCUUUAAAACAAUUUUUAAAUAAAAUGGGGUUGGGGUGUUUUAGAAUUGGGUAGUUGAAUCUGGUAGAACAGACGUUGAAGAACCACAAGCACAGAAGUGUGACGUAAAUAUUGUUCGAAGGACAUAGCUAUUAUUUGGUAAAAUAUAUUUUCAUUUCACACUCUGAUAAUGUUACAGCUUAGGUAUAUAUAUACAUCAAACUAACAUGUUAUCUUAACCACUAAGCUAACAACUAAGAACAUUCAUUUACGAUUCAUUUACAGUAUUGCCCUUUAUAUCCCCCCUCAAACUAAACUUGGGUAUCCGAAGUUGAAGUUUGUCACGAAGGAAGAAAAAUCGAAGCUUGGACAGAGACUUGGUGCAGAUAUCAGCUACUUGGUCUUGAGUGCAGACAAAAUGGACAGCAAUCUGUUUAGCAAAGACUUUUUCCCUAAUGUAAUGAUAGUCUAUUUCUACAUGCUUUAUCCGAGCAUGAAAAAUAGGAUUUUUUGCUAGAGAUAUAGCUGAAAGGUUGUCACACCAGAGGUGAGGUGUUGUAGGUAAGCAAUAGCCAAUAUCCACCAAUAAUUGACAGAGCCAGGUUAUUUCAGAUGCAGUGUUAGCAAGAGACCUGUACUCUGCUUCGGUGGAAGAUCGAGCAACAGUCGGUUGCUUCUUAGCACUCCAGCUAAUCAAAGAAUUGCCCAAAUAUACACAAUAACCUCCAGUUGAUCGGCGGUCAAGAGCACAGCCAGCCCAUUCAGCGUCCGAGAAAGCAGUGAGAGUAGGAGGAGUGGAACACUUGGAGAACCAGAGACCAAUAUCAAGAGAUCCCUUUAGGUAUCGGAGGAUACGCUUAACAGCCUGAAAAUGUGAAAUUUUGGGAGUGUGCAUAUAUUGGCAGACAAGAUUAACAGCAAAACUGAGAUCAGGACGAGUUCAGGUGAGAUAUUGCAGAGCACCAACGAGGGAACGAUACUCAGAAGCAUUAGCACAUAAGGGAGAAUCAUGAUCAAGUUUGGAGGUGCUGAGAGGAGUACUGCAAGGUUUAGCUCCAGUCAUGUUGGCUUUGGAUAACAAAUCCAAUAUGUAUUUGGUCUGAGAGAGAAAGAUACCAGAAGAAGAUCUUUUGACUUCAAGACCAAGAAAAUAGUGUAGCGGACCUAAAUCCUUGAUGGGAAACAGGGAACUAAGUUGCUGAAUAACUUGUUUACAGGCAGUAGAAUUUGGACCAGUAACCAAAAUAUCAUCAACAUAGACAAGAAUGAAAAUCAUAUCUGAACCCUUUUUGAUAAACAAUGAAUGGUCACUGGGAGAUCCAACAAAGCCAAGAGAAGUAAGAGCACCAUGAAGCUUGUCAUACCAAGCCCGCGGAACUUGCUUUAAAUCAUACAACGAACGAUGCAAGUGACAAACAUGAGAUGGUUGAGUUAAAUCCUCAAAUCCAGAAGGUUGCUGCAUGAAAACAGAUUCAUUGAGUGUCCCAUGUAGGAAAGCAUUACUGACAUCGAGUUGAUUCAAGAACCAAUCAAACUGAAUGGCAAGAGUGAGGAUGAGUCGAAUAUUGACUGGCUUGGCUACCGAACUGAAGUUUCAGUAUAAUCUAGACCUUCCUGUUGAUUGAAGCCCUUGGCAACGAGCCGAGCUUUGUACCGGUUUAUAGUGCCAUCGGGCUUUCUUUUGAUGUGGAAGACCCAUUUACAGCCAACAAUAUUCUGUGAUAGAGACUGGGGAACAAGAGACCAAGUUCCAGUUUUGAUGAGAGCAAUGACUUCCUCUUGCAUAGCUUGGCACCAAUGAGGAUAUUUUGAAGCUUGGAGAUAAGUUUUAGGUAUGUAAUCCACUGAGAGAUGAGAGGGUAGAAGGUGUUUAGUGGUAGUGAGUGCUUUUGGUUUGAAAAUGCCAGAUUUGGAUCGGGUUUGCAUCUGAUGGGUGUUAGGGGGUUGAAUAGGAAUGGAAUGAAUGGAAUCUUGAACUGGCACUACAGGACUAGAGUGGAUAGGUGGGGAAUUGUUAUGGGAGAAGAUGGAUGGUGAAGUGGAGGGGGAUCGAGGCAAAGUGGUUGUAGGACUAGAGGAUGAAGAAAUAGGAAAAGUAAAAGUAAGGGUGGAUGGUAUAGGUGAUGUAGGCCCAGGGGGCAGGGAGGAAGCUGAAGGUGUGAUGGGGGAGAAAUGAUGGAAUGGAAAACUGGAUUCAUUAAAGAGGACAUGGCGGGAAAUAUACACUCUGUGGGUAGCAGGGUCAAGACAUUUGUAGCCCUUGUGAUUUAAACUGUAUCCAAGAAAGACACAGGCUCUGCCUUUAGGAUCCAGUUUUGAGGAAGAAUAAGGCUUGAGCCAUGGGAAGCAAGCACAACCAAAGACCUUGAGAAGUUCAUAGUUUGGAGCUCGAUGAUAUAGAGAUUCCCAAGGAGACUGUCUGGAUGCAGUGGGCAAUCGGUUGAUAAGAUAGAUGGCAGUGGUGAAAGCCUCCACCCAAUAGAUGUGGGGUACUUUGGAAGUUGUCAAAAGAGUGCGAGCAGUUUCAACCAAGUGACGAUGUUUGCGCUCUGCACACCCAUUUUGUUCAAGUGUGUGGGGGUAAGUGAGUUGAUGAUGAAUGCCAUGUGCAGCCAAGAAUUGAGAGAAAUGAUUGCUCAAGUACUCUCUGCCAGAAUCAGAUCUCAAAGUGAUAAUAUUUGUACACAAAGAAUUUUCAACCAGAGAUUUGUAUUCCAUAAAAGUUGACAGUACAUCAGAUUUGCAUUUCAAAUGAUAAAACCAGCAGUAUCUAGUAAAGUCAUCCACAAAAAUGAUAUAAUACCGAAAACCUUGAGAAGAAGCUAGAGGUGAUGGUCCCCAAACAUCCGUGUGGACAAGUUCUAGAGGUUUGCUAGUUGUACAAGAUGUAGAUACAAAAUGAAGCUUUGAGCUUUUAGCCCAAUGCACAAUCUGAGCAGAAUGACUUAGUUGUAUGAGCCAAAACAGGAAUACAAGAUUGAGAAGCAAGUUUAUGAAGAAUCUUGACUUAUGGGUGACCCAAUCUUUGAUGCCAGACAUCCUUAGAAGCUUUUGCAGUAGCUGUGAGAGCCUUAUGAUUGCCAGUUGCAGAUGAGGAAAAUGAAAAGGAUAGAACCCUUGCUGAACAGGACCUUUAAAAUGCAUCCUCCCCGAAGAAAGAUCCUUCACAGUGAAGUGAGAGGGAUAAAAAUGCAAUGAACAAUGAUUAUCAAGCAGAAAUUGAUUCGCAGAGAGAAUGUUAUGUUUCAAAGCAGGCACAUAAAGUACUUUAUUGAGUUUAAAAGCACUAGUAGAAGUAUGCAAAGUAGUAGAACCAGAAUGAGUGAUGGGCAAACCUUUGCCAUCACCAAUAUACACUUGUUCUGGACCUGUGUAUGCUUCAGGGUUCUGCAGAGUUGCAUAAGAGUUGGUCAUGUGUGAUGUGGCGCCAGAAUCGACAAUCCAAGUAGGAUUGGAUGAAGAAGCAUUAGCAACCAUCGCUGCAGGAGAGGAUUUUCCACUAUAAGCGAGAUUGAGGCGAUGAGGACAAUCACAUGCUUCAUGGUCAAAUUGAUGACAAAUCUGACAAGGUUGUUUCUUGGUGUAGGAAGAAAAAUUGUUGCGACCUCCAUGAUUAUAACGCUGAUUAUUGCCACGAGGAGUAAAAGAUCUCGGAUUGUUAGAAGAUCUGUAAUUGCCAUGAUUGAAAUGACCGCGAUUAUGAGAGCGAUCCAUCCCACGACUUUGAUGACUGAAUGUAGAAGGAGAAUGAGCCACAAAAGCCUGAGAGUUAGGGUUUGAUGCAGGAAGAGGAAGAAUGCCUGCAGAGGUGUUAAGAGCCUGAAACGAGGACAUCUCAGAGAUACUUUUCUUGCGAGUGGCUAAUUGAAUCUCUUUGCUCAGAAGCAAGCCAUGUAGUUCAUCAAUUGUUGUAGAUCCGAGACGAAAUUGAACAACAUCAACAAAUGAGUCAUACUCUGAGGGAAGACUGUGGAGAGUGACAGAGAUCAGAUCGGAAUCGUCAACCGGAAAGCCGGCACUGGCAAGAGCAUCAGCAAUUGCCUCAAUUUGCUGAAAAACUGAGCAGCAGUGGAAUUUCCUUUUGUAAGAGUACGAAGUCGAGAGCGAAGCUCAUGAAUGUGAGACUGAGAUGCCGUGGUAAGUCGAGAUUCCAAUUUCGCCCAAAGAUCGCGAGCUGAAUUCACACCAACAGUAUAUGGAAUUAGGGAUUCCAAGAGCGUGGAGUUGAGCCAGUUGAGAAUAUUUUGAUCAUUCUCAUACCAAGAAACAUAAGCAGGAUUAAGAGUGCGAUUUCCUGAGGAAUCAAGAAGAAAUUGAACCGGCGCUGCCGUAGAGCCGUCUAUGUGACCAGUCAGGUUGUAGCGACGAAAAAUCGGAGCAAAAAAAGCACUCCAGGUCAAGUAAUUUGUGGUAGUGAGCUUGAUUGGCACCAUGGAUCCAAUAUUUUGGAUUGUGAUUGAGGUAGAAUGUGAAGAAUUAGGGUUGGGAGAUUCAGUCGGAAGGGGAUGAACGGGAGAGGCCGAUUCUGACGAAGGAGACGCCAUUGUCAAAAGGAUGAGGAGGAAAGAGCACGAUCAAAGAUCUUCAAACACGAGCGAAGAAUCGAUCAAGAACACAGAAAGAAGAAGCAGAAAAGAUAGGAUCGAAGAACGAGAGUCGUUGGACAGAGAAGGCGGUUGAUACCAUAUUUGGUAAAAUAUAUUUUCAUUUCACACUAUGAUAAUGUUACAGCUUAGGUAUAUAUAUACAACAAACUAACAUGUUAUCUUAACCACUAAGCUAACAACUAAGAAGAUUCAUUUACAAUAUUGCCCUUUAUAGCUAUUACGCUAGCCUCUACCUUCUGUAAUCAAGUUAGUCAUAUUUAUUUCUGUAUUAUUGUGUAAUUAUCAUUUUACAUAGCAAGUAUAUUUUGGUUAAUAAAAUAUUAGAAUUUCUAUUAUUAUUGUUUAUUUCUGAAUUGUUCUCCUACAGUGUUCCACAAAUGGCAUCAAAUACUACAAAACACAAAUUAGAAGUAGCAUUAAGUAGACUAUUAUGCAUGACACGAUUUUGUAAUAGCACUCAACGUUUUGCCCAUACCUUCUCAAUAAUUUGCCAAGCUGCCCUGCUUCUUUCUCUGGAACAAUGCACUUCAUGAGCAUUCUUUGAGUUUCAUUGGCAAGAUUUUAACUUCUGAGAAAACUUCACAACUUGAAAAGAAAAACUCAUUCAUUUUGUAUAUCCUUGCACAUUUGAUAUUUUGUAGUAGACUAGUAGUGUAUUGGUGCUUUUUUAUUAGGCUCUUAUUUUGUAGUGUCGAUGUAGUACUUAACGACAAAUGGUUUUUUUAUGUUUUGAAGUAAGAUUUAUGUGGCAAUGUGGUAUUUGCAAAUUUAAGAGUAAAAAAAAAAUCUUAAUAGGUCAUAAUGGGUGGGAUAAUUUUACUUGUUGGGUAAAGUGACCUAACCUGUUAAAGAUCCGUUAAGAUAAACACGACACGAUCAGUUAAGAUAACAGGUAUUACACGAAACACGAUAAACACGAUUCGUUUGCCAGACCUACGUUUACCUGCCGUAUAAGAACUUGAACGUCAAUUAAACCCUAUAAAUAUGUUGAUGGUGCAGCAUGAGUACACAACAUAUUUGGAUGUAAAAACUCUACAAGUUUGGAAUUUGGAGAUCAAAUUUUCUGCACUCAAAGUGGGUGUGACUUCUCUGCGAUCUCAAUUAUUGACUAACACGUAUUUAUAAACUUAACUUUUCUAAACUUUAUUGUCAAAAACUUAUUAUGUGUCGGUCAAUAAUUAGGACCACAAAGAGCCUACACCUAUUUUUGGUGCAGAAGAUUUGAUCUUUGGAAUAUGAGACCUAUGAGACUCAAAUGCAGUAGUGCUUCGAUUCGAGAAUACUGUUAAAAGGUGAGGUUUGGGUGACGGAAAAAUUGAACACAGGAUUUCGUGGGCAUUGGGUGAAUGCUGUUAGAAGUUCAUUUCAUAUAUCCAAGAAUAUGUUACUCUACAUUCUCACUACUAUCCUUUUAUAAUCUCCAAGAGUAUUUAUUUGGCGAUUCUCUUUUCAAUUUCAUAAGGUUCCUAUCAUGUCCCUGAAUUUUUGGUUCCUACGUUCUCACAUAAAGAUAUGGAAAUGGAGGGUAGAGUCUAAACUUCACCCUAUAUCAAAGAAACUCUAAUAUUUCAGUUAAAAUUAACAGAUUUCGUUGAUAUUUUCGAAAUAUAGGUUAAAUAUCGAAGAAACUCUUAUAUUUCGUUUCAACCAGUGUUUGACAGUUCCUAAAGUUUUAUUUUAAAUUUUCAUAAUUUCCAUCAAAAUGAACCGAUAUUAAUAUCAAUAUCGAUAUAUCCAUAUAUUUCCACAAAUUUAUCGUUAUUUCUACCGAUAUCGAUAUUUUAAACACUGCUCACUAGAACAUGCGGACCUAAUUAAGUCCAGCCAAGGUAUUAAAAAUCGAUAUUAUCGGCGAUAUUUCGCUGAUAAUAUCGUUUUUUUGCCCCAGCGAUAUUUUUUUGACUAAAAAUAAAAUAUCUUUAAAAUAUCGCUAAUAUCGCGAUAUUACCGAUAUUAGCGAUAUUAUCGCGAUAUUCGGUGUCGUCGCCGCCGCCGGGAGGUGAGAAAGGGAGGAGGAAACCAGAUCGAAGAAGAAGGAUGAUGGAGGUGAGAAAGGGAGGAGGAAACCAGAUCGAUUACGGAGAGAGUCGAGACCGAACCGAGGGAGAGACCGAGACAGAGAGACCGAGGGAGAGACGGAGACGGAGAGACCGAGGCAGAGACGGAGACGGAGAGACCGAGGCAGAGAUAGAGACGAAGAGACCGAGGGAGAGACUCCAUCGUCCCAACGGCAACCGAGCUUCCUCUGCGCGUCGCCGUGCUUCCCAGAGACGGAGGAGAGGGAGGGAGAGUUCAGGAGGGUGGUGGAGAUGCAGCGCUGGCAUCGGGGUGGACGGAUUUGGGUGUGCUGGGUGUGGGUGCGAUCGGGGAAAUGGAGUGAGAGAACGAGAGUUCGAGAGAGUUCGAGAGAGAGAAAGCCUUUAGGUUCUGACGGGGUGCAAGUGAGAGAGGGAAAGCCUUUAGGUUCUGACAUGGGAAUGGACAAAAGAGAGCCGUUGGCUCUGGGCUCGAGGUGAGUGGAAGGGGAUCCAAUGUGUGUUCAAGAAUAGCUAGGGUUUUCAAAUGACAGAUGCCGCUGCUACACCAGUUUAAAUUGUAGCUGUUUCUAGCAUUUGACACAGGUGGACUUGUGCGGGUUGGUCAGCGAAUCUUCGCCAUUUCUAGCUCUCAGGUCUUGCGUUCGAAGCCCCGAGGUGUAAUGUAGUGGUUUAUUUUUUCAUAUUUUUGUUAGCUCACCUUGGCAAGCUCACAGUUCUUCUCUUCGAAUCUCUUUGGUGUGUCAAUUUUUUUUUUCCUUUUCUUUUAUUUUCUGUUUUCUGUUUUAUUUUAUUUUCGUUUAUUGUUUUUCUAUUUCUCUUUCCUAUUUUAUUUUCUUAGUUUUUUUUGUUUUAUCUUUGAUCGUCCUUCUACAUUUCCUAGGAUUUCGUAGUUUUGUUAUUUUCUUGUUUGUUUUUCUUUAUUUUAUUUCUCAUACCUUGAGGACAAUGUGUGAUUUAAGUUUGGGGGUGGGAAAUAAGAAAUUUUAGGUUUUUAAUUCUUUGUAUAUAUAUGGUUUUGUUUUGAAUUCUUUAUAUAUAAAUGAUUAUGGUUUUGUGAAAAUAUGAAAAUAUGCUAAAAUAUUCGAACCCCUCCCAUUGUACUAAUUCAUUAUAUAAAUGAUUAUGGUGUGUUUAAACUUCUUUCAUUAUUUACUACAUUUUUUCUACACUCACAAUGUUUGCCAGCUCGCUAUAUAAUCAACUUAAAUCAGUUAAAUCCAUCAUGCAAUGCAUUUCCUUCCAAUUUUUUGUGAUAAACUAAUAGAUAAUUGACUAAAUAAACAUCCUGCAAAGUUUCAAUAAAAAUUUCCAAGUUUUUCUUACAAUUUCCGUGGUUUCCAUGUAAUUUUUAUCGAUAUCGAUAUUAUCCCGAUAUUUCUAUUGAUAUUUCCGUGUUUUCGGACUACCGAUAUUUCCGAUAUUACCGAUAUUUUCUUCCUUGAGUCUAGCUCAAUAGUGCCUCGUGUCGUGCUCAUGCUGGCUCAUUUAAUGAAUAAGAUGGGCCGACUCAUCCCAUAUUUGAAACCUUCAGCCCAGUGCACCCCACAACAAUAAUCUAAUUCUGCAUGUGUCGUGCUUGCCAUGCUAGAUGCUGCUUUUUUUUUUAAAUGAAAAUACAUACUUAAUAUAUAAUCACAUAUUAACGAAACUUUGAGUCAAUUAAAAUCUCAUAAAUUAACAUUAUGUCCCUUUAAUCAAAACUGAACAUAAAUAAAAAAAUAUGGACAGUAAUAUAAUCGCACAAACCAAAUAUUGCUAUUUUUUGUAAAGCAUUACCACAUAUGAUUAUAACAUAUCUCUAAAAUUAAAAAUAAAAUAAAAACCUCUCUCCCCUCUCUCUCUACUCUCACCUUCUCUAUCUUCCUCCCUCCUUCCAUUUUAAAAACAAAUGUUCACAUGCACAUAUACUAGUACUAUUAAUAUAUUUCUCAAAAUGACGAUCAUAUCUCUAUUUUUUCUAUUUUAACCUUACUUUUAAUACACAAUAAAAUGUCCACCUAUGUGAUUGAAGAUAUCUGAAAGAGCGGUCAAGAAAUUUGACCAAGGAAGAAAGGAAUAGAUCCCUAAACAUUUGAAUUCCAUGAGUUAAAGAAUUGGUAAAGACGUUGAGCUACUUGGAGUCUAAAAUUUGGGAAGGAAUAAGAAUACCACUUUCGUAGAAGCUUGGAAGUCGAAUCACGUUCACAACACGAAAGUAAGACAUAGCCUUCUUUUCUCAGUUGAUAUUCGUCGAAGAAUAUUAUUGAUUUGAAAUGUUAUUUGGAUAUUGAUAUAAAAUUAUUAUGAACGAUAAAUGUGUCAUGCAUAGUAAAAUCAUUGGAAAUGUAUCAAUGAAAAUGAAUAACUAUAAUCAUUCGUUGGAGUCGUCAAUUAGAAAGGUAUGAGAUUUAUAGAAACAUGGAAGUAAAAGAAGUUGAGAGACUCUCGAAGCACCAAGAUUUAUGUUCAGCCCAAAGUCACGAAAUAAGGGAGUGAAGUCCUUUCAGUUAGAGUCCGAUAAAAUGACCAAAUCGUGUUUAGACAUUGCAGAUUGAGAGUUAAAAAAAAUGACUAAUAAAAAGAGAAAUUUAGUUAUCUGUUAACUGGAUUAACAUUAUAGAAUGAAGAGAAAACAUUACAUUCAUGUACUAUUAUUGCUCCCGGUGAAUUAAAUGCAUUGUGAUUAUUACCUUAUCGAACUAGUAGCUCAUCCAUGACAGUAAUUGAAUUAGAGACUUGAAAAGUAGUUUAUUUUACCGGUGUUGAAGUAGAGACUUGAUAAGUAGUUGAUUUUUAAUAAAGUGUGAAUUUAAAAAUGCUAAAAAGAUUCUCUCAAAGUUUUCAAAAAAAAAAAAAGUAAGUUCCUCAUGAACUUUCCAUCGGAUCAUAUAUUUUUUUCAUAAUAUUUUAUAAUGUAAUAAGAGAAUUAUGCUAAAAACGUAAUGUGCUGGAAGAAUUCUAUUUUAAAAAAAAAAAUCUCACUAACAUUUAUCAUAAACUUUUGUACAGUAAUUCCAGUGUGCUUGAGUGAUUUUCUAAAACCUUGUGAUGAUGUAAAAUAAGAGCUUUCUAUUUUUUUCUCUAUUUUAUGUGAGUUUUUGAAUUUUUACUAUGCUUUUUCGUCGUGGUCUCAUAUUAGUUUGAUAUUUUUGGGAGCGAACUCCAGUGUCUUCGUUUCAUAUUUGAUAUUUUCAUUGAGUUCAUUGACAAAGGAGUAUCAUUGCAAGUUUUCACAAAAAAAAAAAGGAGUUUCAUUGCAACUCUUUUUGUGAGCUUCCAAGUGGCCCCAAGUAUGUUAUUCUGCACUUUUAUUACCAUAUGCAAUAUGCUUCUAUAAAUUAUCUGGAAGAAAGUAUUACUUAUGAGCUAUAUCUAAUUUUUUGUUUCACUUGUUUUUUCUUAUUAUAUAUGUCACUUAGGUUCGAGCAUUUAGCCUUGAAAACAAGAUUUCAAAUUCGAUUUCGGCUUCAACAAUAUUUGCUAGCAUAAAAAGAGGGUUAAGUUAUUGAUUCGUACGCCGUUAAGUUGAAUUUGGUUGCAAGUCUAAUCAAUAUUAUUUGGUGUUUUAUUUAAAUAAUUUAAGCAGGCAAAUGGGUCAUGUUUAUCGUGUUUUUGUUGUUUUUGUGUCAUACCCGUUAUCUCAAUGGGUCGUGUUGUGUUAAACCUGUUAUCUUAAUGAAUUCUUAACAGGUGAUCCGAUAACUACUUAAUUUGUUAACCAAUCGUGUCGUUUCAUGUCCAGUUAAGAGGCCAUGCAAGAAUUUAAUAUACCUAAUAUCUAGAUAUGGAAAACCAUAUCUUAUCAAGUUCUUAACGGGCUACCUGAUAAUGAACCGCAUUGUUAAUGAAUCACGCUAGGCUCUAGUCUGGUGGUGAACAGAGGCGUCUAGGUGGGCAGGUGCCUAGGUAGGUUUAGGCUUCCUUUCUUAAUUUUCAAAUGCCUAGGAAUUAAUCUGGGCGGUAGACAACCGUCUAGCUCCUAGGCGGCGCUAUGUGGAGAUUUUUAGAACAGUGGUUAACAUGUUGACCAAAAUCCUGUUAUUUUCGUAUCGUUUCUUGUCUAAUUAACGGGUCGUGUAAAAUAUUAUUAGGCCUUUGUGUAGAGUUCAAUCCGCUAUCUUCUUUUCGACGUGUGUACUUUCACUUAACAACAAUUUUGUGGAACUUGUCAACUGCCACCUACAAAGAAUUGGAACUUUUUGUUAUCCUUAACACGGACAAAAAACCAUGACAUUUGGUGGAAGAAUUAGAUUGAAUGAGUUCGAAAAUUAUCAAGCAUAGAUUUUUGUUCUUGAACCAAAUUUUUUAAUUCUGUGUUCUUGGAAAAAAAACUCGAGAAAGUAGUUUUUGGACUAAGUUUGGCCCCUUUGUUAAACUGAAUGAAAGUUAAGAACAGAAAUUUAAAUUUCUUGAGUACUAGACAAUUUCAGGUACCUUAUUUAGAUCUUGAUUUCUUUUGGUUUGUGGUUUCGUUUUGAAAACUAAGCACAUAGUUUGUAAAAUACAAAAAUUUAUCCAUUGCGUUAUUUUUUUUCUUUUUCUGUUGUUUUGAAACUUGUCUAUUCUGCAGACAGAUUGCAUACCAAGUAUCGAAGGCCAAAAUGGAGUCAGCUGCAUCACUAUUGAUUGGGAAAAUUGCGGCCAUUCUUGAAAACGAAGCAUCUUCCAUAGCGGCAGUCCGUGAUGAAAUUGAUGAGCUUAAGCUGGAGCUCAUAAGCAUGAAAUCUUUCUUAAUAGAUGCUGAAGGCAAGGAACCACAGACAGAAGGAGAGAAAAAGUGGGUUACAAGCGUCAGAGAUUUGACCUUGGAUGCGGAAAAUGUCAUUGAUGAGUUCCUGUAUCACAUAUAUGACCAGCAAAGUGCGACUCCAUUUGAAAAAUGGCUCCACAAACCAUUCACAUUCCAAAGAAUCUUUGGUUUAGGCAUCGAAUAGCCAAAAAAUUACAGAAAAUCACAAAAAAGAUCAAAGCCAUUCCUGAGAGGAAUCAGAGAUAUGGUGUCUCUACAAUAGAAGGAACAAGUUCGGAUAGUGUUCCCAGAUGGGUGAAGAACAAAGCCGAGUCUUCUCUUUAUAUUAUGGAAGACGAAUUAAUCGGGAUUGAAGACAAGAAGCAAACGUUAAUGGGAUUGUUGAUGAAUGGCGAGGAAAAUGAAAUGGUUGUGUCUGUGGUCAGGAUGGGAGGAUCAGGCAAGAUAACUCUUGUUGCCAAUAUCUUCAACAACGAAAAUGUAAAGCGGCAUUUUGACUGUUAUGCAUGGAUCACUGUUUCUCAAACUUUUGUGAUCGAAGACUUAUUCAAAAAUCUGAUCAAGCAAUUCCACCAAGGAAGAAAGGAAGAGGUGACUGCACAAUUGGAUUCCAUGAGUAACAAAGAAUUGUUAGAGAUGUUGUCGACAUACUUGAAGUCUAAAAGGUACCUAGUUGUAUUGGAUGAUGUGUGGGACAUUAAACUUGGCAAGAAAUAAGGAUACCACUUCUUAAUAGACAUCGUGGAAGUCGAAUCAUGCUUACAACUCGAAAGAAAGACAUAGCAUUCUAUUCUUUUGAAGUUGAAAGUCGUCAUAUUGAAAUUGAACCCUUGGGAAACAAUGAAGCUUGGGAGCUCUUUAGCAAGAAAGCAUUCUCAACUUACGAUAAUAAAUCUUGUCCACCAGAGCUUGAAUCCUUAGCAUGGAAACUUGUGGAUAAGUGUGAAGGCCUACCUCUGGCAGUGGUAACUUUAGGUGGUCUAAUGUCUUCCAAGAGGUCAUCAUUGGAAUGGAGAAGCGUAUAUAACAGCUUAAAUUGGCACUUGACUAACCAUCCUAUGCUGGAACCAAUGAGCAGCAUCUUGUUGCUUAGUUUCAACAAUUUGCACAACCGGUUGAAGCCAUGUUUCCUAUACUGUGCCCUCUUCCCAGAAGAUUAUCUCAUCAAAAGGAAAAGGUUGAUCAGGUUGUGGAUAGCUGAAGGGUUUGUUGAACCAAUUGAUGGGGUCACACCAGAAGAAGUUGCAGAUGGUUAUCUUGUGGAACUGAUUGUUCGUAGCAUGCUACAAGUUGAAAAGCAUGAAGCUGGAGGACUAAGAGCAUGUAAGAUGCAUGAUCUUGUGCGUGAGCUUGCUUUGUCGAUAUCAAAAAUGGAAAAGUUCGGUGCUACGUGUAUUGGCAGAGAAAUAGUAGAUAAAGUUGAAAUCCGCCGAUUGUCAAUUCAAACAACUGAAAGAGAAAUUAAUUCUUCCACAGGUAUGUAAGAGCUUCGCUCCUUUCUUGUCUUUGGCUCUUUAGAGAAAUUGCCUUCUGGAUUCAAGUUGUUGAGAGUUCUAGAUGUGCAGGAUGCUCCAAUUGAUAGAUUUCCAGAUGAACUAGUGUACUUGUUCAACUUAAGAUAUUUAAAUUUGAAGAGAACUUUUAUUGACGAGCUUCCAGAAUCCAUCGGACGGCUUCGCAACCUUCAAACCUUGAACAUCCGUGACAGUAAGAUAAAGGCACUUCCGAAAGUAAUCUCCAAGUUACUAAACCUACGUCAUCUAAUCAUGUAUUGUUACACUGGUGAUUGGGAGGCCUUUAGAUGGGCCAAUGGGACAAAAGCAGCAUCCGAUCUAAGUAAAUUACAGAAACUGCAAGUUUUGCAAUGUGUUGAAUCAGAAGGAAAGAUUGUUAAAGUCAUCAGGAAUAUGACCCAACUUACAAGCCUCGGUAUUACAAAUGUGAAAGCAAGUGACGAGAUGGACCUAUGUGACUCCCUUCAAACGUUAGAGCUCCUUCAACAUUUGUUUUUAAUGGCAAGUGAUGAAGAGGAGUUUCUUCGGGUUAAUGCACUACGUUCGCCCCUUGCAGACCUUCAAAUUGUUAAUUUGGCCCGAAAACUAGAAAAAGUACCUAUUUGGUUUGGUUCGCUCCAUAACCUGACACGCAUGCAGCUAAAUUGGUCUAGACUUGAAGAAGAUGUGCUACCUCACAUUCAAGCAUUGCCGAAUCUUGAAAGGCUUGGGCUAAUUAAUGUGUAUGUUGGCGAAAAAUUGUGUUUCUCCAGAGGCUUCAUAAAGCUCAAGCAUUUGAUGUUGCGCAUCUACCCCUUAUUGAAUAGUAUAGCUAUAGAGAAAGGGGUGAUGCCAAAUCUCCAGGUCUUAGACAUUGAUGACUGCAUGAAGUUAAAGACAUUGCCACAAGGCAUUGAGUUCCUUGCUAACGUAGAACGCUUGACUCUGCAGUCUGUUCCAAUGCAACUUAUAGAGUCCGUAAAAUGAGGCAUGGAUCAUCCAAAGGUACAACACAUUCCUGAAAUCAACCUGGAUUAUGGGUGGUAUCGUGAAAGCUUGUGGUAUUCACUCUCGUAGAAGGUACGCACCUUUUUAUCCAUGCAUAAAAAAUUUCCACAACAUAAUCAUUUGAACUAUUACAUUAGAAAGGUUGGUGAUUUUCACUCCUAUUUUUUCUUAGGAAAACUAAUGAAAAUGAUUUAAAAACUUUAAAACCUUUUUUCUUAUGCAAUUUUCCUUCUGUUUUUGUUUGUUAGUAUUUUGAUUUAUUUAAUUUUAAGGCUACAAAAAAGAGGAAGUAGUGCAUCAAAGUGUAAAAAUCAUUUUCCCUUAUAAUUUGCCUGUUCGAUCUUAUUCACAAGUCUGGCAAAGACAUAAUGUAUGCAUGCAUUGAGAUGUUUUUAGGUAAGCGUGUUUCUUUUGUUUUGUAAUAUCCUUUUGUAGAAACAAGCUUCAGAAGCACUUGUCGUGAGACUGCAGUGAGAUCUCCUUAUUGGCAAUUGAUUUUGCGGUGAGUCUCAACUUUCGUUAUAGUAUCAGAGCAGACUAUAUACAUGUUGAGACAUUAGCCCUGCAAGGAAGAAUCCAUUGUUUGUGUGGAGUUGCAAACAUUGCCCUUUAUGAAAUUGAAAAAUGCCCAAGAUUCUGUUUGUGUAACUGGAAUUUAUAUUACUGAUUGCUUGCGUGUGUUUGAUGUAUUAAUAUUGGUUUGGAAUUGAGGAACUUAUAUUACUGAUUGCUUGCGUGUGUUUUGAUGUAAUAAUAUUGGUUUGGAAUUGAAUCUGUCUCUGAUGAGACCAGUCCUAGCUUAAUCAAUGGUUAUGACCCAUUUUUCAUUUUCAAUAUAUAUUGUAUUAGAGGAAAAGAAGUGAUUUUUGUUAAGUAAAUAAACAAUAAGAAUAAUGCUAGGUACACUAAAUGAUGUGGCUAAUUACUUUUUUAUUUUAAUUCAAAUUAGAUUUGAUUAAUAAUUAUAAUAAAAAUUUAUAUAGUGUAAUACGUGUGACAUUAUUUAGUACAUAAAUUUAAUGUAUAUAACAUCACCCAAAUAAUAAUAAUAACGAUUGACCAAUUUGUGUAAAUAUUUUACUGUAUAAAAAAAACUAUAUUCAUUAAAAACCCACAAACCUCAACAUUCCUAAGCAAGUUAUUUUUAUUUUUUCAACAAACGAUAUUAUCUACACUAAGAGGGAAGGGGGUAAGCUAAGCCUCAUAAUGGGCUAGCAAUAAUGUGGUUCAAAUUUGUCUUUGGCAGAAUCAAAUCUAAGAUCUCUCACUUACAAGUGAAGAGGAAUACCACUAGACCGUAGUACUAAGCGGCAUGAAUUUAUGUACUUUAUCUUAAGACUAUUAACAAUGAGCGCAUUCUAGAAUUUAGAGGUUAUUGUGUUCAGUCCUACUCUCAUAAUGUCCUCAUUAGUCAUAAGAUUGUAUUAUUUUAGAUCUAAAGAUUUAAAAUAUUUGACAACUUAAUAGAGCAAAAUCAACUAAAAAUCCAUGAAGUCAUUUGGAAAUGCAUACUACACACCUGUUAAUGUAUGCAAGAGGCAACACCCAAGGUAUUCAUGGACAUUCAUCGGGUUUUGGUAGCCCUGAAGUCGGUUGGAGGUCAUGUAUGAAGCCAACUCUAAUCUUCAAAAUGGCAGCACUCAAGGUAUCCAUGGACAUUCAUCGAAGUUCAGAGGGUCAGCACCUAAGAUUUCUAUGGACGUUCAUCCAAGUUCGGGGGGUCAGCUUGUAACGCCCCGGUCCCGAAAUAUUUAUUUUAUUUCGAGAAAUAAUAAUAUUAGUGAUAGGCCCAAAAUAAAAAUCUUAUUUAGUUUAUUAACUUUAGCUAACAACUCCAAUUCAAAUCCUUCAUUCCACAAGCAAUUUAUAAGCAUUAUUCAUUCUUCCAAAACAUCCAAUUUAAAUUCCAAUUUAGUACCAUUUCUUUGUAAGGACCAAUUUCCAUUAUGUAACCUUUAUUCUUGAAUUAAUUUAACUUCACAUAUUUUAUGGCUGCAUCUAACGUCUUGUUAGACUGCCUACGUACCCUCAACAGGGAUCAAGCCUUUCGUAGUUCAAAAGUUCAAAGUUUCGAACCAAAGACAAACUAUUCAUUUAAUCCUACAUACACCACAAUCAUAUUAAUAUUUAAACCAUAAAAGUUAGAUAAAAAAAAAUAACCUACUUAAAAUAACGAAAUUCAUAUAACAACGCAAAUGUUAGCUCCUUGGCCGUGUGCCACCGCCCCCACCGCCGCAGGUGGCGGUUGGCUGCCCGACUCGCCGGAAAAUUCAACUAUUUCUAAAAUUUCUCAAAAAUUACAGAAAUGAAGAUCUCAAUGAGUAGAGAAACUUUCAUACCUGAAACCAAGGCCAAUUUUGCCUGGAAAGGAUCCAAUUUCAUCAAAACCCAUUGGAACCCUAGAAUUUGGGUGUCCUCAAUUUGACUCCAUAGCAACUCCGACGCCCAAACUAAUGAAUGGGCUUUGUUCCAGCUCUUAAGGGGAGUCUAAUGGUAGUGGCAUUGGACGUAAAUCAUUUCAAAUUUUGGUUAAUUUGGAAACCAUGCCACCGCACCCCCAACGUCCGGAUCUACCCAUUUCAAGCUCAAAUCCCAUGAUUUUUGAGGUGUAGUAAGAUAAGGGAAGGUUAUGGACGGUUUUACAAUAGUUAAUUUGGUGUAAUUCACGGGAAAAAUGACUAAAUUUUGUCGUACAAGGGCAAGGAAACACGACCGGGUCGGGUUUGGCCACUUGGGUCACGGGAUCCUCCGCUUCCCCCAUCCUCUCCUUUUUCCUCCUUUCUCUCUCUCUCAUUGGUCACCUCUCAUCCUCCCCUUUUCUGAUUGGCCCAUCUCUCCCUCCUUUCUCUCCUUUAUCUUCCAUCUCCACCGCCUAACUUUUCUUACUUUCAAUCUGGGCCACACACGUGGCCUUCCAGAUUUGGCUCCAAAAAUCUGGAGCAUUCUAGUAAUGGUAAAUUUACAAUUUUAUCCCCAACUUUAAACGUUAAUAACUUCUGCAUUCUAACUCCGUUUCAUGAACGGUUUGCGCCUACGCGUUCGUGAGGUCGAGCUCUAUUCAAAAAUAUAAAUCUUGACCUCGAAAGGUCUACGUAUUUUAAAAAAUAAAGGUCCAAACUUUAAACCUCGUAACUUGUUUAAUUUAAAACUAAACUUACACAAAUUAUUAUAAAUUCUUGAAAAAUCAUAUAAAAGCUCAGUUAUAUUCUCGAUUUAAUUCUUCAAAAUCAUCAAUCGAUUUAUUUUGAUUUUCUACACAUAUUCAUAUAUUUAAAAUUUUCAGGGUAUUACACAGCUGGCCCCCAUUGCCCCUUAAUGGAUCCGUCAGUGAUCUAAACUAAUAUAAUUUUGUGGCUAAUAUGCAUUUGGUCCUCACAAGUCAUCAAAAUAAAGACCUUACGAUAGCAUGACUCUAUGGUGUUUCCAACGAGUCCAGUUGAUAAUGUUCUCAUAUGAUUAACAACGAGCGCAUUCUAUAAUUUAUCAUCGGCCAACAUGGUCGGUCGAGUAUAAAUGUUUAGAAGACCCUAAAUUAUAUGUGCCUGGAGCUAGAUAGACCCCUAUUAGGAAUGGACACAAGAACAAAUGUUUGAGGGCGUAGGGUGAGAGAAUGACUUACAUAAUUUAGGUAUACUGUUACGUUUUAUGCCAAUAAUACAAUGUUGAUAUGUGUAAGUUUUUAUCUACAAAACAAUGUAUCACAUCAAUAAAAUGUCACAAUAAUAAUAUACUUGUGUCAUAUAAAUUACUAUCAUCAAGAGCACACUAAGCGGUGACACUACCAAUUAUUAUUUUAAAGACACAGUAGAGUAGGAUUAGGACAAAAACUCCGUAAUUACUUAGUGUUGUCAUUAAAUCUUGACCAUUCGAUCGAUCUAAGGGCUGUAAUCAAAAUCCGGGAGAGAGACGGACGCAAUCUCCGACCAGGAGUAUGAGUACUUGGCUUCGACAUCCUAUAUAUACAACGAGACACACCAUUUACAUGCAUACAUACAUCAUCGACGUUCAAGUUUCAAACCCUAACGUUGGCUCUUUCCGUCUUGUCUCGUCGUCUGUUUUUGUUCCUUCCAGAAAGGGGAAUCUGAAGAAUCCGACGGUAACGAUGUCGAUGAUAGAUAACGUGUUCAGGAUGAUGAUAACUUCGAGGACUGGUUUAUAACCAAACGCCAAGAGCUUCAGAACUCUGCGAGAGUCGCUAUGGAAGCUUUGCUCUCGGAACCCAGAAGUUUCCUGAACGUUUUGAAUUUGGCAAUCAAAUUGACCAAGGCAAUCGUAUUGGUGCCCCUUUGUGUGCUGGCCUUCUAUGCUGUGAUCCUGAUUAGGGUGGGAAUCGCUUGUUUGAUCUGCGUCCCAAUACUUUUUAUUAUUUUCAUCGUCCUUGUCGGUGUCCGUAAGUUACUGACCAUAGACUUCGACUUGCAAAUUAUGUAACUAUGAUUUCUAGUUGUUUGUUCGUUGCUCACCAACUGUCUGUUUAAAUGACUGAAUGAGCUUUUUUGUUUCGUUUCUUUUCUUGCAGGUUACGGUCGGGCACACUAUCUGUUCUUCACAAGACGAAACCGCGCGGGGAUGUCGUAUGCCGACUUCAUUGACAAGUUCGGCGCGUGGUUGACAAACAAUCCUCUUCCACCUUUCGAAUCAUUUGGUGAAUCCGCUCAACAUUGGGCACAUCACGUGUGGGGCUUCAAAUUGGAAGAAGAUUGAGGAAGAUUUCAGAGUUACUAUGGAAUGUAUGUAGAGAUUAUUAGGUUGGAUGACCAUAAAAUGAAAAUUGCUGCUUCUGUUUAUUUUUCUCUCUCUCUAUUAAUUUAAUUUUUCUUUCUAAAUAACUACGCCAUUUAUCGGAGAGCGUAUUGAACGACAUAGUAUCCGUAAGAACGACUUGUGACAUUACAAUACAAAAAAAUAAAAAUAUGAAGACCAGUUUGUGACAAAGUAUCUAGGAUUAUGGUUAAAGUAUAGCAUCUAUGUGUUAUUCUUCAUCACUUGGAAGCAACUUUUUUCAAUUAAUUACAGAAGCACGACAGUGAUUGAAACUUUAACAUAGAUAAUCGAACUAUUAGAGUCUAAGAAAAUUUAUUUGGCAAGGAAUUCGGAUUGCGAGGGUUAAAAGAGAGGCCAUACCCUCACUUUUUGUUAGAAACAGACUCUAUGUAUGUUGUUCAUCUCCUUUCAACUUGUUCUAUGAAAGUCCCCUUGUUUCUCAAAGCUGUUUAGGGCAAAUUGCUUAUGAUAUAGUGCUCGCUUAAGCUUGCAUUUUUUGCAUAAAUGUAAGGAGUGGAAUUGUUUGGCCAAUGAUUUUGCUAAUUAUGGUUAGGCAAUUUGGCUAACCGUCUUAGGUUUUAAAACGAUCUUUCACAAUCUUUUUCAUCACUUCUUGUUGCUUUUUUUAUUUUUUUUUUCUAGCGGUUGAUUGAAUAAAGAUUCCAAUAAAGCGUCGAUGUUAUUCUUAGGCUAAUUAGAUGUCUUGAGUUCAUUUUUGGUAGUUGUAUGACGUAGGUUGAUUGUUGGAAUCUAAAUUAUCUACGUUACGUUAAUAGAUCAUUGUAUGAAUUGACGAUCCGACCGUUGGAUCGUCACCAAACUUUAGUAGCUUAUAAUACGUAAUAUUUGAGGACCAUAGGAACUUACGGAUUGAGAAUCCAAUAUAUGGACCUUCCCAAAAUUGGAUUUGUAAGUUCAUAAAAUAAAAGGUUAACCGCCGCUUGGUUUUGACAAUUUGCGGAGAUCCGACCGUUGAGUAAUGGGACUGUAGGAUGUUGUUCUAGAAGUAUAAUGUGGAUCUUUGGAAGCAACGGAUUGGAAAUCCGUGAUGCAGAUCUUCCGAAUUGAAUUACGUAGGGAUGUGUUUUAUGUAAAUUGUGUAUUUUAUCGUUAUGAACUCUAAGAUGUGAUUUGAUAAUUGGUUAUAGGCGACGAUGGUUCGUGAUGUCUCGAUAUGCGUGCUAGAGAGUCGUGGCGCGGACCUCAGUUAAGUGGGUCUUUUUCUUUUUAUCGUACAUUAUAUAUAUAUAUGAUUGACAAUUCCACAACGUUUAUAAAAUUGCUUAUUGCGUAUAAUUAUUAUGAAUGCUUUGAAGUACUAAUGUGAACUACGAAUGGCUUGAUCCUUGUUUAGGGUACGUAGGCAGUCUAACGAGACGUUAGAUGCAGCCAUACAAUAUUUGAAACAGAAAUCUUGUUUGGGAAUUGAGCAAUGUGAACGAAAUUGGUGAAAAUAUGAGAUUUAACCUUAUAUUUUUAGUAAUUGGAUGUUGGUCAUAAAUCAAUGUGGAAGGAAUCAAGAAAUUGAAAUAAGGAAACAUAAGUAAUGAUAGUUAAUUAAACUAGUGUUUAGUUGGAUUUAUCCCCGAUAAUUAUUUCCGAAAAUAAAUAAUUCGGGAGUAGGGCAUUAUAGAUUGUGCAUUUUACACCACAUUAUAUAUAUAUAUAUAUAUAUAUAUAUAUGUAUAUAUUGGAAAAAUAUUAUGAUAUGGUUGAGUUUUAGAUUUGCAUUAUGGCAUAUCCAUGUAUAUAAUACCUGCACAUAAUUAUUGUCAACGCUUGAAGUGCAAGGGUGAAUGCAGGACACCCAGGUAAGUUCAGGUAAGUUUAUGGUAUUAGUUGAAAUGAUGGAGUUAUGGCAUGACUACAUGCAUGUUUUAAGCAACUCUGACACUGUCGUACGAGUUGCCCAUGAGUCGUACAUGUUAUGUUGAGAUACAUUGAGAGCUCAUAAACUUGCACCCCGAUGUUAGUGCUCCCGCCCGUGGCUAGGGCACAGUCCUUCACGUAAUGUUCACCUCCCACACCUUACGCUCACCUUAGAUCCAAGGUAGGUGCACAGUUCUAUCGUGCAGACCACUAUAGGUGGUUCUGACUCGUAGGUGACCUGCGAUUAUUCACACAGUCUUCAUGUGAUCGUAGCACUUAAGCGUAUUUAUUUACACUCAGUCAUGUCGUACAAACCGCUUUAGGUGGUUCCAACUUGUGUGCAGAGCUAUGGAUAAGUCGUACAGGUCACUAUAGGUGACUUCGAUUUAUGAGCUAGCAUAUGUGAUGAAAUAUGUAAUGAGCUAGCAUAUAUGAUGAGCUAGCAUAUGUGAUGAAAUAUGUGAUGAGCUAGCAUAUGUGAUGAAAUAUGUGACGAGCUAGCAUAUGUGAUAAAAUAUGGGUAAGUCGUACAGGUCACUAUAGGUGACUCCUGUUGGGUUUUUUUCUAGCCCAUGAUAAGUUGUCCUAAGUCUAUUAGGAAUUAAUAGUCUUAGAGGAUUAAAUUGUUUUCUCAAUUGGAGUUAGUUUCUCAAUUGGAGUAGGAUUCAUAACUAGAUUCCAAUUAGGAUUAAUAAUUCUUAUUGAAGAAGACCUUUAUUAUGUCUAUAUAAAGGGGCUAUUGUACUAGUUUUGAGGAGGGAGCAAAACAAUAAUUGUAUACCACUCUAGGGAUUAUAGUGAGAGAAUAUUGUAAAGUGUGUGCGAGAGAAAAGAAAAGAGAUAGUGUAUUACUUGUUCUUGUUCUUUCAGGUUUUUCGUCAAAUCCUAGUUCUAGAGAUUUGGCAAGAUUAUUGGUUGUACUCAUUAUUGAUAUAGUGAAAGAUUGUUGUUGCUGUCCCGUGGACGUAGGCACUGAAGGAUUAUUUUGUGAAAACAUGUUCAUUUAAGCAACAUCACAUAGCAUGCAAUUAACAAUUAAAGGCGGAAUCAUGCUUGCAUGCACUUAAAAACAAAACAUUAACCAAGAAAUUCAAAGCCUAGUAGAUUGGUGAACCAAGAUUCAACUCAAAUCAAAGUGAGUUGAGAAAUAUACCUUUGUAGAUUCCUCUUUGCAUAAGCAAAGGCUAAUCACCCAAAGAGAGGGCCUUCAUUCCUUGCAUCUUAAAUCUCUGGAUUUGGAUGGAUGAAAAGGUUUCUCCAAGUUCCCAAAAUUGAGAACCUCUAAGUAUCUUCACCAAGGUUAGAUUGGAGAAGAAAUGAGUGACCUUGGAGUAGUUAGUAUGGCUAGAUACACCCUCCAAGGGGCCGGCCUCUUUAGAGAGAAAAGGAGAGACAAGUUCUCACCAAUUUUCUCUAAAAGAAACCCUAAAUGAAUUUUGGCUAUAAAGUCAUAUUUAUACCUUUAUUCAUUUGAGUGGCAAACUUGUAAAUAAGUCCAAGUUCACUACCCUUAACAAUAUGGCCGGCCUUAGGGUGUAUUUGGGUUGUUUGGACCUUUGUGAAUAUUUAGUCAUUAAGUUGUCAUACAACUUAAGUCAAUGGGCUUAACGUUCGAAGCCCAUUGGGCCUUAAGGUCCAAAACUAUCCCGAGGUCUUUAACGAACUUAUUCGUUUGAUUAAUUAACAUAUUAAUUAAUCUUUGCCAUAAAUAAUUAAACCAUUUAAUUAUUUUUACUCAUCUCCAUUGUUUCUUCAAUCUCCACCUUACACGGUGUACGAUCCAUUAGGUUCCUUUUAGCGAGGCAGUGAGCGAUUCAAACUCUUUCAAAUCGAUUGUGAAUUGAAACUUACUUUCAAUUCUCCCUUUAGUGAUUAUACACGUUUAGGGCUUCCACAAACCAAGAGUGACACCUAGCAGCAUAUCAUGGUUACCCAAGCUAAUCAGAAGAGGUAGAGAACCUAUUCAGUUUAGGAUUACAAAUGCAAUACGGUCUUUCUCUAAUACAAUACUCUUGACCACAUUGUUUGGUUUGAUAGUUUAUUUAUUCAUGUCUACUAUCCAAUGUGAUUCGUGUGCUUAUAUGAUUACCUUGAAUGUGAUUUGGAACGCUUUCCUAAAUCUCAUUCAUACUCUGGCCAGAGGUUCUAAAUAUCAUAGAGUAUUCUCCCUCAAACAGUUUGAAUGUUAGAGAUCCCUUGUUGCGCAUUCACUUGCCUCCAUGACUAAGUGGCUUAACCCCAACGAUGCCAUGGACACCCCGAUGGGGUGACUUUGACAUAAUCAAAGAUCAAGGACUUAGCCACAAGACAACUGUGAUGCCUCAGGUCAAAGAACUACUUUGCAUUAUCCCAACCAUGAGUUCUCAUGUGACAUGAAUAUGAGAACUCUUCAUUGAUCGUGUUCAGUGAACUCAUUCUCUAUUGAGCACCUACGUACUUGUCUUGAUGUCACACACACCAAUAACUCGAGACUAGUCACUCUCCCUGAGAGAAGACACAGUGCGUACUGAUCUUAACGGACUAUCAAUGCCCAAUUGGCAAUCCUAUGAUCAGGAACGUUUAGGAUGUGUCUACGAAAGAAUGGUCUCAUGAAUCUAACUUCUUUAGAUCGUAUUCUCCCAAUCACAUAUUCCUUGGACUUUAUCGUUUAAGCAUAUAACAUUUAUAUGAGACGGCUUAAACAAUAAUCUUUGCCCUUAAUAUUAAACUAGAUUAGUUUAACAUAUGAAAUGUCCGUAAAGUAUCAUCAUAUGAUUGGCUUUAUGGCACAUUUCCAACAGGCACAUAUUGCCGAACCACGUAAAUUCUUGGUGUUAUUUAUAUUGGUUAUUUGUUUUCAAUUUCCAGAGUUUAUUCUAUUUUUCCCAUUCUUAAACGCGAUAUUCUCAACAACUCCGACUUAUGAGUUAACAUCAAUUAAUGAGAUAUGGGUACAAUCGUACAGGUCACCAUAGGUGACUCAGACUUGCAUGCUAGUAUGAGUUAUUAAUCACAUAAUUAUUGAUAUUGCUGAUGAGAUGCGGUGUUGUGGUAUAUUUAUGAUUUUUCUGGAAACUAUACAGGUGUUGUAGCGAGGGGUUAUAAUGUUUUAUAUGGUUUCUAUUAAAAUUUUAUCUCUAGGGCCACUCACCCUUGUUUUGUUUUCACCCUCCAGGUUUUAUUAGCUGAGCUUUCUUAUCAUCGAAGAUUCGUGGCGAUUCUUAGUAUUGGAGAUUCUUUCGAGGGUACGAUUCUUAAUCCACUCUACUAUACUUACUUAUGCUCUAAUGUCACGUGUGAAGUGGGUUCCUUCCCGAUCACUAGCGCACUCGGGUAUUUAGGCACUCUUAGGUUUAAAUUUAUUCACAUGUUUUCACAUCAUCACACUUUAUGGUUUCGUCACCUUCCAGGUGUAGGCCAGCGCAGCUCGAUUUGGAGUCCAAGUGGAUAUUCCGGGUCGGGGUGUGUUAAUGUAUCAAAAAAAGUAUUCAUUUAUUUAUUUAUUUUAUCUAAUAUAUAAAGCCAAUGGCCUAAUAAAUAGUGUUUUUGGGUGUCACAAGCUUCACCAAAAAAAAAAGGACAGAAAUGCCCCUCAAACAAAAAACUUCAAAAACAAUCCAAAUAAUGCAUCAAAUGUGGUAGGGGUAUUUUCGUCAUUUUAACAAUGUUUUUUAAUAAUUAAUUUUUUUGUACAUUUUUUUUUAAUAAUUAGUACCCCACAAUAAGCUAGCAAUAAUAUGAUUCAAUCAGUUGUUCAUUAAAUAUUAUUUUCUCUAUUUUUAAACACGUUCAAAACAUUUUAAGAGGCGUGUAAUGCCGAUUAUUAAAAAGGUCUUCCCCACGCGGAUAAUAAUGUGAUUAAAUUAGUUGUCAAAUGAUUGUUUUUUUUUAACAAACGAUAUUAUCUACACUAAGGUGGGGGAGUGGGUUUAGCCUCACAAUGAGUUAGUAAUAAUGUGAUUCAAUUAGUUGUUUAUUAAAUAUUAUUUUCUUUAUUCUUAAUGUAAAUUCAAUAGAUACCAAUUUUAUUAUGUGGAUUCAGCUGCUUUAAUUGGUUUAUGAGGGGUUUCUUCUAGCAUGAUCUAAGAUUAUUCAUUUACUUCAAAUAUAUUUGACUUUCCUUUUGUCAAUUUACGCAUAUAAAUACAUUUAAAACGUGUAAGUCGCGCAUAUGACGUCAUAAUUCAAAAAAUGUCUUCUGCACGAGCAUGCAUGAAGGAUAGUAUAUUAUAUGAGAAUGAGACCUAUAUAAAUAUUUUAUAAUAUAUUAUUUUACAAAUUUAGCCAACUUUUAAAUUAGCCCGUUAUAAACCGGCCAAGAAUAUUUAAUGGAUUUAUCGGGAAUUUUGAAUGACCGCCUCGUGCCCCAUGCACGGCCAGCAGCUCGAAUGAUCGCGGCUCUGCCUGAGUCCGACCGCGCUCCGGGCCAAGCGAACUGCCGUCGGAGCAGUGGAGUCGAAGCCUCACCGGUGCCGCCACAUCGCCACCACCGCGAAUAUUUUCGUGUACAGCACUCAGCCUACUAGCAUACACGCGCGCAAUUCGGGAUAGCUACGGCUUUGGUUAGUUCUUUGGCGCAUUUUAUCGAACUUUUUGUAGGCAAUUGAAGUUUUAUGUUAUUCUUGGUUCGUUUCGAAGUUGAAAGUGUUCGGCUUGAUUGAUUUGACUGUAUGAAAGUGAGAGCUCUGUGAUUAAGAUAUUAUUUUUGAAGGAAUAUGGUGUUUUAAUGGAGUUAAUUUGAUUGUUAAUUGUCUGCUUUUGUGUUUUUAGAUACAACGCAUAUGAACUGAAGAGAUUGGGUCAUAAUUAAUGUAGACAAGGUUGUGACUGUUUCUGUAUUUCCAACUUCGGAUAUGCAGUAAUAUGCAUAGUUGUUGCCUUCUUUCGGAUAUGCAGUAAUAUGCAUAGUCGUUGCCCACAGAUUACCGUGAUUACAAUAUUAGAAAUCUGCCAACAUGGUCAUCAAAAUAAAGACCUUACGAUUACGAGAGCAUGACUCUAUGGUGUUUCCAACAAGUCCAGUUGAUAAUGUUCUCACAUGAUUAACAACGUGCGCAUUCUAGAAUUUAUCGUCGGCCAACAUGGUCGGUCGAGUAUAAAUGUUUAGAAGAUCCUAAAUUAUAUGUGCCUAGAGCUAGAUAGACCCCUAUUCGGAAUGGACACAAGUACAAAUGUUUGAGGGCGUAGGGUGAGAGAAUGACUUACAUAAUUUAGGGACACUGUUACGUUUCAUGCCAAUAAUACAACAUCGAUAUGUGUAAGUUUUUCUCUACAAAACAAUGUAUCACUGCAAUAAAAUGUCACAAUAAUAAUAUACUUGUGUCAUGUAAAUUACUUUCGUGUAUCAUCAAGAGUACACUAAACGGUGACACUACCAAUUAUUAUUUUAAAGACACAGUAGAGUAGGAUUAGGACAAAAACUCAGUAAUUGCUUAGUGUUGUCGUUAAAUCUUGACCGUUCGAUCGAUCUAAGGGCUGUAAUCAAAAUCCGUGAGAUAGACGGACGCAUUCUAGAAUUUAUCGUCGGUCGAGUAUAAAUGUUUAGAAUACCCUAAAUUAUAUGUGCCUAGAGCUAGAUAGACCCUUAUUCGGAAUGGACACAAGUACAAAUGUUUGAGGGCGUAGGGUGAGAGAUUGACUUACAUAAUUUAGGGACACUAUUAAGUUUCAUGCCAAUAAUACAACAUCGAUAUGUGUAAGUUUUUCUCUACAAAACAAUGUAUCACUGCAAUAAAACGUCACAAUAAUAAUAUACUUGUAUCAUGUAAAUUACUUUCGUGUAUCAUCAAGAGUACACUAAACGGUGACACUACCAAUUAUUAUUUUAAAGACACAGUAGAGUAGGAUUAGGACAAAAACUCAGUAAUUGCUUAGUGUUGUCGUUAAAUCUUGACCGUUCGAUCGAUCUAAGGGCUGUAAUCAAAAUCCAUGAGAUAGACGGACGCAAUCUCCUACCAGGACUAUGAGUACUUGGCUUCGACAUCCUAUAUAUACAACGAGACACGCCAUUUACAUGCAUACAUACAUCAUCGACGUUCAAGUUUCAAACCCUAACGUUGGCUCUUUCCGUCUUUUCUCGUCGCCUGUUUUUGUUCCUUCCAGAAAGUGGAAUCUGAAGAAUCCGACGGUAACGAUGUCGAUGAUAGAUAACGUGUUAAGGAUGAUAGAUAACUUCGAGGACUGGUUUAUAACCAAACGCCAAGAGCUUCAGAAAUCUGCGAGAGUCGCUAUGGAAGCUUUGCUCUGGGAACCCAGAAGUUUCCGGAACGUUUUGAAUUUGGCAAUCAAAUUGACCAAGGCAAUCGUAUUGGUGCCCCUUUGUGUGCUGGCCUUGUAUACUGUGCUCCUGAUUAGGGUGGGAAUCGCUUGUUUGAUCUGCGUCCCAAUACUUUUCAUUAUUUUCAUCGUCCUUGUCGGUGUCCGUAAGUUACUGACCAUAGACUUCGACUUGCAAAUUAUGUAACCAAGAUUUCUAGUUGUUUGUUCGUUGCUCACCAACUGUCUGUUUAAAUGACUGAAUGAGUUUUUUUGUUUCGUUUCUUUUCUUGCAGGUUACGGUCGGGCACACUAUCUGUUCUUCACAAGACGAAACCGCGCGGGGAUGUCGUAUGCCGACUUCAUUGACAAGUUCGGCGCGUGGUUGACAAACAAUCCUAUUCCACCUUUCGAAUCAUUUGGUGAAUCCGGUCGACAUUGGGCACAGUACAUGUGGGGCUUCAAAUUGGAAGAAGAUUGAGGAAGAUUUCAGAGUUACUAUGGAAUGUAUGUAGAGAUUAUUAGAUUGGAUGACCAUAAAAUUAAAAUUGCUGCUUCUGUUUAUUUUUCUCUCUCUAUUAAUUUAAUUUUUCUUUCUAAAUAACUACGCCAUUUAUCGGAGGACGUAUUGAACGACGUAGCAUCCGUAAGAACGACUUGUGACAUUACGAUACAAAAAAAAAAAAGAAAAAAAAAAGCAGUUUGUGACAAAAUAGCUAGGAUUAUGGUUAAAGUAUAGCAUCUAUAUCUAUAUGUUAUUCUUCAUCACUUGGAAGCAACUAUUUUCAAUUAAUUACAGGAGCACGACAGUGACUGAAACUUUAACAUAGAUAAUCGAACUAUUAGAGUCUAAGAAAAUUUAUUUGGCAAGGAAUUCGGAUUGUGUGGGUUAAAAGAGAGGCCAUACCCUCACUUUUUGUUAGAAACAGACUCUAUGUAUGUUGUUCAUCUCCUAUCAACUCGUUCUGUGAAAGUCCCCUUGUUUCUCAAAGUUGUUUAGGGCAAAUUGCUUAUGAUAUAGUGCUCGCUUAAGAUUGCAUUUUUUGCAUAAAUGUAAGGAGUGGAAUUGUUUGGCCAAUGGUUUUGCUAAUUAUGGUUAGUCAAUUUGGCUAAACUGUCUUAGGAAACGAUUUUCACUCUUUUUCAUUCUUUUGCGCUUUUUUAUUUAUUUUUCAAGCGGUUGAUUGAAUAAAGAUUCCAAUAAAGCGUCGAUGUUAUUCUUAGGCUAAUUAGAUGUCUUCAGUUCAUUUUUGGUAGUUGUAUGACGUAGGUUGAUUGUUGGAAUCUAAAUUCUCUACGUUACGUUAAUAGGUCAUUGUAUGAAUUGACGAUCCGACCGUUGGAUCGUCACCAAACUUUAGUAGUUUAUAAUACGUAAUAUUUGAGGACCACAGGAACUUACGGAUUGGGAAUCCAAUAUAUGGACCUUUCCGAAAUUGGAUUUGUAAGUUCAUAAAAUAAAAGGUUAACCGCCGUUUGGUUUUGACAAUUUGCGGAGAUCCGACCGUUGGAUCGUAAUGGGACUGUAGGAUGUUGUUCUAGAAGUAUAAUGUGGAUCUUUGGAAGCAACGGAUUGGAAAUCCAUGAUGCAGAUCUUCCGAAUUGAAUUACGUAGGGAUGUGUUUUAUGUAAAUUGUGUAUUUUAUCGUUACGAACUCUAAGAUGUGAUUUGAUAAUUGGUCAUAGGCGACGAUGGUUCGUGAUGUCUCGAUAUGCGUGCUAGAGAGUCGUGGCGCGGACCUCAGUUAAGUGGGCCUUUUUCUUUUUAUCGUACAUUAUAUAUAUAUAUAUAUGAUUAACAAUUCCACAACGUUUAUAAAAUUGCUUAUUGCGUAUAAUUAUUGUGAAUGCUUUGAAGUACUAAUGUGAACUACGAAUGGCUUGAUCCCUGUUUAGGGUACGUAGGCAGUCUAACGAGACGUUAGAUGCAGCCAUACAAUAUUUGAAACAGAAAUCUUGUUUGGGAAUUGAGCAAUGUGAACGAAAUUGGUGAAAAUAUGAGAUUUAACCUUAUAUUUUUAGUAAUUGGAUGUUGGUCAUAAAUCAAUGUGGAAGGAAUCAAGAAAUUGAAAUAAGGAAACAUAAGUAAUGAUAGUUAAUUAAACUAGUGUUUAGUUGGAUUUAUCCCCGAUAAUUAUUUCCCGAAAAUAAAUAAUUCGGGAGUAGGGGGCAUUAUAGAUUGUGCAAUUUACACCACAUUAUAUAUAUAUAUAUAUAUGUAUAUAUUGGAAAAAUAUUAUGAUAUGGUUGAGUUUUAGAUUUGCAUUAUGGCAUAUCCAUGUAUAUAACACCUGCACAUAAUUAUUGUCAACGCUUGAAGUGCAAAGGUGAAUGCAGGACACCCAGGUAAGUUCAGGUAAGUUUAUGGUAUUAGUUGAAAUGAUGGAGUUAUGGCAUGACUACAUGCAUGUUUUAAGCAACUCUGACACUGUCGUACGAGUUGCCCAUGAGUUGUACAUGUUAUGUUGAGAUACAUUGAGAGCUCAUAAACUUGCACCCAGGUGUUAGUGCUCCUGCCCGUGGCCAGGGCACAGUCUUUCACGUAAUGUUCACCUCCCACACCUUACGCUCACCUUAGAUCCAAGGUAGGUGCACAGUUCUAUCGUGCAGACCACUAUAGGUGGUUCUGACUCGUAGGUGACCCGUGAUUAUUCACACAGUCUUCAUGUGAUCGUAGCACUUGAGGGUAUUUAUUUACACUCAGUCAUGUCGUACAAACCGCUUUAGGUGGUUCCAACUUGUGUGCAGAGCUAUGGAUAAGUCGUACAGGUCACUAUAGGUGACUUCGAUUUAUGAGCUAGCAUAUGUGAUGAAAUAUGUAAUGAGCUAGCAUAUGUGAUGAAAUAUGUGAUGAGCUAGCAUAUGUGAUGAAAUAUGUGACGAGCUAGCAUAUGUGAUAAAAUAUGGGUAAGUCGUACAGGUCACUAUAGGUGACUCCUGUUGGGUUUUUUUUCUAACUCAUGAUAAGUUGUCCUAAGUCUAUUAGGAAUUAAUAGUCUUAGAGGAUUAAAUUGUUUUCCCAAUUGAGUUAGUUUCUCAAUUGGAGUAGGAUUCAUAACUAGAUUCCAAUUAGGAUUAAUAAUCCUUAUUGAAGAAGACCUUUAUUAUGUCUAUAUAAAGGGGCUAUUGUACUAAUUUUGAGGAGGGAGCAAAACAAUAAUUGUAUACCACUCUAGGGAUUAGAGUGGGAGAAUAUUGUAAAGUGUGUGCGAGAGAAAAGAAAAGAGAUAGUGUAUUUCUUGUUCUUGUUAUUUCAUGUUUUUCGUCAAAUCCUAGUUCUAGAGAUUUGGUAAGAUUAUUGGUUGUACUCAUUAUUGAUAUAGUGAAAGAUUGUUGUUACUGUCCCUUGGACGUAGACACAUAUUGCCAAACCACAUAAAUUAUUGGUGUUAUUUAUCUUGGUUAUUUGUUUUCGAUUUUCGGAGUUUGUUCUUGUUUUUCCCAUUCUUAAACGCGAUAUUCUCAACAAGUGGUAUCAGAGCCUAGUUUGGUUGAUAUCCGUUUAGAAUGGAGGGUGCAACCCGCUUUAAUUGGGUUACAAGGAAAUCAAGAGGAGGAUAUGCUUUACUAAAGGUGUUAUGAGCAAGCCAGCAGUGUGUCUGAUGCUGAUUGGACCAAGAUGAACAUAAGCGAUAUUUUCUGGUAAAGAAGUCUAUAAUUGCCUUUGCCAAUGACAAUGGUAAUUUUGAUCAGGGGGAGCCUGGUCAAGAGAAAUCUAAUCAAAAGGGUCUUGGUUAAUGAGUAGUUCGAUCAAGGGGAGCUUGGUUAUGGGUAAUUCGAUCAGGGGGAGUCUAGUCAUGAAAAGUUCGAUCAAUGAGAGUUUGGUCAAGAGGAGCAAUCCUAUUUUAGUAUACCUUCCUCAUGGUCUGGAGGGGGAGAUUGUUGGGUUUUUUCCAGCCCAUGAUAAGUUGUCCUAAGUCUAUUGGGAAUUAAUAGUCUUAAAGGAUUAAAUUGUUUUCCCAAUUGAAGUUAGUUUCUCAAUUGGAGUAGGAUUCAUAACUAGAUUCCAAUUAGGAUUAAUAAUUCUUAUUGAAGAAGACCUUUAUUAUGUCUAUAUAAAAGGGCUAUUGUACUAGUUUUGAGGAGGGAGCAAAACAAUAAUUGGAUACCACUCUAGGGAUUAUAGUGAGAGAAUAUUGUAAAGUGUGUGCGAGAGAAAAGAAAAGAGAUAGUGUAUUUCUUGUUCUUUCAGGUUUUUCGUCAAAUCCUAGUUCUAGAGAUUUGGCAAGAUUAUUGGUUGUACUCAUUAUUGAUAUAGUGAAAGAUUGUUGUUGCUGUCCCGUGGACGUAGGCACAUAUAGCCGAACCACGUAAAUUCUUGGUGUUAUUUAUAUUGGUUAUUUGUUUUCAAUUUCCGGAGUUUAUUCUAUUUUUCCCAUUCUUAAACGCGAUAUUCUCAACAACUCCGACUUAUGAGUUAACAUCAAUUGAUGAGAUAUGGGUACAAUCAUACAUGUCACCAUAGGUGACUCAGACUUGCAUGCUAGUAUGAGUUAUUAAUCACAUGAUUAUUGAUAUUGCUGAUGAGAUGCGGUGUUGUGGUAUAUUUAUGAUUUUUCUGGAAACUAUACAGGUGUUGUAGCGAGGGGUUAUAAUGUUUUAUAUGGUUUCUAUUAAAAUUUUAUCUCUAGGGCCACUCACCCUUGUUUUGUUUUCACCCUCCAGGUUUUAUUAGCUGAGAUUUCUUAUCAUCGAAGAUUCGUGGCGAUUCUUAGUAUUGGAGAUUCUUUCGAGGGUACGAUUCUUAAUCCACUCUACUGUACUUACUUAUACUCUAAUGUCACGUGUGAAGUGGGUUCCUUCCCGCUCACUAGCGCACUCGGGUAUUUAGGCACUCUUAGGUUUAAAUUUAUUCACAUGUUUUCACAUCAUCACACUUUAUGGUUACGUCACCUUCCAGGUGUAGGCCAGCGCAGCUCGAUUUGGAGUCCAAAUUCAUAUUCCGGGUCGGGGUGUGUUAAUGUAUCAAAAAAACUAUUCAUUUAUUUAUUUUAUCUAAUAUAUAAAGCCAAUGGCCUAAUAAAUAGUGUUUUUGGGUGUCACAAGCUUCACCAAAAAAAAAAAGGACAGAAAUUCCCCUCAAACAAAAAACUUCAAAAACAAUCCAAAUAAUGCAUUAUAUGUGGUAGGGGUAUUUUUGUCAUUUUAACAAUGUUUUUUAAUAAUUAAUUUUUUUAAUAAUUAGUACCUCACAAUAAGCUAGCAAUAAUGUGAUUCAAUCAGUUGUUCAUUAAAUAUUAUUUUCUCUAUUUUUAAACACGUUCAAAACAUUUUAAGAGUCGUGCGAUGCCGGUUAUAAAAAAGGUCUUCCCCACGCGGAUAAUAAUGUGAUUAAAUUAGUUGUCAAAUUAUUGUUUUUUUUAACAAACGAUAUUAUCUACACUAAGGUGAGGGGGUGGGUUUAGCCUCACAAUGAGUUAGUAAUAAUGUUAUUCAAUUAGUUGUUUAUUAAAUAUUAUUUUCUUUAUUCUUAAUGUAAAUUCAAUAGAUACCAAUUUUAUUAUGUGGAUUCAGCUGCUUUAAUUGGUUUAUGAGGGGUUUCUUCUAGCAUGAUCUAAGAUUAUUCAUUUACUUCAAAUAUAUUUGACUUUCCUUUUGUCAAUUUACGCAUAUAAAUACAUUUAAAACGUGUAAGUCGCGUAGGACGUCAUAAUUCAAAAAAUGUCUUCUGCACGAGCGUGAGUGCGUGCAUGAUGGAUAGUACAUUAUAUGAGAAUGAGACCUAUAUAAAUAUUUUACAAUAUAUUAUUUUACAAAUUUAGCCAACUUUUAAAUUAGCCCGUUAUAAACCGGCCAAGAAUAUUUAAUGGAUUUAUCGGGAAUUUUGAAUGACCGCCUCGUGCCCCAUGCACGGCCAGCAGGUUGAAUGAUCGCGGCUCUGCCUGAGUCAGACCGCGCUCCGGGCCAAGCGAACUGCCGUCGGAGCAGUGGAGUCGAAGCCUCACCGGUGCCGCCACAUCGCCACCACCGCGAAUAUUUUCGUGUACAACACUCAGCCUACUAGCAUACACGCGCGCAAUUCGGGAUAGCUACGGCUUUGGUUAGUUCUUUGGCGCAUUUUAUCGAACUUUUUGUAGGCAAUUGAAGGUUUAUGUUAUUCUUGGUUCGUUUCGAAGUUGAAAGUGUUCGGCUUGAUUGAUUUGACUUUAUGAAAGUGAGAGCUCUGUAAUUAAGAUAUUAUUUUUGAAGGAAUAUGGUGUUUUAAUGGAGUUAAUUUGGUUGUUAAUUGUCUGGUUUUGUGUUUUUAGAUACAACGCAUAUGAACUGAAGAGAUUGGGUCAUAAUUAAUGUAGACAAGGUUGUGACUGUUUCUGUAUUUCCAACUUCGGAUAUGCAGUAAUAUGCAUAGUUGUUGCCUUCUUUCGGAUAUGCAGUAAUAUGCAUAGUCGUUGCCCACAGAUUACCGUGAUUACAAUAUUAGAAAUCUGCACGUUGCCCGCGGAUUACCAUGAUUACUUUAUUAGGCACGAUGCCUUAUUUGGCCACUGUGGAAGAGGCAGUUGCCUACUCUGCACGGUGCUACUAAAUGUAUUGGAUUGACCGUUAAAAACGUGAGUUUUUAGUUUCAUUUUUGAAGAUCUUAGUACCUAUCUUUGCAGUCAUGUAUAUAAAUUGGUUUACACUUUACAAUACUGAAUUUUAAUUCAGCUCGAACAUUUUAUGGAACUCUAGUUGGUUUUGGUGUUACCAAUCAUCUAAGUUCAGACGAGGCUUUGUAUGGCUAUAAUUUUUAUGCCGGAACAAGUGGAGCUUGUUCAUUGUGAUUAUAAGGCAUGUGAAGGAUGAGAAACAUUUCUUUCAUAUGAAGAUACUCGCCACGUAUUCGUUUAUAUAUGUGUGAGAGAGCGCUUCUUCACACGAAAUCAUCAUUCUAUUCUUCUUAUGUGCAAAUGUGUUGCGCUGAUAAAAGAUGAAUACUUGGGGAGAUGAUGAUUGUAACAUUGAGUAGAAUAUCUAAUUUUCGCUUCAGCAUAUAGAUGAACUUAGGAUCUCACUGUUCCAGAACUUGCUGUUUCUCUGAUUUGCAUAUUGAUUUGUGACAGAAUCUUAUGGCUUGCGUUUUCUCUCGUGAGCAGGUUGUGUAUACUGAUACUUAAGAGGAUUUUGUUUUUAUUCUAUCAUUAAACAGGAUAUUCUCGUUGGGUUGCUGCAAUUUAGGACAUACAUCCAAAACCAGACCAAGUGGAGAUUGUGCGGCAAAUGAAGGAUGGGAAACAUUUCUUUCAUAUGAAGAAACUCGCCAGGUAUUCCUUCCAUAUAUUUGAUAGAGUGCUUCUUCACACGAAAUGAUCAUUCUGUUCUUGUCAUGCGAAAUAUGCGUGUCUCGGAUUUGCUUAGUAAUUAAUUUGUGCACAAGUUCUUAUGGCUUGAGUUUUUCCAGGUGAGCAGGUUGUGUAACAUGAUUUUGUUAUUAUUCUUUUCGUAAACAGGAUUUUCUCGUUGGGUUGCUACGAUUAAGAAAGUGAGGCCAGAAUACUACUUGUCCCAGAUGAAUGAUUAGUGCUCUGGUGAUCGUGAGCUCCAUGUUUAUGGGACUGCUGUUCCAGCGCAUGGGUGAAUUCUGACAAGCUGCAACACCAGGUAAUGUAGCUUGUACAUCAACUGUUUUAUGUUACCGUUAGUGUUGAGAUUAAUUUAUUGGGUAAUAAUGUACUCUGAUUGAUUCAAACAGGAUUAUGGUACCCUGGAGGAGGCCGAGCGGAUUGCUAGCGGGGAGCAUCGAUAGAAAAAGAUUGCCUGAGCUUGAAGGGAAACAAUCCAAAAAAAGUACAACAAAUGACUGAGACUUUAUUGUUAGCACAUUGAAUUGGACGACGUUCAAAGAAGACAAAUUUUCAACAGCAAACUUGAACCAGAAGAACCUCUUAACGAAUCUAUGUAGCUAUUUUUCUUAUUACUUUUUAAUUCUCUGUUCUUGAUGUUGAUUUCCAUCUUGCUCUUCCGGUUCAGACUGUGAACAACAAAACUGAAUCAAAAGAACCACUUGAGGAAAUCUACCAAGCUAUUUUUCUUGUAUUACAUUUUGAUUCUUCAAUCUUGAUGCUGAUCUUGUUCUUCCUCUUCAGACUGUAAUCCUCGAAAGCUACAAUUAUUGGCUACCAAUUGAAAAGUUUCAGUUAGAAACUCUUUCGUUGCAUACGAAUAAGCUCUGACAACUUUGCUGACAAAAAUUGUCAUCUGUCUCAUGAAAUUAACCCCCUCAAACAAGUAUGGACACAAGAAAUUUGCAGCCUCGCCUAUGAAGAUAAUGCACUGGACCCCCUUCGAAAAAUAGCCAACUAAGUCAAUGAAAGCUUUCAGGUCUUGGGCUGCUUUUGCUUCCAAAAACGAGCUUCGCAGAUUUGAUUACAUAUCGAAUUACUUUCUUGAUGUCACCCACCAAAUUCUUGAACAAGUCCGCAGUUUUCCACCGCUCAGAGGACCAAUAUUUUUCCGGUGAUGGGUUUUCCGGCCAUACACUUUGUAACGGUUGCAAACUCUGCGCUCAAUAGUGUAUCGACUUCUGAUCGGGUUGCCCCACGUUGAUCAUUGUCGAAAACCUUGAUGAGUUCUUGAAAACAUUGCAGGUCUGACCUCUCUUCAUCCCCUCGAAGCUUUCCAGCAACUGAUUGUUUAACAAACUCGAACUCAAACUCAAACUCAGACAUCAGUAGAAUAUCAACUUCUGACUUCAUGGAUGGAUUCUGCUUUUGUUCCAUUAAUCUCGAACGCCAUCUUGGUCAGUUCUUGUUCGUCUACUCGGUCUCCUGACAUUGUUGUUCUUUCUUUCGACGAAUGAUCUUUCUGGCGAAAGAAUCAGCGUGAGUGUGACGGAGAGAGGGUCUCUGUAAAAAGAAACCGAGAGAGAGAGAGAGAGAGAGAGGGGGGGAGAAACGAUUUUUGAUUUUGGUACGGUGCGUAGGUGUGAAUUUUGCGAAGAAGUUCAAUAUAUACUAAAACUGUUUAUCAACUGAAACUGUUUAUAAACACAGUAUAGUUCCGAUUUUACCCUUGCUUGGUUUGUGUUAUGAAUUCUGAUAUUUUGAGUAUAAUUUUGGUUUUUGGAAUUUCGAAUUUGUACCCUGACCUUGCUCUAAUUAAUUUUAAUUUCGUCAGUUGUUGUUGGGUUUGAGUAAAUUUCGAACCUUUUGUUUUCGUUCUUAAAAUUUUUGAGUUCUAUCUAUUAAAUAUUUGUUAAAAGACCCGAAUUUUCUAUUUGAACAAUUUGUAAAGCCUAUGAAAACUAAACAAAAAGUCAUAUGAUCUGUGAUUUCUUCAUUCCUAUAGGUGUAGAAGCUCUGUUCUCCCGUUUUUUGGCCAAUUUCAAAGGCUCUGAAUUGCUUAAUUUUCUUUAAAAAUAUUUUCAAUUUCAAAUAUAUUUUUUAUUUUUUUUUCGGUUUUCUGAUUUCUGGUUGUGUUUUAGGGCAUAAUAGUGGGAGUUUGAAUAAUGGAGCUGCAGCCAUGCAAUGGAGUAUAGCAGGAGGCAGAGGACCUUUCACUCCAUCUCAAUGGAUGGAGCUAGAACACUAGGUCUUGAUCUACAAAUACAUCCCAAUGUGCCUAUUUCGUCCACACUUCAUCCCAAUCAAGAAGGCCCUUAAUUCUGCAGGAUUUUUUUAUAUUUUCGAACGGAAUUCUCAGGCGCGCAAUUCAUAUAAUUUCUUCAUUUUACUAAAAAAAAAAAAGAUUUCCGCACACUUCACUUUUUUUUUCUUAUGCACGUGUUUGCUUAUUUUGUUGUUUGAUUUUUGCUUGAUUUUAUUUAAUUCAAAAGCUAGAAAUAAAUCUAAAUUUUUCAUGCCUUCAUUCUAAGUAUUUUUUCGAUUUUCGUGGGGUUGUGUAUGUGCAAUGAGAUGGGGUUCUAUCCAUUUGGGAUUCUCCAAUCACUGUGAAUUACAAGGAUUUCAUAGAUAAUGUACAGAUUAGGGAUACACUUGAGCCUAGAUAAGCAUGAAAAGCAUACGGUUUUGCUUCACCCAUCUAAUCAUAGAAUUGGGUACCAUCAAUUCAAAGGUUGUAGAACCAGUUUCUACAAUGAAACCGUAGUUGGCUGCGUGUGUUUGUGUUCAUUGGGAAUUUGGGAGAGAUUUGUUAUUGAGAGGGUAAGCCAGGCAAAAACAGAUUGAUAGUGUUGAGGAAUUGGGUAACAGUUUAAUUAUGUGUACAAUGAAGAAUCACAUAUGUUAUUAUUAAAAUGGGUCUGCACAAAUUUUGCAUAAUAUGAAGUCACCGUAAAUAAAUGGUUUUGCCAAAAUUAUUUCUUAUUUUGUUCCUUUUUUGUAAAUAGGGUUGUAAGAUUUCCACAUGUAUGUAAAUAGUAUUGCCUAUCAUAUAUACAUUUAUAACUUUCUAUAUAUGUUUUAUACGGUUUUAAAAACCCGCAGCAUCGCGUAGGGACACUUUCGCUAGUAAGGCUUAAAUGUCAAAAUGGUCCCUGUGUGAUAGGAUCAGACAUGAUAAAAAGGAAAAUUGCAAGAAAGUAAAUGCAGAAAUGGAAAAUAAAUUAAAGUAAAUUCAUAUCUUCAUUCAUAGUACUCAUUACACUAGAAAAAAGAGUUUAAAUACAUCCAAAGAUAAGUAGGGUUCGAGCUAUAGACGGGCCUAAUGGUAUUACAUAUGUAAUGGGUCUAAUGGUAUUACAUAUGUAAUGGGCCUAAUGGUAUUACAUAUCUAAUGGGCCUAAUGGAUAGUAAUAACAUUAGGUGGUCCAACUAGUCAUAACCGAAGCCUAAUAGCUUAGAGUUGCAUCAUUGUGUUAUAAUUAUAUGGCCAAUUUAAUAUUUGGCUAAUUUAGUCCCCGUGUCUAUCUAUGUUAGCCAAUUAAGGACAUUUCAUUCAAUCUCUUUUAAAAAAUUCAUAAGAAAAAUUAUAUGAGAUAUAAUUACCCUAACCUUUUACAUAAAAAUAACACAUAUAAGAAAUAAAACUUCCAAUCUGAAAAAUGUUUAAGGUUGCGACGUAGAAAAGAGAGGAGGUAAUGUUAGGGAGGAGGUCGGGAAGUUGGAAGGAGAAUAACUUCUUUUUUCUUUUUUUUUUUAAUUUUAUUUCAUUUUUAAAUAUUUUAAAUCAAAUAAAUAAUUUCAUAAAUAAGUUUAUAAUAAUUUAUAAUAAAAAUGGAGUUUUAACGAAAAGCUCCCAGAACUGUUCACUUUAACGAAAAACCACAUUUUUACUCUAAAAAUUCAAUUUUGGUACUAUUCACUUACAACAUUUUUUUGUCGUUUUCGUUAAAACUCAAAGUUUUCAAGCUCUUUUUAUUAAUUUUCCUUAAUAAAAAAUUACAAAAAUUAGAUGAAAAUGUUCUUAAUUGGCUAACGGAGGUAAACACAAGGACCAAAUUGGCCAAAUUGAAAAUACAGAGACUAAAUUGAUCUAAUGACUAAAACACAUGGACUAUUUUAACAUUUAAGCCAAGAAAUAAUAUAUUUUAACAUUUACGCAUAUAGAUGAGUUUCCCAGGACAAGAAAAUCUCUACCCAGCAAGUCAACACCCUGCCUUCUCUUCUCAAAACCUUGCCUGGCAGGCAGCAUAAAUGCUGCUGCAUACACCGGAAACUUAUUAUGGGGCCAUUCUAUUUGGGCUUCUUGUUUAUUUUCUGAUCUUAGGCUCCACUCGCUUGUCUUUACUCUCUUAAUCUACCCAGAUUUUGAAGUUCCCUCCCAUAAUGAUCGGUCCAAUUCAAUAAAGAUCUUGAUUUUGAAAUCUCUUUCCAGGGACCAGCUCCAGCAGGACCUAAGGCCAUCUCCAACCGAGGGCUGGCCAGAGGGCUCGUUUUAGCCCUCUGGCCCUCCAAGAUUCCCCAAGAUAUUAAUAUUUUAAUGAACAGUACAGGGCCAUAUUUGCCUCCGUCUCCAACCGAGGGCCAAAAGGCUCGUUUUAGCCCUGUCACGAAAAGCCGUCUCAAACCGAGGGUCAAAGGGCCAUAGGGCCAAACAUAAUUUAUUAUUUAAAAACUACAAUUUAAUGUUGUAUAAAUAGCUUAGGAAGUUAUACGAAAAAAAUAGAAUUGAAAAAAAAUAUGAAACAAAUUUUGUGAAAUAGAAGUUAUAGGAAAACAAAUAUGAAACAAAAUUUGAUUCAUAUGAAAAGGAAAAAAAAGGGAAAAAUAGAAGUUUAAAUUCAUUAAAAAAAAAAAAAAGGCCUAAUAAUCCAACGGCUACUAGCCGUUAUAUUAAAAAACAUUUCAAACUAUUAGUGUCGGUUAUAACCGACACUAAUAGUAGAAUUAUUAAAAAAAAAUAUCUUUAAUGUUGUCGGUUAUAAUCGACAGCAAUAGGAAAUCAUUAAAAAAAAAAUAGCCAGCCCGGGGCUGGCUGGCCGGCCGAAAGCAACCAGCCCUCCAGCCCUCUCCGAUCCCGUGGGGCCCUCCCAGAUUCCAGAUCCCUCUGGCCUAGCCCUCGGUUGGAGACGGUUUUAGGACUAUUUUCAGCCAUCUGGUCCUCUGGACCCUUCGGUUGGAGAUGGCCUAAGUCGCUAGGCAGGAACCAAGCUUUGGUCUCUGACGUGGUUGAUACGAGCGGCUUAGCCUGUGUAGGCCUUAUAAUUUUGGAAUGAGCAAGCUCCUGAGCAGCCUCAGUCAUGACAUCAAGUAUCAAUAUGCAUUGACUGAUAUCCAUUUUAGGUGAAUAAAGUAGUUUGUUUAAUGUCUCAACAGAUUCCAAUGGGCAUGUGACAAGCAAAUCAACCAAUGCUUUUUGUCUCGUCUUCAGCUGAUCUUCCUCACCUUCUACAGCCAAGCCAGAACAACGAAGCUGGACAAGUGUUCUCACAAAAUCACUGGCUACGUGCUUGAGCUCAUCAGGUGAUGCUCGGACAAGUUUUUCAGCAACACCAAGAGCAUUCUCCACCUGCAAUAUGAAAAUAAAAUUAAUGAUCCAGGAGCCAAGGAUAAUAUUCAUCCCGCUUGUGUAAUUUACUACCAAUGUUCUAAAAAUCGGCCUAGACGACGCUAGACGGUGAAGGCCCGCUGCGGGGCAAAUCAUUUCGAAAAGUCAGUCUAGAGCUAGGCAGUCCUAAACGACUCCUAGGUGGCAGGCUAGGCGGUCCUAAGAGGUCUUUUUAUUUUUAUUUUUUAUAAUUAAUUGCGUGCUUUCUUUUUUUGGUUUCAUGGCGGUAUAUUUAUAGAAAUGGUGUACCUAAUUUGCAAAUGAUGGAUUUACUACAAGUUCAUUCACUAGUAAAACGAAUUGGAGCACCUUUGAGGAGAUACAUACAAAGAAAAGAAAUAAAUUAGAUACAACAAGGUUAAAUAAUUUAGUCUAUUUCCAAUCCAAUGCAAGGAUCAUGAACAAGAAGAAUUUAGUCUAUCAUCCAAGAAUACUCCUUAUUAUGAUUAUAUGCUUACUGUUUUUUAAAUAUUGAACUUUUUGGAUGUAUAUACUUUGUGUAUUCUUCUACUUCUAUUUUUGCAUUUUAUCAUUCUUUUAUUAUCCAUACAAGUAUAGUUUUUUUUUUUAAGUGUAAUUAAGCACUUAUUUACAAGUUAUAUAAUAAAUUUAUAUAAAUCCGCCUAGGCCGCCUGGGCGCCCACCUAGACCCCGCCUAGCCGCCUAAUCACUAGGCCCCGCCUAGCCGCCUAGGCACUAGGCCCCUACUCUCCUCCCGACUAGCGCCUAACAUUUUUUAGAACUUAUGAUUAUUGUAAGAACAUUUGACAAAAUUUUAAACCAAUGAACAUGGUUUACUUACCCUAUCAGCAUCAUCAGAAUUCCGAAGUGCAGCAACUACGUCGACCAAUUGUGAAAUUACACAAGCGGGAUGAAUAUUAUCCUUGGCUGCUGAAAAUUACACAAAUCAUAUGGCUGUAAAGAUGACUCACUUGAAACAUCAGACUCAUUUCAUUAGCAUCGUCAUUUUCAUCGUCGUCCGAGACCGACUCGUAGUUUAGUGCAAGUGGAUCAACCAACUUAGAUUCAUAUGAUUUCCAAUUUCUACUCGUACCAUCACUAGAUUUAUGGGGUUAAGCCCUUUUUCAGCACUGAGGUAGAUGUUUCAGGAUUGUCGAUACCCUGUUGUAUGCAAUUUGACAUGUCAUCAAAAUAAAGACCUUACGAGAGCAUGACUCUAUGGUGUUUCCAACAAGUCCAGUUGAUAAUGUUCUCACUAGAUUAAUAACGUGCGCAUUCUAGAAUUUAUCGUCGGCCAACAUGGUCGGUCGAGUAUAAAUGUUUAGAAGACCCUAAAUUAUAUGUGCCUAGAGCUAGAUAGACCCCUAAUUUAUAACCUUUUGAUCUUGCUUCAUCUGCAGCUAAACCAAAAUCUGGACAGUCCCCAAUAUAAUUCUGUCAAAAACCAGAUAGCAACACCAUGUAAAAGCCAUAUUGGGUGUCUACACCCACACUUAUCAAUUUACACAAAUUUGAAAUUUGAAUCACUUGGACUUCAAAAAUAUUUGCACAGAAAUUCAAAAGAAGAUGAACAGUACUGGGCAAUUGAGACUCACCUAUAACUGCUACCGAGCUAUGCUGCACGGAAUAGUGAUGCACCGUGAAGAGAACUCGGCGCUGUUGACAAAGUCCCAGAAUAACCUUGAAAUUUAUAGGGGUCAAAUUUUAUAGCCGAAGGAGCAAUCAUUUACUGAAUUAUAAAGAAAAACCCUAAAUAAACAAUCAAUCAAACAGAACCAAAUCAUAUUUACCAGCUUCAAAAUUUUGAAAAUUUUCGUACUAAACCCAAUUAUAAAGGGAAUGAGUGUACUGUGUACCUAAUGAAGUAUUACACCACUGUUGAUGGCAGACUGGGUAGUGCAUGCAGCAUCAGUAUGCACUCCAUAAUUGUCUCUCUGUUUUUUCUAUAUGACAAAUGAUUUGGGAAUUAAUAGGGGUGCAAAAUGGAUAGAACCAAGAAUUGAAAUCAAGAGAAAACACACAUCCAAUUUGAUAACAGUCAAACUGCUAGUGUGGUGCAAAAUGAGCAAUUUUAAACUCGUAAAAUAAUUUGUACCCCUCUUCCCCCAUUUUCUGUGCAAUUCACCACCUAAACAAUGCAAUAAAAAACCAAAUGGAGGGAUUUUACACAUACAUAUAUCAUUCUGUCUCUCAAAUUUACACCAAUGAUGCAUGCAUGAACCUCAAUUAAUCCCGUAUUGCGAGUGAAAUUUCCAUUUUUAACCACUAAAUCAGAACAACCACUGCCGGGGAAGCAAACAUGAGCUACUUUCAUAAAAAAUUUAAAUUAAAGACAUAAACUUCACACAGCUAGAACCUGACAACCAGCCUAUAAAUUAAAACAAAAACCAGGCUCAAACAUAUGUAUUUCCAUAGAUGCAUGUAUAAAGCUGUACAUACACACCUGUAUAAUUGUGUAACCACAGAGGAUUUGGGAAAGCUUUCAACAUACCUGUGUAUCGCAGUAGCAAGUUGAAUUGCUAGCUUUCAUCCCUUUUUCGGGCCGGGUUUUGCAGCAUCUACAUUCACCUAUAGCGUUUAAAAUUUUCAGUCAGAGAGCAAGAAGAAACGUAAUAAAAUGCUCCAAAGGGUAAACCCCAGCAAGCAAUAGAGUAUAUAUUGAAUGCCAUAUGGCAAUUAAGAGUCAAAGGUACCUUAAAAAUAACAUCUCUAAAAUCAAUUUACCAAACCCCUAAAUCUAACAAUUUUAACAAAUACUAUAGCAUCAAUUGAUUUAACCCUAUACACACUUAAUUUCUAGCCUAUCAUCUACGAACAGAAUAAGUACAAUCUUCCUAGCCUCUGUCAUUAGCAAAUAGCAGCAGGGCAAGUUACAAUUGAUCAAUAAUAUUUCAGAUAUACAAAGUUUUAAAUAUGGUUCUAGUCAAAUGUAGAAAACUAACAUCUCUCCUUUUCUCAGCUAAUCCAUUUUUGCAUUUCCAACCAAUAAUCGAGAAAGUGAGGGGAGGGCGCUACAAAGAACGCAUAAGAAAAGAAAGAAAUUACAUUUGUGAUCAACCAUCAAAGUAACAAACCACAGUGAAAAAUCAAAUAUUUGGCUUCGCAUAGAGAAUUAAUUUUGUUUAAUGGAAUAAUACAAAAUCCCAGCCAAACAUUUCACACAACCAGGGCCAUCUAUUCCAGUUUCCAAGCUUCAUUCACAGAAAAAGAAUUGGGGCCAAUAUCGAUAAUGCCAUGAAAAUUAAGACGAUUUCAUAUUUGAUUUAGUGAAAUUUCACACAACCUAGAAAAUAUCAGCACAAUUUCAGGCCAAAAAUAAAAUGCAACAAAUAAAUAGGCCGUGCAAACCUAACCGCAUUGCACAAAAGAUUCGGAAAUGAUUUUUACCUUUUCAAUCAAUUGAUGCAGGCAUGGGCUUCGGUUAUGGUUCAGUCUCUGCAGGCAUGGCUUUCGGUUAUGGUUGUCUGGUAUAUUGGUUAUACACAAUGAUCAAUCACACACAAAGUUAUGAUAACACUUGAAAGAAUAAGGCAAAUCAAGAAGGAUAUUUCACUCAAAUUAGAUCAUACACACACUGUAUCGUCCUCUAAAUCCUAAGAGAAAAAGUGUGAACACCACAACCUCAGGUUCAAAAAUAUUGUGACUGAUCUAUAAAAUAUAGCAUAUCAUUUCAUUAGACCUAGCCUAAAUUCAGGUGCUUAAGCACAUUAAGAUAUAAUUUCUACCUAAAAGGAGACACCACAACAGCAGGAACAAGGCUUUAUAACUUUUUCUUUUCUGGCAAGUAAAUUAAACUGCCCCAAGCUAAUACAAUAGAAGCUUACUUUUCAACGGGAAGCUAGCUGUACUGUGAUCUUCCAUGAACCUACUAAAAUGGAAACAAAUUUCUACUCAAAUUGUAAGAAACAACAACAACAAAUUUCUACCCAAAAUAUAAAAAAAUGAAAAAAAAAACCCUAGCAAAUUCAUGUUAUCUUCAUUAUAAAGAUGCUUUUGGAGAAGAUAAACUAAAUGCAUCCACACAUCUGUAAACACACACACCCAUUUACUGUUUGAACAUCUGCUUCUCUUCCCAAUUUGCCAGAUGUUCCAAGUUCACCUAAUGAAAGAUAAAACAAUUACCAUUAGAACUAUCUUAUCAACGACUGCAAUUCCGAAACGGAUCAACACAGGCUUCGAAACACAUACAAAUCAAAAGGUAAACUCUACAACCUUAGAAACUUUAUUAAUAAGAUAGUUCAACACAGGCUUCGAAACACAUACAAAUCAAAAGGUAAACUCUACAACGCUUGCGGGAGGAGAUGACGACGGAGGCGCCUUCAAGAGCCGAUGCCUUGAGUGGAAGCCGUCACAAUUGCUACCUUGUCGUCAAAGGGUAAUAGGCAAACAAUAAAAUACAAAUUCAACAAAUCGGGAAAAAGAAAACAGAAAAGGAAAACCUUACACCCGAUGCUAUAAUCUGGAGGUGGAGCAUGGAGCUGCAAGCUGAGAAAGGGUAGACUGAGAAUGGCGAGAGAGAAUCGGCGAGGGAUUUGAGGGAAAUUACAGAGUGAGAAAAGGGAGGGAUGCUAUAAUCUCGAGGUGGAGCAUGGAGCUGCAAGCUGAGAAAGGGUAGACUGAGAAUGGCGAGAGAGAGAAUCGGCGAGGGAUUUGAGGGAAAUUACAGAGUGAGAAAAGGGAGGGAUGGGGGAUUCGAUGGAUGGUUACACAGAGAGACUCGGGAGAGAAAAAGAGGGAAUGAAAAGGGGAUGGAAACGGACGGAAAAGGCGAUGGCAAUUUUGUAAAUAACUCAAAAUCCAUCCCAAGUCACUGUUCAUAUGAAUAGUGCAAUUUCCCUUCCUACUUUAGACUAAAGUAAUGAUUUCCAAUUUCUACUCGUACCAGCACUGAGGUAGUUGUUUCAGGAUUGUCGAUACCCUGUUGUAUGCAAUUUGACAUGUCAUCAAAAUAAAGACCUUACGAUUACGAGAGCAUGACUCUAUGGUGUUUCCAACAAGUCCAGUUGAUAAUGUUCUCACAUGAUUAACAACGUGCGCAUUCUAGAAUUUAUCGUUGGCCAAUAUGGUCGGUCGAGUAUAAAUGUUUAGAAGACCCUAAAUUAUAUGUGCCUAGAGCUAGAUAGACCCCUAUUCGGAAUGGACACAAGUACAAAUGUUUGAGGGCGUAGGGUGAGAGAAUGACUUACAUAAUUUAGGGACACUGUUACGUUUCAUGCCAAUAAUACAACAUCGAUAUGUGUAAGUUUUUCUCUACAAAACAAUGUAUCACUGCAAUAAAAUGUCACAAUAAUAAUAUACUUGUGUCAUGUAAAUUACUUUCGUGUAUCAUCAAGAGUACACUAAACGGUGACACUACCAAUUAUUAUUUUAAAAGACACAGUAGAGUAGGAUUAGGACAAAAACACAGUAAUUGCUUAGUGUUGUCGUUAAAUCUUGACCGUUCGAUCGAUCUAAGGGUUGUAAUCAAAAUCCGUGAGAUAGACGGACGCAUUCUAGAAUUUAUCGUCGGUCGAGUAUAAAUGUUUAGAAUACCCUAAAUUAUAUGUGCCUAGAGCUAGAUAGACCCUUAUUCGGAAUGGACACAAGUACAAAUGUUUGAGGGCGUAGGGUGAGAGAUUGACUUACAUAAUUUAGGGACACUAUUAAGUUUUAUGCCAAUAAUACAACAUCGAUAUGUGUAAGUUUUUCUCUACAAAACAAUGUAUCACUGCAAUAAAACGUCACAAUAAUAAUAUACUUGUAUUAUGUAAAUUACUUUCGUGUAUCAUCAAGAGUACACUAAACGGUGACACUACCAAUUAUUAUUUUAAAGACACACAGUAGAGUAGGAUUAGGACAAAAACUCAGUAAUUGCUUAGUGUUGUCGUUAAAUCUUGACCGUUCGAUCGAUCUAAGGGCUGUAAUCAAAAUCCGUGAGAUAGACGGACGUAAUCUCCUACCAGGACUAUGAGUACUUGGCUUCGACAUCCUAUAUAUACAACGAGACACGCCAUUUACAUGCAUACAUACAUCAUCGACGUUCAAGUUUCAAACCCUAACGUUGGCUCUUUCCGUCUUUUCUCGUCGCCUGUUUUUUGUUCCUUCCAGAAAGUGGAAUCUGAAGAAUCCGACGGCAACGAUGUCGAUGAUAGAUAACGUGUUAAGGAUGAUAGAUAACUUCGAGGACUGGUUUAUAACCAAACGCCAAGAGCUUCAGAAAUCUGCGAGAGUCGCUAUGGAAGCUUUGCUCUGGGAACCCAGAAGUUUCCGGAACGUUUUGAAUUUGGCAAUCAAAUUGACCAAGGCAAUCGUAUUGGUGCCCCUUUGUGUGCUGGCCUUGUAUACUGUGCUCCUGAUUAGGGUGGGAAUCGCUUGUUUGAUCUGCGUCCCAAUACUUUUCAUUAUUUUCAUCGUCCUUGUCGGUGUCCGUAAGUUACUGACCAUAGACUUCGACUUGCAAAUUAUGUAACCAUGAUUUCUAGUUGUUUGUUCGUUGCUCACCAACUGUCUGUUUAAAUGACUGAAUGAGUUUUUUUGUUUCGUUUCUUUUCUUGCAGGUUACGGUCGGGCACACUAUCUGUUCUUCACAAGACGAAACCGCGCGGGGGAUGUCGUAUGCCGACUUCAUUGACAAGUUCGGCGCGUGGUUGACAAACAAUCCUAUUCCACCUUUCGAAUCAUUUGGUGAAUCCGGUCGACAUUGGGCACAGUACAUGUGGGGCUUCAAAUUGGAAGAAGAUUGAGGAAGAUUUCAGAGUUACCAUGGAAUGUAUGUAGAGAUUAUUAGAUUGGAUGACCAUAAAAUUAAAAUUGCUGCUUCUGUUUAUUUUUCUCUCUCUAUUAAUUUAAUUUUUCUUUCUAAAUAACUACGCCAUUUAUCGGAGGGCGUAUUGAACGACAUAGCAUCCGUAAGAACGACUUGUGACAUUACGAUACAAAAAAAGAAAGAAAAAAAAAGCAAUUUGUGACAAAAUAGCUAGGAUUAUGGUUAAAGUAUAGCAUCUAUAUCUAUAUGUUAUUCUUCAUCACUUGGAAGCAACUAUUUUCAAUUAAUUACAGGAGCACGACAAUGACUGAAACUUUAACAUAGAUAAUCGAACUAUUAGAGUCUAAGAAAAUUUAUUUGGCAAGGAAUUCGGAUUGUGUGGGUUAAAAGAGAGGCCAUACCCUCACUUUUUGUUAGAAACAGACUCUAUGUAUGUUGUUCAUCUCCUAUGAACUCGUUCUGUGAAAGUCCCCUUGUUUCUCAAAGUUUAGGGCAAAUUGCUUAUGAUAUAGUGCUCGCUUAAGAUUGCAUUUUUUUGCAUAAAUGUAACGAGUGGAAUUGUUUGGCCAAUGAUUUUGCUAAUUAUGGUUAGUCAAUUUGGCUAAACUGUCUUAGGAAACGAUUUUCACACUCUUUUUCAUUCUUUUGCGCUUUUUUAUUUAUUUUUCUAGCGGUUUGAUUGAAUAAAGUAAAAAAAAAGUCAUAAACAAAGAGAUAGGCAAGGAAAAGAAAGGGGAGUGUCAAAAUCAUUUUUCGACUGGUAAAUUCAACACAUUUUCAACUAAUACUCCUUUUAUAAAAAAUAAAAAAUAAAAAAUUUCAUUUUUCUUGUCAGAAUAUUUUUUUAUUAUUUAUUUUUUUAGUCAAAAUUUAAUAUUUCACGUCUUCAUGGACUCUCAUUUUUCUUAAUUAUUUAACUCACUAAUGAUAUUGCUCUAUUGAAAACAUGUUAGUUUUUUGUUGCAAUUAAUAUUUCUUAUUUGAACGGAUGAAGAUGGCCUUCAAUUUUAAGGAGGACUUGACUUGCAUGGAACAAAUGCACCGUCACAUGGUGCCAUGUGCCAAUAAAAUAAUACAAUGACAUAUGUUAGCUUUUUUCACAUAUCCUUGUGUUUACUGACACAGGACGCCACAGUGGCACUGAAGCCAUGCAAUACAAGUUGUUCUCACUUAAUUAACAUUUACAAUUGAACCUCUAUCAAUUUAGCUAAUAUUAAAUAAUCGAUAAGAUAAUUCCAAUUUAAUUUUAAGGUUAGGGGUGAUUUUCCGUCCAAUUGGAUCUGAAACAAGUAACCCAAUGCCAAUCCGAAAAAGUUUUGGAACAAAUAUUAGUUCCAAAUUAGGAAUUUUGUAUUUUCGAAAUUUAUCGAAAUUUCGGAAUUGAUUUUAUCUCAAAAUUUUUGGAAUAUAAUUCGAAUUUCCUACAUUUUGUAAGACUUUGAAAUUUUUUAAAAUUUUAUGUAUCUGCUGUUCAAUAUUUUUUAUGAUUUCUUUUUUUGCAACAUUUUGUAUGAAAUUAUAAUAGAUAAAAUAAAGAGUGAUUUUGUAUAAAAUCAAUACAAAGUUACCAUAUUGACAAUAGAUCAUCAAUAUUUAUGUUAAAUAUAAAUAGGUCAAUCAUGUAUUGUGAUACUUAAAUGCAUUUAAAAUAAACAAAAAUUGCAUAAUUUACCACUACAGCUGGCACCCACUUCAACUAGCACCAUCUUUCUCAUAUUUUUUAUAUUUUGGAAUAGGUUAAUACGGAUCAAACACUGCAACACGGUGUCUGUUUCCUAAUUCUGUUUUUUAUAUUUGGAUUCAGACGUUGUGUUGCAGUGUCCAUUUCACAGUUUUGUUUUUUUUCAUCAAUCACAUGCCUCAUACGUGCCCGUUUUUACUUUAGAUUCAGACACUGUAAUGCAAUGUCUAUUUCCCGGUAUUGUUUUUAUUUUUUGAUUCAGACACUACGUUGAACUGUUCAUUUCCUGGUUCUAUAUUUUUUCAUCACUCACAUGCCUUCUAUGCUUAACACCUCACGUGACUCCUGAUUUCUACAUUUGGAUUUAGACACUGCAAUGCAAUGUCUAUUUCCUGUUCUGUUUUUUACAUUUGGAUUCAGACACUGCAACGCAAUGUCUGUUUCCUGUUCUCUUUUUUUACAUUUGGAUUCAGACACUGCACCAUCGUGUCCGUUUCCUAGUUUUCAAUUGUUGAUCAUAGAAGUCUGUGUUUUCUCAUUUGAAUUGCUGACCACAAUGUCCCUUUUUUUAUUUCGCAUUGUAGACAUGUAAAUGGUGGUGGGAAAAACGCGAACGUAUAAGGAAACAGUUUCGUGAAAUGGGAGAAAUAAAAUCCAAACAAUUUCAAUUGCUUAAUUGGCAAUCGAAAUUGUCAAGCUCCAAGAAAUUGCGAAAGCACCUGUCUACAAUCGUGAAAUGGGAGAAAGCACCUGUCUUUGAUCUCCACAAAUGAGAAAGCCCCCGCCUAGCCGUCUAGGCACUAGGCUCCUACUCGCUGCCCGACUAGUGCCUAAUAUUUUUUAGAACCUAUGAUUAUUGUAAGAACAUUUGACAAAAUUUUAAAACCAAUGAACAUAUAUGGUUUACUUACCCCAUCAGCAUCAUCAGAAUUCCGAAGUGCAGCAACUACGUCGACCAAUUGUGAAAAUUACACAAGCAGGAUGAAUAUUAUCCUUGGCUCCUGAAAAUUACACAAAUCAUAUGGCUGUAAAGAUGACUCACUUGAAACAUCAGACUCUCAUUUCAUUAGCAUCGUCAUUUUCAUUGUCGUCCGAGACCGACUCGUAGUUUAGUGCAACUGGAUCAACCAACUUAGAUUCAUAUGAUUUCCAAUUUCUACUCGUACCAUUACUUGCUAACCAUCACUAGACUUAUGGGGUUAAGCCCUUUUUCAGCACUGAGGUAGAUGUUUCAGGAUUGUCGAUACCCUGUUGUAUGCAAUUUGAGGUGCCCGGAGUUCUUUUUUCAAGGGUAUGACAACCCAAACUCCCAGUCGAUAGUGUCCCCAGUGCAGCUAUCAUCAAGGUAUAGAGGAUUGUUGGGGUCUAUCACCUUGGAGAACACAAGCAAUACUGAUGGCCAUUUGCCGAAUUAAAUGAUUAGGGCUUUCUAGCCUACCUGCCAGCAAAGACAAGAUAUAACGGGAUGAUAAUGACCACUGGCGUUGGAGGAGAGAAUACUGAUAGAGACACGGAGAAGUAUUUACAGUUCACUCCUUUGAGAAUUGAGUGCAUCACAUCCUUGGUCUCGUUUAAUUCUUUUUUAGACAUGUUUUCCAUGGAAAGGCCUAUAGUUGCAGAUGCAUCUAAUAUUGCAAGAUUAAGGGACAAAAAAUUCCAAGAGAAGUAUAAUAAAACAAUGAACUUCUCUCUACUGCAAUGGGAUUUUUAGCAAGAUCUGCGCGCAGCGACAGAACAUUCAUACGUAAAGGCAUGCGAAAAAAGGUGUCGAUAUACAAAAACAAUGGCAUACCAAAACCACCGAAAGAGAUGCCAAAGUACCCUCAAGCCAAUCUCCAGGAAAAUCAACCAUCAGUUAUGAUCUUAAGAUUUCAUAAACUCCAUCUGAUUCAACGCCAUUCUCUACCGGCCUGGAGCGUAGGUAAUUUGACGCAUAGUUUUCUUCCCAAAACUCAAAUUUUCAAAAUUUACAGCCAAAUAAAAGCCGACAUAUUUCAAGGGAAUUCUAUACACAUAAAUUUUUAAAAACACAAUGGCAAGGUAACUAGAGCUAAAAAAAAAUACCAAUUAACGGAAACCGAGCAGAUGACGAAAAUGCGGCUCCUCCAUAGAAUGCGUGCCACCACUCUCUCCUCUCAUCUGCCGAAGGAGCCUCGGAACUAAGUAGCUGCACACACAACACAACAACAAAAGCUCAGAACUCAAGAAAAAUCGCAGCAACAAAUAAAUUUCGAUAAAAUUCACAAAUUUGCCAAAUUCAUUAGCUCACCUGCUCUCUGUAUUGCUCGUCAAUAGCACUUGAAGUUCCAAAUUUCACAUCAUUCAACUUCCAAAAAAUCAUUCUUUCACUUACAAUCAAACGACACAAAAAGUGAAAAAAGUUCAAUCUUUUGGUUUUGGAAAUUUCUCGGAAACCAAACAGGCGUUUCAGGAACUCGGGUAGAAGUUGGAAAGUUACCUGAGAGAAGAGAGGCGUCGAGAGGGAAGAGAAGAACAAGCGCGCAGAUGACUUGGUAUACGUGCUUCGCCUUCUUCACGGCUGCGAUUUCUUCUCUUCCACUUCGCUUCAUGUUUUGGAGCCUUCUCCUCCACGUUUGUUUGUUUCUCUCUGCAUCAAUCUGAAGCUUCUUGCAGCCGAUUUUUUGUUCACCGAUACGUAGUGAGUCUAUUUUUUCGGCGGAAAAAUAAUCAGUUUCGGGAAGAGACCGUUUCGAGACCUCACGGCUGCGUUUGAUUUCCAAAAAUACACAAAUUUUUUAGUUUUUAUUAUGUUAAUUUUAAUUUAAACUUUUUUUCCUAUACCAUUUGCAAUUAAUGGGGAAAGUUUGCGAAAAUAAUUUUUAUCGUCUUUUGUUCUGUAUUUAUCUUUUUUAUUUAAGUCUUUAGAUUUAUUUUUUAUUUAUGUCGUUUAAUAGUUUAAAAAUUAAAAUAAAUAUUAUAAAAAACAAAUUUUUGCAAACCUUCUCUGUAAUAAUUUAUAAUUUAAGCCAAAUCAAGCAUAAAAAAUAUAUUUAUUAUCAAAUAUCCUUUCCUUUUUAAUGUCAUACCCAAAAGUUAAAAAUAAAAAUAGUUUUAUUUUUUCUAGUAAUUUUUGGAGAAUAAUUUUGUUUAGCUAAUUGACCAAAAAACCAGAAAGUCUGUUAAACCUUAACAAACCCGAGUUGAAGCAUAGAAACGGCGGUGCUAAACCUCUUCUCUCCAAGCUCCGGGCCAAGCCGGUCCGGACCGCCUCGGGCAUCGCCGUCGUGGCCGUGAUGUCGAAGCCUCAUCGGUGCCCCCACAUCGCCACCACCGGUAAUAUUUGCGUGUACUGCUCCGGUGGUCCCGAUUCGGACUUUGAGUACAGCACUCAGUCUUACACUGGAUAGAAGCCUACUAGCUUGCGCGCAAUUCGGGCAACGUAUGGCUUUCUCUAGUUCAUUGACGCAUUUUAUCGAACACUUGAUAGGGAAUUCCAGUUUUAUGUUAUUCAUGAUUCGUUUCGAAGUUUAAAGUUUUUGGCUUGAUUGAUUUUUCACCAUGAAAUUGAGAGCUUUGUAAUGAAGAGAUUAUUUGAAGGAAUUGGUGUUUAAAAUUGGAUUAUUGAAGUUAAUUUGGUAGUUAAUCAUUUGGUUUUGUGUGUUUAGAUACAACCCAUAUGUCCAGGCUAGAAGCAGGAUAGAUCAGCUGAAGAGAUUGGGUCACAGUGUAGACAAGGUUUGGUCUGUUCUAUGUUUAGAGCUUAAAGAGUUUAUUUUCGGGUUUGCAGAUUUCCAUGAUAGAGUAAUAUGCAUAGUUGUCGCCUUAUAACUGGUACUGAAUUUGUGUUUUCAGGUCGAGCUCAUCUUAAUGGGCGGUACUUUCAUGUCGUUGCCCGCGGAUUACUUUAGGCGAUCUCCGAUCGAUGGCUGAUCAGAUGACUCGUUUUAGCCUUCUGGCCCUCUAAAAUUCUCCAAGAUAUUAAUAUUUUUAUUGAAUAGUACAUGGUCAUAUUUGCCUCCGUCUUCAACCGAUGGCCAAAGGGCCAUAGGGCUAAACAUAAUUUAUUAUUUAAAAACUGCAACUUAAAUUCAAAUUCAACGGCUAAGUGACGUCAGCAUGACGUUAGCUAACCGUUGUUUAAUGUUGUUUCAUGUUACUUAAUUUAAUUUAAUGUUGUAUAAUGACUUAGGAAGUUAUAGGAAAAAAUAGAAUUUAAAAAAAUAUAUAUGAAACAAAUUUUGUGAAAUAGAAGUUAUAGAAAAAAAUGAAAUUUAAAAAAAAUAUGAAACAAAUUUUGUGAAAUAGAAGUUAUAGGAAAAAAAAUAUGAAACAAAUAAUAAUAAUGUAAAAAAAAAUCAAAUCAAAUGCAACGGCUAGUAGCUGUUUCAUUUGAAUUUUUUCUUAAUAAAUCCUGUCGGUUAUAACCGACAGGAAUAACAAAACAUUAAAAAAAAAAUAGUCAGCCCGGGGCUAGCUGGCUGGCCGAAAGCAGCCAGCCCUUUGGCCCUUUGAAAUUCUGUGGGGCCCUCCCAGAUUCCCGAGCCCUCUGGCCUAGCCCUCGGUUUGAGACGGUUUUAGGGUUACUUUCGGCCUUCUGGCCCUCUGGACCAUUCGGUUGGAGAUGGCCUUAUUAGAAAUUGGAGUCCAUACGAGGAUGUGGCUCGUGACAUUGUUUUUGCUUGGCAAAGGAUGCUGGUUUUAAGGUCAGCCUAGUCCCUUAUCAUAAAACUCACUUACCUUCACCGUGGGAAAAGAACGGAUUUUGGACCUUUUAUAUCUACAGUGACAGGAGAUUAAUCUUUCAUCAAAACAAUUUGUGAGCCCAUAAUUAAGCGAGAAUAUUUAUCAAAAGAUAUGUGAUAUUCACACACUUCAUUUUACUUUUCACACAUCCUUCUAAUUUUCGGCCUUCAGAUCGGAUAAAUUGAAGAAGAUUAACGGAUAUAAAUUAACAAAGGGUGUGUGAGAAGUAAUUUGAGAUGUGUGGAUAGCACACCCCUUAUCAAAAUCUAAUUGGUUUUGGUGUUAUCAUUCACUUUAUCUAAAAGUUCAAGAAGAAGUAUGUGUUUGUAUUAGGGCUGGAAAAAAAUCCCAAAAAUCCCAAAAAUCCCAAACCAAACCGAAAAAAUCCCGAUCCCAAACCAAAAAAAUCCCAAACCAAAAAUCCCGAACCAAACCGAUAUUUUCGGUACGGGAUUCGGUUUUGAAUCUCAAAUUUUCGGUAUUCCCAUACCGAACCGAAAAUAAAUAUUAUAUAAUAUAUAUAUAUUUUUUUUCUUUUAAUUAUAAGAGAAUUAUUUCAACCGUUCAUUGUUUUAGAUUUAAUCUUUGCCGUUCAUAUGUUUUUAGGUCAGAAACCAUUUCACAACCAUUUCACAAACUUCACUUUCGUUCUAGCCGACCCUAAUCUCUUCUCUCGUCUCUGAUCUCUCCCUCAUCUAGCCGACGAGCCCUCAUCUCAUCUCUCUCUCUCUGUGACGAAUUCCGGCCAGCCACCGGCCCACCACCACACUUGACGAAUUGCAGAGUUCACUACUUCACUUCUUCCUCGUCCUUUCCUUCCACAACCCACGGUCCACCUCAGGCAUCCUCUUCCUUCUUCUUCUUCCUCCACCUCAGGUAAAAAAAGUUCGUAACUUCCGUGUUUCUUACUUGUAAAUUUAAGACUGUUUUGGAUGUAUAUGUUGUUCUGUUUGAAUUAAUGUUUGGGAUUUAAGACUGCUUGGUUGAACUUUGAACUCGCUGCUUGCAUGCCCUUCGUUUCACGGCGGUCGCGGCGCCCUACCCUCGGCCGGUGGGCAUCCCUCCGAUCUCACCUUCCUUGCCGGCGGUGGUUGCUGCUGAAAACGACGACCGCCUGUGUUUCCCCUUCUGGGUUUUUCGUCAUUUUUCAGAACACUUCGUUUUUUAUUAAGCUGUAGGAAAUGGUUACGGUUAAGCAGUUUCAAGAUGGUAACUUUUUAUCACAAUGCUCUCCAUUUUCUGUGCAAGGUUUAUGAUUUUUCUUGCUUUUGAUUUGAUGGGUUUGAAUAUUUGUGGUUGAAUUUUAUUGAGUAGUAUCUGUUUUUUAGUUAUUUUCUUGUUAUAUUUGUAUUGAUCGUGUUGUUUUUCGAUCGAUUUAUACUAUCAGAAGGACUUCAAAAUUUUGUUGCUUUUAUCGUUCCCAUGGAUUUUUUUCGAGUAUUAAUGAAGGAAUGUUUACAGGUAUAAAAAUCCCCUUGUACCGCUUCGGUAGCAAUUCGAUAUUGGAUGAUGGUUGUGCUGGACGCAUUUCAUGCGUGCUAGAAGGAGAAGAAGAAGAGAGUGUAUUAGAUUCUAUUGUUCUUGCUCAGGUAUGGAGCAUUGUGAAUUAUAAUGUUGCUACUUGUAGAUUUCUGUCAUUGAUUUAUAUGAAUUUUCUCGAUUUGCAGUGGGAAGAUCGAAUGUGGAAAUAUGGGUUUUUAAUCAUACUGCAAAUACAAUUCCAUCUUGCUUCUCUUUUGUAAUGCUAUCUCUGUAUUGCACAUUCUUUUUGUGCAGGAAGUGAUGCAAUUCUUUUAGGUGCAGAGACCCUGCGCGGUUUGUACCCUAAUUAUUAAAACUUUGGAUUGUAACUUAAUUAUUAAAACUUUGGAUUGUAACUAAUUUUUUUGCUUUUGGUUUGUAACUUAAUUAUUAAAACUUUGGAUUGUAACUUAAUUAUUAAAACUUUGGAUUGUAACUAAUUUUUUUGCUUUUGGUUUGUAACUUAAUUAUUAAAACUUUAGAUUGUAACUAAUUUUUUUGCUUUUGGGUUUGUUACUUUAUUUAUUUUAAAACCUUGGCUACCAUACAAGUGGAAAAUGCAGCUGAACUGCUCUUAUAAACAUUGCAGGUUUGCCCAAUAUUUUUUUUAUUUGGUUGAAUAAAAGUUAAGCCCAUAUGUGGGGGCUGUUACAUUCAGUGGGCAGACCCAAUAUUAGGUUUUUGUCCAAUUGGACCAAUAUUAGCUUUUUUUUGUCCAAAAGCCCAAAAUUAUUUUUGGGAUUCCCGAUUUGUCCCGAAAUCCCGAAACUAUUUCGGGAUUCCCGAAAAUUGGGAUUCCCGAAAAUUUGGUUUGGGAUCGGUAUUGAAAUUGGGAUUCCCGAAAAUUUCGGUAUGGGAAUCGGGACAAGGGUUUUGGUAUGGGAUCCCAUACCGAACCACCCCUAGUUUGUAUGGCUGAACAUAAAUAAAAAAUAUGGGCAAUAAUGUGAUUCCACACAAACCAAAUCUCACCUUUUUUUUUUUUGUUUCCUUAAACUUCAACUACAUGUGAUUAUAACAUGUCUCUAAUAUUUGAAAAAAAAGAAGUCACUCUCCCUUCUGUCCCCGCUCCUAUGUUUUUUCUCACUUUCUCUCUUCUUUUAUUUUAAGAACAAAAAUAAAAAACGUUCACACACACUUUAUAUGUGGGCGUCCACUAGUACUAUUAUUAAGCAAAGAGCUUUGUCAACUUUCUUAAAAUGACAACCAUGUUCUUAAUUUUCCUAUGUUAACCUUACUUUUAGUACACAAUAUUUAUAAAUAUAAGGACAAAGUAAUAAUUAUGUAAUAUAUUAAAAUAAUAAAAGAUAUGUCCACGUUAGAAGAAUCUGUCCCAUUAUUGUCCCAUUUUUCAAAAAUAAUUUUUUUUUUUUAAAUCUAAUCAUAUUAUUUAAUAAAUAAAAAAUGAAAUUGUUCACUCAGAGUGAUCUGCUGGUUUAUAUUUAACAAGGAGACCAUCCAGGCAUCAAUGAUUAACUGGUACGCAUGAUUGGUGUGUUCCCAGACCACCUAUGUGAUUGAAGACUUAUUUAAAAGAGUGGUCAAGAAAAGGUAGAGAUGUUGAGCUACUUGGAGUCUAAAGUUUGGCAAGAAAUAAGCCAUAGCACUUUGGUAGAUUGAUAUAGAAUUUAUUCUGAACUAUAAAUAUAUCAUGCAUGGUGGAACUGUUGCGGGAGUAUUAAUGAAAAUGAAUAAUUACGAUCAUUCGUUGGAGUCUUCAAUUAAUAAAAUAUGAGAUUUAUAAAACAUAAAAGUAAAAAGUAGUUGCGAGUUCAUUCUCGGAGUACCAAAAUCUAUGUUUAGCCUAAAGUCACUAAAUAAGGGAGCGAAGCCCCUCAGAUAAUGUCUGAUAAAAUGGUCAUAUUUGAUUUCAAAUUCGUGGACUGAAAAAUGAUUAUUAAAAAAAGAAAUUGAGUUAUCUGUUAAUUGGGUUAACAUAAUAAAAGGGUUGUGAUUUUCACACACCCUUAAUUACCUUUCCCACACCCCUUCUUAUUUUUUAAUACUUAAUUGAUAUCUUACUAUUUACUCUUCCAUAUAUACCUUUUUACUUUUUGACUUUUAAAAGUUGUUUUUUAUUUUUUGAUUGUGUUGUAGAUUGGAGUAGCAGCCCGAUUCUUCCCACUCCCCUGCUUUUUCCCUUGCUUUCUCCCGCUUCUUCCCCAAAACCCAGACACCUCCUGCUUUUUCCCCAAACCCAGACACCUCUCGCAGCCCGAUUCCCUCGCCGUCGCAAAUAUUUCCACUGCUUCUUCGAAGCCUCCCACUCCCUCCGCCGAGCCCAACGAGACCUAUUCUGAAAUUUCCACUGCUUCUUCUCUUUCCGUUCCCCUGUCCUCUUUAUUACUUCUUGUGAAAAACCACAAUGGAUGACCUAAUAAUAACAGAUGAAGAACCCCAGAUGAACAUUGAGUUGCAGAAGAUAUUGGAUAUGGCAUGCAAGGAGGAUGGCAUGGAAGAAAUUUCAGAAUGCAUUCCUCCUCUUAACACUUUUGAUGGUAAUUUUCUAAAGUAUUUUCUCAAAUUAUUAAGAUUGAUUUUGGAAUUUAGGGUUUUUGUUCUCUUCUUGCCUCAAUUUGUUUUUUAGGUUUAGUUUUUUCUUUCCCUAAUUUGUGGUUCAAAUGAUAAUUGAAUGAAUGAAUACUGGUGGUUUAAGAUAAAUGUAUCAUGUAACAAUGAAGUAACUGAAUCCAGGGGAAGAAAUAAGAAAAUCACGAAACUAAGUUUGUAAAUGUUUUUGACAUCAGAAUUUUUUUUACAAGAAUAACGAAAAAUUAGGCAAUGCUCAGAGACUAAGGAGCAAAAGAUUAAAAACUACCAUGCUUACGUGAAUGCACCGAGCAAUGCUCUAUAACAUAUUUUUCUCUCAUGUACACGGCAAUGCUCUAUAAUAGAGAAUAUUGAUUUGUGUUGGUUUUGGGGAAAUUAAUUUUCUAUUGGAAUCUAUUGGUCCCCAAUACACUUUAACUUAAUGGUAAAUUGGUAUUAGGUUUAAUUGUUGUGGUUUUACCUAGGCUCCAUGUUUUGGUGUAAACUUGAUAUAAUGCAUACAAUGCUUUGGUAUAAAUUUGAUACUUAAAUGUCUAGUCCAUUGAUAAAAAGUAUAUAUUCUACAUAUAUAAAUGUGUUGGUUUGUGAUAUAUAGGAAGUCAACCAACGAUUGAUGAGCCUGAUAAAAUGCUCUCUUUGUUGGCGAAAUGUUUUGAAAGUCGAGAAGACCUCAUCGGGAAAGUUCGUAAGAUAGCAUUAAUGCAAGGGUUUGCAACCGUUAUUAGAAGAUCUAAGACAAAUACAUAUGUUGCUAUUGGUUGUGAUAGAGGUGGGGAUUAUCGAGCCUCUAAAACUUCACUAGAUGAAAGAAAAAAAAACUCAGGAUCUCGCCUCAUAAAUUGUCCAUUUGAAGUCAAAGGGCGUAAAAAGAAAUGUGAAGAAUUUUGGAAGCUAGAGAUAAAAAGUUUAUUGCAUAACCAUGAACUUUCAAAUGACAUGUGUGGACAUCCUUCUUGUCGUCAAUUUUCACAAGAGGAAAUCUUACGAAUUAAAGAAAUGAGUAAGGUUGGUAUACCACCACGCCAAAUUCUAUCUUCGCUUCGGCAAGGCAAUCCUCAUCUUCAAGUAGUUUCUCGAAACAUCUAUAAUCUAAGAGCUAAGAUUGUGAAGGAGAGUCUAGCUGGGCGUCCAGUUAUUCAAGCAUUAUUAGAAGAACUUGGUGAAGGUGGUUUCACUUAUAACAUUGAGUAUGAUCAUGAAGGCCACUUGACUCAUUUGAUCUUUGCUCAACCCUUGUCUAUAGAGUUGACCAAGAGCUACCCAUAUGUUUUUGUGAUGGAUUGCACAUAUAAGACCAACAAGUAUAAGAUGCCAUUAUUGGAUAUCAUAGGAGUUACAAGUUUCAACACAUCCUUUUAUUCUUGUUUUGUUUUCAUGCAAAAUGAGAAAGAAGAGGAUUAUGUGUGGGCUCUAAAAAUGUUUAGUAAGAUUUUGGGAGUUGAUAAUCAUCCUAUGGUGAUUAUAACGGAUAGGGAGUUGGCAUUAAUGAAUGCUAUACGCAUUGUCUUUCCGAGUACUUCCAAUCUUUUGUGCGUGUGGCAUAUUGAGAAAAAUAUACUUGCAAAUUGUAAAGCUCAUUUUGAGGAAGAAGUUGAUUGGAUUGAUUUCAUUUCUACUUGGACAAUUUUAAAUCCAAUCUCCUAAUGAAACAUCAUUCAAUGAAGCUUGGAGUCGUUUUGAAGUUAAGUACGAGGAGAAGAAAAUUUGUUUUGAAAUAUAUUCUUGGUACUUGGCUUCCAUACAAAGAAAAGUUUGUAAGUGCAUGGUCAGAGAAAGUUACCCACUUUGGUAACCGUGUUACUUCAAGAGCCGAAGGUGCACAUGCAACGCUAAAAAAAUAUCUUCAAGUUUCAACUGGAGGUCUUCGCGAGGUAAAAGAAAAAAUAUGCCUUGCUAUUGAAAAUCAAUUUCAAGAAAUCAAAACUCAACUUUCAAGUGAAAAAGUUAGAGUUUCACACAAGUUUCGACUUCCCUUCUUCAAAGAGGUUGUUACUCAUGUAUCUAGAUUUGCAUUGAAUGAGUUAUAUAAUCAAUAUGAAGCAUCAAGUUCUUCUGAUCUUCCAUCUCAAUGUAAGGGUCAUUUUCUCAAGACAAUGGGUCUUCCUUGUGCUCACAUGAUUAGAGAGAUGAAUAUUGAAGUCUUGCAACUAAAUGACAUACAUCCAUAAUGACAUACAUCCAUAAUGGAGGAUUGAUAGAAGAUUGUUUGUCAAUGAUCGUCAUGUAAGCUUGGACAAUGAAUAAGAUCAAAUAAGCGGCCUUCUAUUGGAGUUUAAAGAUAAGUAUGAAAAGUUGCCUCUUACUCAAAAAGAGGAUACCAAAAGGCAACUUUGUGAAUUUAUUGAUACUUCUCUUCCAUUAACUCUUGAGCCUAAUGUUAAACCUCACAAAGGUCGUCCAAUGAGUUCUAAAAAUAGAAAAGAAUCAAGCUCUACAAAGCGUGGUCCUUCAAAGUUUGAAAUAGUGGAGAAGGCUCAAAAACGUGCUCGACGGGUAUGUCAUUUUUUUAUUUAUCUUUUAAUAUUGUCUACUAUGGUCAUGAUUAUUUAUAUAUACGUAUAACUUAAUGUUCAUUGUUUAUAGGUGUGAUGAGCAUAAUGAUUUGCCAAAGAAACUUUUUGUUAAUAAUAGCUUAGAUGUGUAAAGAACACAUUAAGGUACAUAUAUUUUUGUUGAUUUUUCCCCAUAAAAAUACUAAUUAAGUUUGUAAUUUUCUUUCCUUUUGUUGACAUGUUUUUAUUUUCUUGUAGGUUGGAGUGCAUGGGUUUCAUAUCUUUUUGGUAAUAUUGACAUCUCCUUUUGAACACAAGAUUAAAGGCCAAACAUAGUGUAGGUAGAAUGUGAAAGCUUGUAAUGAUAUCUGAUGUAUUUUUUGGGGCAUGAGGCUACUAUUAUGGGGAUUAAAGUGUAUGUGGAUUGCUUACUAGUAUUUUGUACAAUUCAUGUAACUUAUGCAUAUAUGCUAUAUCAUUAGGUAAUCGUUUUAUUUUUAUUUAUAUAAUAGGUGUUUUAUACUUGUUUUGGGAUCUCUCAGAUUAGGCAGUAGAGCUUGAGUUACAAAAGGAAUAUAUGGUUGAGUGUUAGAAAAAGAAAAAAACAAGUUUAAAAUAAAAUAACAAAAGUAUUUUAAAAUUUCAAUGGUCAAAAAGUAAAAAGGGUAUAUAUAGAAGAGUAAAUAGUAAGAUAUCAAUUAAGUAUUAAAAAAUAAGAAGGGAUGUGGGAAAGGUAAUUAAGGGUGUGUGAAAAUCACAACCCUAAUAAAAUAAGGAGAGAACAUUACAUUCAUACAUUAUUGAGUUAGUAGCUCACCCAUGACAAGUGUUGAAUUAGAGAAUUGAAAAGUAGUUUAUUUUUUUUCAAUAGGUGGUGGCGAGAAAAAUACAACCUACUCGGUUUCAGAAGACGAUUUACAAAUUGCCACGAAUAUCGAAGAAUUGGUCUUUGUCCAAAAGUUUUGGUUUUUGUCCAAAAGUAUUGGUCUUUGUCUCAUGCCGUAAUUAUUUUCCAAUUUUCAUAGAUUAUAUUCUUCGUCUCCAUCUUCAUCUCCGUCUCAUAUUUCAUAUUUAAUUUCCAUAGAUUAUAAUCUUCGUCUCCGUCUCAUAUUUCAUAUAUUCAUCGAGCUCAUCAACAAGGAGUCCAAUCAUUGCAACUCUUUUGUGAGCUUCCGUAUGCCCCUGAGUAUGUUAUUAUGCACUCUUACUACCAUAGAUAUCCUUCUAGAAUAUAUUUGGAAUAAAGUAUUACGUGCUUAUGAGCUUUAUCUCAUCAUUUGUUUUACUUUUUUCUCUUAUUAUAUAUGUCACUCAGAUUUAGAGCAUUCAGCCUUGAACACAAGAUUUUGAAUUCGAUUUCUUCUUCAUCAAUGUUGCUUGUAUAAUAGAAAGGGGUAAGCUAUUGAUUUGUACCAUUAAAUUGAAUUUGCUUUAUGAUCUUCCGUCGACCUUUGGACUUUGUUGCAGGUAUAAAAGUUGAUCCUUACCUUGAGCUCUAUCUUCUUGUAAAUUUUGGUAGAAUUUGGAGUUAGUCUGAAAAUUGAGAAACCACCAUGUGUGGCGGCGCGAGUGAAAGUCAAAAUUUAUGGAUUUUGGACAGCGAGACGUUCUCGAUGUCCUGAGCCCUUAUCCAAAAUCCAUUCAUUACGAUGGUUCGAUUAUUCAAUUUUUGGAAUAAUUGAGUAUGAUUUUUGUAAUUGAUGACAAUCUAAUUGUUGGAUUGUCGUACAAUUUUUUGAGCAUCCUAGUUAUUAGUUGUUUGAUCUUUGAGAACUUAUGGAUUGGAAAUCCGAUGUGCUAAUCUCCCGAAUUAAAUAACCUACGUUGUUGACCUUAGAGGACCUACUUAUCGACGGUUGACUUUUUAGUCAAUGUGCCCUAUUCUAGAGUGUCGUUGUUAUAGAAUGUUAUUGAGGCUUGAUGGAGCUUAGUUGUCUCAUUUCAAUGGUGUGUGGUUCUCGGUUGACAUGCAUCUCGAUUUACGUUCAAGUGGCACUUGGUCUCGUUUUAUGUGUCGGUCUUAUUAAGUUUCUUAAGUGGGGUUUGUGUAUUGUAUUAGGUUCCUUGGAGCGGAGUCGGUGAAUCCGAAAGUGCAAAUAACCCAGGUGAGUGACUUUAAUAUUAUAUGAUAUGGUUAAUACCCAUGAGAAUUUCCUUGUUAUGUACUUUGUGGAUAUAACAUGAAUUUACAAAUGAUUUUAUGGAAAUGUGUGCCACUAUGCUAUGUUUACUUGAUGAUGCUAUUGGAAAAUAUAUAUAUGUUAUGCCUGAAAAGAUUGUGGUACAUGAGGGCUAGUAGAAGACCGUUAACCCAAUACAUGGGGUAAUGUGGAUAAAAUCAGAAUCUGCACCAUGUAGAAGUGGUACAUGGAUGGUCGUGCUUGGUUAAUCCGCAAUGGGGGACCAUACUACUUUGGGAUCGUGCUUGGUUAAUCCAGGAUGAGUGAUCCUUAUUAUUUAGGUAUGUCCAUACAUAUUCAGGGGUGAUCAUGCUUGGUUAAUCCGCAAUGGGUGAUCACUCUCUAUUAGUAUCAGUAGGAGUGACUCUGCUUGCUUGGUUAAUCCGUUAUGGGAGGGGGGGACCACAUCCUAAUUGGUUACCUAUUGUAGGCCUCGGCCAAACUGUGUCUCUCUAUAGCCCUAGACUAUUUAUUACAUAUAUGAAAGAUGAGAUUGAAGGCAUGUGUGGCUCAAUCUAGAAAGUGAAUUGAAUCAAAUAGUUUACAUGAUGGUGUUGCCUUAAAGAGAAUGAUUUCGGAUGUAACUCAUUCCUACUCAUAACGAAGAGUUGUAAUGAUGAAAUAGAUACCAAUCUCAUUCCUACACGUGAUUGUAUUAUUGAUGUUGUGUCAUUCAUACACAACUUCGGGUUGUGUGAUGACUAAGAAUGUUGUUAGAAGACGUGUGGUGAGAUUCAAAUUGAUUAACCAUUCCUAUACGUAUAAUGAGGUGUAUGGUGGUUAAAUUAUGAAAUAUGUGGCAAUUGGACCCUUGUGAUUAUUCGGAAAAUGAGAAAGGCUAGUGGUGAGUUACAAUUCGAAGAGAAUGACAUAAUGAUAUUGACGGUGAUUAAAUUGACCCAGUAUUCAGAGAAAAGUCAUGUGAGGACAUAACACUACUUCGUAGCUUAUCCGGGUUUUGAUUUGCCUGGUGCACCAUUCCCAAGGCGUAGGGUUAUUUUGCAGAGCAAUGGGUAGAGGUUAGAGAAGAAGGUUGCAGGUUAUGCAGCUGUGUGGGCAUCGCAUUAGAGAAUAGGAUUGCCACCCUUUGUUGUAAGCUAUUUCCGCUAAGCUCUGAUGUAUAUUAUAUGUAUGAGUCUCAGUGACUCUUAUGUAUUUUAUAUUGUACUACUACUGUUCUACCGUCGCGUGUCGAUUCCGAACAUGUCGAUUGGGGCAUGACACUAUUACAUAUAUUGAACAUAUAAAAUGCAAAAUGAAAAUUUUCUAUUUUCUGUAAAGCCUAUAACAAUUUAUUGAAAAAAAUGAAAGUAUUCAACAAGUCUAUUACAAUAUCUUGAAAAAAUAAAAUGCAAAGUAAAAGUUAUCUAUUUUUUGUAUAGGCGGGUCUAGGCGGGCGCCUUAGUAGGUCUAGGCGUCAUUUAUUAAUUUGCAAAUUCCUAGGCAUUAAUCGGGGCGGUGGCCAACCGCCGGGCGCUGUUGGGAUUUUUAGAGCAGUGGUUAACAUGUUGACCCAAAACCUGUUAUUUCUUUGUCGUUCAAUGUCUGAUUAACGGGUCGUGAAAAAAAAAGUGUCUGGUAUUUGUGUAGAGUUCAAUCUACUAUACCCAAAACAUUCCGUUCUUUCGACGUGUGUACUUUCAUUUAACAACAAUUUUGUGGUACUUGUCAACUGCCACCUACAAAGAAUUGAAACUUUUGGUUAUCCUUAACACUGACAAAAAUCCAUGACAAUUGGUAGAAGAAUUAGAUUGAAUGAGUUCGAAAUUUUCAAUCAUAGAUUUUUGUUCUUGCACCAAAUUCUUUAAUUCUGUGUUCUUGCAAAAAAGACUCGAGAAGUAGUUUUCGGACUUUUGAAGUUUGGCCCUUUGUUAAACUGAAUGAAAGUUAAGAACAGAAAUUUAAAUUUCUUAAGUACCUUAUUUAGAUCUUGGUUUCGUUUUGAAAACUAAGCACAUAGUUUGUUAAAUACAAAAAUUUAUCCACUACAUUCUUUUUUUCUUUUUCUGUUGUUUUGAAACUUGUCUUUUCUGCAGACAGAUUGCAUACCAAGUAUCGAAAGCCAAAAUGGAGUCAGCUGCAUCACUAUUGAUUGGGAAAAUUGCGUUCAUUCUUGAGAACGAAGCAUCUUCCAUAGCGGCAGUCCGUGAUGAAGUUGAUGAGCUUAAGCUGGAGCUCAUAAGCAUGAAAUCUUUCUUAAUAGAUGCUGAAGGCAAGGAACCACAAACAGAAGGAGAGAAAACGUGGGUUACAAGCGUCAGAGAUUUGACCUGCGAUGCUGAAAAUGUCAUUGAUGAGUUCAUGUAUCACAUAUAUGACAAGAAGAGUGCGACUCCAUUUGCAAAAUUGCUCCACAGAACCAUUUACUUUCCAAAGAAUCUUUGGCAUCAGCAUCGAAUAGCCAAAAAAUUACAGAAAAUCACAAAAAAGAUCAAAGCCAUUCCAGAGAGGAAUGAGAGAUAUGGUGUCUCUACAAUAGAAGGAACAACUUCGGAUAGUGUUCCCAGAUGGGUGAAGAACAAAGCCGAGUCUUCUCUUUUAUAUUAUGGAAGACGAACUAAUCGGGAUUGAAGACAAGAAGCAAAGGUUAAUGGGGUUAUUGAUGAAUGGAGAGGAAAAUGAAAUGGUUGUGUCUAUAGUCGGGAUGGGAGGAUCAGGCAAGACAACUCUUGUUGCCAAUACCUUCAACAACGAAAAUGUAAAGCGGCAUUUUGACUGUUAUGCAUGGAUCACUGUUUCUCAAACUUUUGUGAUCGAAGACUUAUUAAAAAAUCUGAUCAAGCAAUUCCACCAAGGAAGAAAGGAAGAGGUGACUGCACAAUUGGAUUCCAUGAGUUACAAAGAAUUGUUAGAGAUGUUGUCGACAUACUUGAAGUCUAAAAGGUACCUAGUUGUAUUGGAUGAUGUGUGGGACAUUAAACUUUGGCAAGAAAUAAGGAUACCACUUCUUAAUAGACAUCAUGGAAGUCGAAUCAUGCUUACAACUAGAAAGAAAGACAUAGCAUUCUAUUCUUUUGAAGUUGAAAGUCGUCCUAUUGAAAUUGAACCCUUGGGAAACAAUGAAGCUUGGGAGCUCUUUAGCAAGAAAGCAUUCUCAACUUACGAUAAUAAAUCUUGUCCACCAGAGCUUGAAUCCUUAGCAUGGAAACUUGUGGAUAAGUGUGAAGGCCUACCUCUGGCAGUGGUAACUUUAGGUGGUCUAAUGUCUUCCAAGAGGUCAUCAUCGGAAUGGAGAAGCGUAUAUAACAGCUUAAAUUGGCACUUGACUAACCAUCCUAUGCUGGAACCAAUGAGCAGCAUCUUGUUGCUUUAGUUUCAACAAUUUGCCCAACCGGUUGAAGCCAUGUUUCUUAUAUUGUGCCCUUUUCCCAGAAGAUUAUCUCAUCAAAAGAAAAAGGUUGAUCAGGUUGUGGAUAGCUGAAGGGUUUGUUGAACCAAUUGAUGGGGUCACACCAGAAGAAGUUGCAGAGGGUUAUCUUGUGGAACUGAUUGUUCGUAGCAUUCUACAAGUUGAAAAGCAUGAAACUGUAGGACUAAGAGCAUGUAAGAUGCAUGAUCUUGUGCGUGAGCUUGCUUUGUCGAUAUCAAAGAAGGAAAAUUUCGGUGCUACGUGUGUUGGCAGAGAAAUAAUAGAUAAAGCUGAAAUCCGCCGAUUGUCAAUUCAAACAACUGAAGGAGAAAUUAAUUCUUGCACAGGUAUGUCAGAGCUUCGCUCAUUUCUUGUCUUUGGCGCGUUAGAGAAAUUGCCUUCUGGAUUCAAGUUGUUGAGAGUUCUAGAUGUGCAGGAUGCUCCAAUUGAUAGAUUUCCAGAUGAACUAGUGUACUUGUUCAACUUAAGAUAUUUAAAUUUGAAGAAAACUUUGAUUAAGGAGCUUCCAGAAUCCAUCGGAAGGCUUCACAAUCUUCAAACGUUGAACAUUUGUGACAGCAAGAUAAAGGCACUUCCAAAAGCAAUCUCCAAGUUAGUAAACCUACGCCAUCUAAUCAUGUAUAGUUACAUUGGUGAUUUGGCAGUCUUUAGACAUGUCAGUGGGACUAAAACAGCAUCGGAUCUAAGUAAAUUACAGAAACUGCAAGUUUUGGAUUCUGUUGAAUCAGAAGGAAAGAUUAUUAAAGGCAUCAGGAAUAUGACCCAACUUACAAGCCUCGGUAUUACAAAUGUGAAAGCAAGUGACGAGAUGGACCUCUGUGACUCCCUUCAAAAGUUAGAGCUCCUUCACGAUUUGUCUUUAAUGGCAAGUGAUGAAGAGGAGUUUCUUUGAGUUAAUGCACUACGUUCGCCUCCUCCAGACCUUCAAAAGGUUAUUUUGGCCGGAAAACUAGAAAAGGUACCUCUUUGGUUUGGUUCACUCCAUAACCUGACACGUAUGUAUCUACGUUGGUCUAGACUGGAAGAAGAUGUGCUACCUCACAUUCAAGCAUUGCCGAAUCUUGAAACGCUUGGGCUAUUUAAUGCAUAUGUUGGCAAAAAAUUGUGUUUCUCCAGAGGCUUCAUAAAGCUUAAGGAUUUGGUGUUGAGCAGUUUCCCGGUAUUGAAUAGUAUAGUUAUAGAGAAAGGGGCGAUGCCAAAUCUCCAGCUCUUAUCCAUUGCGUACUGCCUAGAGUUAAAGGCAUUGCCGCAGGGCAUUGAGUUCCUUGCUAACGUAGAACGCUUGACGCUGUCUUCUGUUCCAAUGCAACUUAUAGAGUCCGUAAGAGGAGGCAUGGAUCAUCCAAAGGUGCAACAUAUUCCUGAAAUCCACCUGCAUUAUGAGAGAGAAAAUAUAUGGUACCAUAAAAGCUUUUCUGGUAUUCACUCUCGCAAAAGGUAUGCACACUUUUAUCCUUGCAUAAAAAAUUUAUUACUGUUAGACUUACCACAUUUUUUGUAUCACAUUUGUACCAUAUUUUUUUUAUAGAGGUAGAGCUCAUCGACACAUAUGGAUCUCAUUUCUAUUAGAGAGGUGAUACAAAUGUGGUAAAAGUAAUAUUUUUGUAAAAAAGUAUUCCACAACUUAAUUAUUUGAACUAUUACGUUAGAAAGUUAAAAGGUUGGUGAUUUUUAUACUCCUUUUUUUUUUCUUAUGCGCUCCUCUUGUUUUGAUUCGUUAGUGUUUUGAUUUAUUAGGCCAUGAAAAAGAGGAAGUAGUGCAUCGGAGUGUAAAAAUCAUUUUCCCUCACAGUUUGCCUGUCCAAUCUUAUAUAGAAGUCCGGCAAAGACAAAAUAUGCAUGCAUUGAGAUUUUAUUUAGUAACUGUGUUUCUUUUGUUUUUUAAUGUCCUUUUUGUAGAAUCAAGCCUCAUAAGCACUUGUAAGACUGCAGUGAGUUCUCCUUUGUGCCAGUUGAUUUUACGGUGAAUCUCGACUUUCGUUAUAGUAACAAAGCUGACUAUAUACGUGUUGAGUGAUUCGCCUUGCAAGGAAGAAUUCGUCUAUUGUUUGUGUGUUGUGUGAAGUUGCAAACAUUGAUCGAUCUUGGUUUCUUAUUUGCCCUUUGUGAAAUUGAAUAAUGCCCAAGAUUCUAUUUGUGUAACUGAAACUUAUAUUAUUAAUUGCUUGCGUGUGUUUUGAUGUAAUAAUAUUGGUUUGGAACUGAAUCUGUCAUUGAUGAGAAUAAUGCCCAAGAUUCUGUUUGUGUAACAGGAACUUAUAUUAUUAUUUGCUUGCGUGUAUUUUGAUAUAAUAAUAUUGAUUUGGAACUGAAUAUGUCAUUGAUGAGACCAAUUCUAACUAAAUCAAUGAUUAUGACCCAUUUUUCAUUUUCAAUAUUUUUUAUUUUUUUAUCAAGUUUUCAAAUAUAUAUUGUUUUAGAGAGGUAAAUUUUAUGGUGGAUGUUUUAGCUCACUAUGAUUUCACUUGAAAAAUUAUUAGAUGGUACGGUAUUACUACGUAGGCCGGUGAUACUUCUAUUCAAAUUUUAACAUGUGUGCAGUUUCUUACAGCUGGAUUAAAAAGGUUUUUUAAUUUACAAUUAAUUUUUAUUUUUUAGUUUAAACAAAAUUAAAAGAACUAAAAAUAAAAGGCGUUUUGACAUAGAUGCCUAACUUUUAAAAUUAAAAAAAUUAACGAAAAUGACUUGAAAAUUCUGAAUUUUAAUGAUAAAGACAAAAUAAACUUUUUAAAAUUUUGAAAUAACCUUUUUUCCUCCCUUUUCUCUCCCAUGGCGACUGCAGUGCUGCCAGUAUCCGAGCCCGCCAGAAAGCAACCCCGAGCUGGUCGGGGCGGAUUCGAGGCCCAUGGACUAUCCGAAGAAGAGGCCCGGGUCAGGGCCAUCGCCGAAAUCGUCAGCUCCAUGGUCAACCUCUCCCGGAAGGACCAAAACGUCGAUCUAAACGCCCUCUAGACCACCGCAUACCGCAAGUACGGCCUCUCACGUGCGACGAAGCUGCUCAAAUGAUUGCAGCUCUGCCGGAGUCGGACCGUAAGGCUCUUCUCCCCAAGCUCCGGGUCAAGUCGGUCCCAACCGCUUCGGGCAUCGCCGUCGUGGCCGGGAUGUCGAAGCUUCAUCGGUGGCCCCACAUCGCCACUACCGGAAAUAUUUGCGUGUACUGCCCCGGCGGUCCCGAUUCGGACUUCGAGCGCAGCACUCAGUCUUACACUGGAUACGAGCCUACUAGCAAUUCGGGCAAGGUAUGGCUUUCUCUAGUUCAUUGACGCAUUUUAUCGAACACUUGAUAGGGAAUUGAAGUUUUAUGUUAUUCAUGAUUCGUUUCGAAGUUUAAAGUUUUCGGCUUGAUUGAUUUUUCACCAUGAAAUUGAGAGCUUUGUAAUGAAGAGAUUAUUUGAAGGAAUUGGUGUUUAAAACUGGAUUAGUGAAGUUAAUUUGGUAGUUAAUCUUUUGGUUUUGUGUGUUUAGAUACAACCCAUAUGUUUAGAGCUUAAAGAAUUUAUUUUCGGGUUUGCAGAUUUCCAUGAUAGAGUAAUAUGCAUAGUUGUCGCCUUGUAACUGGUACUGAAUUUUACUGGGUGCUGCACUGCAAAUUCCAAAACCAGCACGGGACCAGGCAGUCGGGUGGUCCUCAACGAUCUUCACAGAUGCUUCUUCGAUCUUCCGGAAGGUCUAGGGACCACCCAGGUCCUGUAAUGGAUCCGCCCCUGCCGCCACACACAACCUUUCACCUAAUUCCCACACGGAGGCAGAUUCUCUGCCCUCCCACUUCCCGUGUCUUUCUGUUUGUAUGGUCACGGUUAAGCCACGUCAACAUUUUAUAUUACUAUUCCUUUUUGUCUUAUUAUCUCUUAUAAAAAUAUAUAUAUAUAAUGUUAACGUGAUUUAACCGUGACCACAUAAAACGGGAGGACACGGGAAAGUGGGAGGGCAGAGAAUCUGCCUCCUUCCCACACACUGCGCCAACUGUUCGACAAUAUGCCUCAACCAAACCCCCCCGUCAUUAUUCUCCCGCCUCCCACUUCCGCCUACAUCCACCUCCCUUUCUGCCGGAAGCGCUGUCACUACUACGACUUCACAAUCGUCGCCCUCGGUGCUGCUUCCGCCAAACCGAAGGCGACCCGCAAAUGACAAACUACUUCCAGUUACUCUGCCGGGAAAUCAACUCCACAAAAGCCGAAAACAAGACCGACCGGCCUCCGGAGAAGGUGGUUUUUUGCAGCGGCACGCCAUCUCUUGUGCCGCCAAAGCUCGUGAAUUCCGUUUUGGAGACGUUCGAGGUUGAAAUUCGGGUUGAGUUCCCUCCAAGUCGAACAAGGCACGAAAUCUACGGUUUUAGUUUUGGAAUGAAUUUGGUCCUGAAGUUGGAGUUUUUUGUUUGCAGGUAUACACCAGGGGAGUUCCCGUUGCCUUCAGAAACGCGGUCUGCUGAGUUCUAUAAGAUGGCGUCUAGGACGCUUUCGGAUAUCACUGCAAACACAAUCUAACUUAUUGGAAGAACAAGCCUUUCUAUGCUCUCGGCCUUGGCUCCGCUAGCUAUGUCGAUGGCGUGAGGUUUUCGAGACCAAAGAGGAUGAAAGAGUACACAGGUUAUGUGGAGAAUAUGGAGAAUGAUUUGGUGGAGUGCGGUGAGAGUCCCCGUACGCUGCAGGACAUGGCCACGGACGUUGUUAUGAUCUCUCUUUGCAUGAAGAGAAAACAUUACAUUUAUGUACAAUUACUGCUUCGCUGAAUUAAUAUUUAAUAAAUUCGUCUUUGGUCUCACAAUGGGAUUAGGAUUUCUUCCCUGCUUUCACAUUCUUUUAUUUUAUCUUUCUUUUGCUAUAAAAAGUUAAUAUAAGAUGUUGACGUAGGUUAACCGUGACCGUUUAAGUAUGAGGGGAGGGAAGAGAGGGAAAAAAAGGGAAGAUAAUUCUACUCCCUCACGAUGAGCUACCAAUAAUGUGGUUCAAAUUCAUUUUUGACGAGAAUCGAAUUUAAGACAUCUCACUUAUAAAUGAAGAAAAAUAUCACUAGGCUGUAUUACCAAGUAUUUAUUAUAAUUAGUAUUAUAAAUAAUAAAAAAACAAAAGAUAAUAAAAACUGAAACAAAAAAAAAAGAAGAAAAAACCGUACCGUUCAAACUUCAAAGUCAGGGGGAGAGUAAGGGCUGGUUUGGUAUUGUUGUGCUUUGAAAAAAAGCUGCUGUGAAAAUAAGCGGCUGUGCUGUGAGAAUAAGCGGCUGUGAAAUAAAUCAGCAGAGUGUUUGGUAAACUUUUUUGUAAAAGUGCUUUUGAAAAAAAAACAGUCAAAUAGUGGGUCUUUUCAUUAAAGAAGCACUGUAGCUCCGUGUGCUUUGAAAAAAAAAGCCAUUUUUCCAAAGCUGCAAAUAGCAGCUUCAGCUUUUUCCUUUGAUUUCAGCUUAUUCUCACAGCAGCUUCCAAAAUAAGCCAUUUUUUUUCAGUUUACCAAACACCUAAAACCCUCACAGCUUUUUUUCAUGGAUGCUUUUUUUUUAAGCACCUCACUCCCAAACUAGGUCUAAGAGGGAGACCUCCCUUUCUCUGCCGCAUAUCUCCUGGUUUUAUUUUUAAUUUUUUUGGUAAAAAAACCUUCCUGAUCUUUUUACUCAUGUGUUAUUACCAUUUAUCGGAUGAUAUGUUUUCCCGCUUGUUCAGAUUGUUCUCAUGCUUGACCAAUGAGGGAAAAAAUCGUUUUCCACAAUCUAAUUUAGCACUCAAAAUACCAAGAAUGAAGAAUUAGGGUUUUGGGUUUAGUUUUGUUUACCGAACAAAAUAUUUUGGGUUUAGUUUAGUUUACCGAACAAAAUAAUUCAAAAGAAGAGCGAUUGCUCGAUACGCUUUGUGUGCUUCUUAAUUUUGUAUAAAUCGAAUCAAAUCAACAUACAGUAAAGACGGAUUUUCUCUCCUCCUCCUUACGAUCGUGACCAGUUGAUAUUUUUUCCUUUUGAGUUCUACUGGAUUAAUUGAUUCUUAUUCAUUUAAUAUAAUUGUUUAUUUAUUACUUAUAAUUCACAUCAUCAUCCAUGUCACUUAAGGUUUAAACUUUUCAACAAUAGUCUUAAUCAAGACCAUUGAAUGUUAUAAAGUCUAAUGGCUAAAAAAUGAGUGUAAAAAUAUUUGUCUCUUGAACAUAUUAUAUAUGUACUUUUAGAUAUGAAUAUAAAUUAUUCUCUACUAAUUUUUCAAUACGGUAUGAUAAUAUCGUCAGUAAUAUUAUCGAAUACCAAUAAAUAUCUAAAAUUUCAGUUUGCUACAAUACCGUGUCAUUAUCGAUCGGCAUAAAAUCGAUAUGGUACCGUUGUCAAUCGGUGGCACGAUAAGUGUUGAAUUAGAAACUGAAAAAGUAAUUGAAUUUUACUGGAAGUGUAUAUAAGCCUUUGUAAUGUGAAUUAAAAUUACAGUGUGCUUGGGUGAUUUUUCAAAACCUUGUGUUUGUUAUUUGAAAUAAGAGUUUUCUAUUAUAUUUUUUAUUUUAUUCGUGCACCAAUUAUUUUUCUACCGACCCCAAAUUCGAAGCGCAACUUUAAUUGACCUCACCACGCAAUUAUUGUCGGCGAGCAAAAUACAUCCUACGCGGUUUACAAAUUGCCACGUACAUCACAUUAUCAUCUUUGUCCAAAGGUUAUUGCCUUGGACCUCACUAGAGACAAAUGCUUUCUUAUGGUUGUACAAGACUAGAAAUUGGAGUUCAGAUUACAAACGAGGGUGUGGCUCGGGACACCAAUAGAGGUCAUACCAUAGCUGCAGUGGCUGAUUGUUUUUGCUUGGCAAAGGAUGCUGGUUUUAAGGUCAGCCUAGUACCUUAUCAUAAAACUCACUUACCUUCACCGUGGGAAAAGAACGGGUUUUGGACCUUUUAUCAAAACAAUUUGUGAGCCUGGAGAUAUUUUUCAAAUUAUUGUGCUCUCCCAUAAUUCAGCGAGAAUAUUUAAGCAAAAUCUAGUUGGUUUUGGUGUUACCAUUCACUUUGUCUAAGUUCAAGAAGAAGCAUGUAUUUGUAUGGCUGUAACCUUUAUGAAUUGCAAUAUUAAAAGCCUUGAGACUGAUCUCAUGCUACAUCAUUUAAUAAACAAGAUGGACCCGCCCAUCUCAUAUUGGAAACCUAUAUCCCUUCGCAACUCACAACAAUAAUUUAAUUGUGUUCGUAUCGUGCUUGCCAUGUUAAAUUGAGCCUCCUUGUUUUUCUCUUUAUUUUUAGUCGAAACUACAUACUCAAAUUUUAUAUAAUCUAUACUAUUAUUAAAAAAAAAGCCUUGUGAAAAUCUUUCCUACUGAGUGAGCUAGUAGCUCACCCCGUGACAUGUGUUGAAUCAGAGAUUUGAAAAGUAGUUGAUUUUUGCUGGAGGUGCAUAUAAACUUUUGUAAUGCAAAUCACACUGUGCUUAAUUGGGUGUUUUGUAGAAACCUUGUGAUAUAAAAUGAGUUAUCUUUUUUCUUUUCUUUUUAUUCGUGCACCAAGUGAGGUUAUUUUUCUACCAAGAGCCUGACAUUCUUUACUUUAACUUGGUGUAUUUUUACCCAUCACUCUCAAAUGUUAGUAUUGUUUACCAUUCUACACAUUUGAAAUUUAAACAAAUAUAACAAUGAUAUGCACUACACAUAUUUCAAAACUUAAAAUAAUGUAAUUGUGAGAAUUUGAAAGUAAAAGAGUACCACAAUGAUGAAAGCAAAAACCUUGCAAGAGUUUAUAAAAGGUUAGACUACUUCUCAUAUUGUUAAUUACUUUUAUAGUGAAACCUUAACUUUUCAUAGUAUCAGAGCAAGUUGGCCUACGUGUGAAGUCCAACGGUCACACGUGUUCCACGUCACCUAAUUCCUGUUGUUCACGUGUUUGAUUAGUAAGAAUAUAAAAGUAAAAAAAAUCUUAUAUUGAUAAAAGAAUAUCCUUUGCAAAAGUUUAUAAGAAAUUAGAAUACUUUUUAUAUUGUUUACUGUAUAAACUUUAAUAGGAGCUCACCUCGUUAAUGCACUCCUACGCCGAUUCCUAUCUCGAGUUUCAAGGUUUUGCAAAUUGCCACUUGCAUCAAAUUAUUACUUUUCUCCAUGAUUCUCGGUCUUUGUCGAAAAGUCUACGUAAACCAUUUGACGUAUUAGUUUUGUCCAAAAACAGUGGCCUUUGUCCCAUUAAAUAUGGGCAAGAGUUAAGGAUCCUCUACGGUUUCUUUUUGUGAAAAUUUGAAGGAUUAAUUAAUCGUGUGUAUUUAUUGUACAUUGUGUAACUAGAAAUUAUUUAAAUUUUAUAUUUAAAAUUAAAUAUAAAUAGUAUUUAAGGAAAAUUGAUCGUACAAUGUAUGAUGAACGAAUACGUUUAAUUGAUCAUCUGAUCUCAAAAAAAGAAUUCGAAGACCGAUCCUCGUCCGCGUCAUACCAAUUAGUUUAUAUGCACCUUGUUCGACCCCCAUUUUUAUUCACCACUAAAAAAAAUUAAAUUAAAUCUCGUUUUUUAUAAAUUCUUAAUCUUUCAUUUUUAUUAUCCCACCAGAAUAGGGACAAUCAAUUCACAUGGAAGAAUUUGUUUGGCCGAAUCAUUUCAUAGAAAUAUCAGUAUUUUGAUUGAUCUAAAUUUAUGUAAUUUAGUAAUUAUUCAAUUUACCGAGUGACAAAAAAAAUGAAUAUAAUCAACUAAAAUGAAAAUCAUUCUUUAUAUUAUCUUUUUAAAAAUUGCACAUCGUAAAAAGAUACAGUAAAAAUUCUUACUGCGAUUAUGACUCAUAAUAUUUAAUUAUCUCCUAAUACUUACUUCCAAUUAUUUUCCAUUUUUCAUAAAUUUGUAAUCUUCUUCUCAUAUUUGAUAUUUUCAAAGUUCAUUAACAAAGGAGUCCAACAAUAACGUUAAUUAUAGCCUAAUGCAAUUGAAGCAUAUCAUUGCAACUCUUUUGUGAGCCUUCAUAUUCCCCGAAGUAUGUCAUUCUGCACUCUUACUACCAUACAUGAUAUCUUUCUAGAAUUUAUCUGGAAGAAAGUAUAACUAUAAGUGCUUAUGAGCUAUAUCUGAAUUUUUUAUUUUUUUUUAUUUUUUUUUCUUAUUAUAUAUGUCACUCAAGUUCAAAGCAUUCAAACUUGAACACAAAAUUUCAAAUUCGAUUUCUUCUUUAACAAUAUUGCUUGUAUAAAAAAAAGGGGGUAAGUUAUUGAUUUGUACACCAUUAAGUUGAAUUUGGUUGCAAGUCUAAUCAAUGUUAUUUGGUGUUUUAUUUAAAUAAUUUAAGCAAGCAAAAAUGUCAUGUUUGUCGUGUUUUUGGUGUUUUCGUGUUCAUACCCGUUAUCGUAACGGGACGUGUCAUGUCGAACCCGUUACUUUAAUGAAUUCUUAACAAGUAAUCCAAUAACGACUCAAUUUGUUAACAGGUCGUGUCGUCUCAUGUCUCGUUAACAGGUCAUGGAAGAAUUUAAUACACCUAAUAUCUAGAUUUGGAUAACGAUAUCUUAUUAGGUUCUUAGUAGAUGACUUGAUAAUGAUUUUGGUCGUUAACGAAUUGCACUAUGUGCUAGUCAGGCGGCAAGCAGAGGCCUAUCCAGUUUUUUUUUUUAAUUUUAAUUAAAUUUAGAAAAUUGCUAUUAGCAUUCUAAAAAUCUAAUUGUACACUCCAUACUUUUUAUACUUAAAGUUAAUCAUAUUUUAUUCUCUGACACUUAAAAUUACAAAAAUACCCUUUACAAGCUUAGUGGAAAUCCUAAGUGGACAUUUGGGUUCUUGUCAUUCUUUGUCCCGUUCACAUCUUUCUAGGUAGUACAUGUCUUUAGAAACACAUGAGCACAAAAGAGGUGUAAAUCGAACUAUUUAUGCACAUUUUUUAAUGAGAUAAAAUAAUAAUUUGCACCAUCAUGAAUCCAUAACUUGUUGGUUGUCAGUAUUGCAUGCUGCAAACUGUGAUAUUGAGGAGUUAUUCGUUGGACUCGUUAAGCAAGUGGACAAGUAGACUCAUCUCUGUUUGUGUUUAAUAAUUAAGUCCCGUACAUAAUUAAUUAUUUUUUAGGCUUGAACCAAAGACACAUACAUGCUCUCGUUCACUACGAUUGCGUGAACUCAAACUCAUUAAAAUUUGAAGAUACGACAAAAAUUUUACGAAACUCGAUAUCAAGAGAUUAUUAUAAUUCUACUUUGAUCAGUGCACUACCAAUUAUUUAAUGUUUUUUUUCAAAUAAUUGGUUUUGGUAGGUGGAACGUAUCCACGUGACCACUCCUCUUCCCGGUGUAGUUUCAUUAUUUCUCGAGACAUUUACUGAAAUACAAAGUAGUACACCACGUGUCAUUAUAUCAAUGUUGAAAUAUAUGUGUUAAAAAAUUAAUAUCUUAACAAAUACAAUUUUUCACUACUUAUAUAAAAACACGUAAUGUACCACUCAUAUUCCCGUUACAAUAAAAAAUUUCUCCUUCCCCUCAAGUUUCACUCAGCUGUGCCACACUCAUUCUCUUGAAAAAUUGUGAGUGACACUGAUACCCUCUUAAAACUUAAAAAUUGUGAGAGAUACCCUCUUAAGUUUCCACACUAUAAAAUUCUCAAUUUCUGCGCAUGGGAUUGGUAAAAAGUAGGAGUUGUAUACAUGUAAUUAGGGUUCACGUUUUGUAAGUUAUAGCUCCUCUAAAAGGAUUUCGAAUUUCGAAUUUCGAAUUUCGAAGUUAUCGACCAAAAAAACCCUCCCCCCUCACCAAACCAAUCUGGUGUAUAUAUUAGGGAGAAAACUUCCAUAAAACGAUAGAUGUAUAUACUAUUUCCUAAUAGUAAUAGAAGAAUAUUAAAAGGCAUGAGCACGAAAAGCGCUAGUGAGUCUUCUAAUGUAUAAAUUUUCUUACGAUAAUGUGUAUAUUUCAACUGGUGACAAUAUCCUUUUUUCUCCUCCAAAACAUCAAUGCUAGUCAGUUGAAGAUAAAGAUUAAUUAAGCUGCUAAUUUGGAGUGCAACGUUUGAACCUUGGACGGCUACCUAUAUUCUUUUAACUAGUGGAAAACAAAGAGACAAUGGUUUGGCACCUUUUAUUAAUAUUAUUAUGCCUUAAAUGUUAAAAUGGUCUCUGUGUUUUAGUCACUGGGUUAAUUUAGUCCAUGUGUUUUCAAUUUGUUCAAUUUGGUCCUUGUGUUUAUCUCCGUUAGCCAAUUAAGAACAUUUCCAUUUAAUUUAUGUAAAAGAAUUAUAAAUUAUUAUAAACUUAUUUAUAAAAUUAUAAUUUAUUUGAUUUAAAACAUUUAACAUGGAAUAAAAUAAAAAAAUUAAAAGAAAAUUUAUCCUCCUCCCAACUCUCCAACUUCAUCCCUAACAUUACCCCGUCUCAUUUCUAUGUCACAACCUUUAUCAUUUUUCAAAUUGGAAGUUUUAUUUCGUAUCGGUGUUAUUUCUCAUUGAUUUGUAUUUUUCUGUAUAGAAAAAAGAUAAUUAUUUCUCAUUUGAUUUUUCUUAUAAAUUUUUUAAAAGAGAUUGAAUGAAAUGUUCUCAAUUAGCUAACAAAGACAAACAUGAGGAUUAAAUUAACCAAAUAAAAAAUACGAAGACUAAAUUGGCCAUAUAACUAUAACACAUGAACCAUUUUAAUAUUUAAGCCUAUUAUUAUUUUCCAUUUCUUUAAUUUAAUUGCUUGCGUUACUCACAUCUUUUAAGGUAUCAUAUACUUUACCUUUUCUUUAUUUUAUUAUUAUUGGCUUCUAUUCAUAUGGUCCGGGAUCAAACUAUUUAUAAUUCAUUGUCCUCCACACUUACUUUAGAGAAAAUUUGAAAUAAGUUCAAUUUUAUAAACUACUUUUGAAAUAAGUUCAAUUUUUAGUUAUUUUAGAUUUAUAUCAAAAUAUCCCUACUUUUUAAAGGCUAUUGCCCAUUAUAUUCCCUUUUAUCACCCAACUUCCAGUGAAGAAAAAUACUUUUUGUCAACCAUUUUUGUUUGACAAAUUUCCCACAUUAUGCCUCUACAAACAUCAACUUAAAAAAAAAAAGUUUCAAUAUAAUGAAUUCUUAAUAGGUGGCCCAAAUUAAGACUCGAAUAGUUAACAAAUUGUGUUAUUUUAUGUCCAAUUAGCGGUCAUGCAAGAAAUUAAUAUACCUAAUAUCUAGAUCUAAAAAACGAUAUAUUAUCAGUACACCAGCAGUUAAUCAGUUGUGUUAUUUUAUGUCCAGUUAAACUAAAUAACGUGUCACCAAUAAGAAAUAAACAUGUUAAUUAACUUUUAAGUAAUGAUCAAUUCACCAACUUUCAUAUGAUUUAAUUUACAAUUUUAGUCCAAAAAUUUAGUUACUCAAACAUUACUCCUACUCUUAUCAGUACACCAGCAGUUAAUUAAUAUAUUUUUUUAAAAAUCUGAUCGGUGGGACGCACCCACUUCCCCGUGUAGUUUGACUCUUUCCCUCCGAAAAUUUUUCGUUUUGACGGAAAUACGGAUGAUACACUAUUUAUUUUUAUGUAAGUGGUGAAAAAUUUUAAUUUUUAAAUUAUUAAUCUUUUAACACAAAUAACCCACCAUUUAUAUAGAGACACAUAAUAUACCAUUUCGUGUAAUGAAAACAUUGAAAAAUCUCUCGUUUCCCUCACGUUUCCCUCAGUUAUGUUACACUCAAUUGUCUCAAAACACUCAAACAGUCAAACUCUCUCAUUCUCACUCCUCUCCCUUUUCUCUCUCUUUCAACUCUCGCCAUCUCUCCCUUCUGUGCGUCAGAGAAGCCGAGCACCAGAGAGCGGCCACCCCACCGGACCAUCAAACCUCUGGCUCUCAUCUCUGUCACACACUCUCUUUCGACCCUCUAUAUGUGCACACGCUGCACAGAAACGCAGCAGGAACACCACCCUCAUUCGCCAUUUUUGAUCGACCGAGGUAAGGGUCUGGACCACUGGAUUGAUUUUCCCUUGUCAUUUUGAUGAAGAUUGACUCCUUGCAUGUAUGUUUUGGCGAGGUUGGAGUGCAGAAACAAUUCGGGAAACAUGUCCCCUUUUUCCGGCGAGGAGACCCGCGAGCCUCCUUGUUUUUUCUUUAUUUUUAAUUGAAAAUAUACAUACUCAAAUUUCAUAUAAUCUAUACUAUUAUACUAUUAUUAAGAAAAGAGGCCUUGUGAAAAUCUUUACUACUGAGUGAGCUAGUAGCUCACCCGUGACAUGUGUUGAAUCAGAGAUUUGAAAAGUAGUUGAUUUCGAUGGAAGUGUCGAUAAAAUUUUGUAAUGUAGAUUAGAUGCGUUUGAGUGUUUUGUUGAAACCUUGUGAUGUAUAAUAUCAUAAUAUGAGUUACUUUCAUUUUCAUUCGUGCCCCAGGAGAUGUUAUUUUUGAGAUGUAAUAUUCACAGAUUCAAUUUUACUUCUUACACAUCUUUCUAAUUUUUGACCGUCGGAUCAAAUGAAUUGAAGAAGAUCAACGGACAGAAAUUAAUAAGAGGUGCGUGAAAAGUAAUUUGUUAUGUGAGAAUAGCAUACCCUUUUUUUUUUUUUACUGAUUUGAAUCUUGAACCCGACACUUCUAUACUAUAACUUAGCGUACUUUUGCUUACCACUAUGAACGGAUAGUAUUGUUCAUUACUCUACUACUUAUUAUCAUUAGAAGAUUUUAAAUUUUGUCUAUUCUACUUGUAUAUUGAAAUUUAAAUUAAUGUAACAAUAGUAUUUAUUACACAUAUUUUGAAUUUAAAAUUUAAACUAAUGUAACGAUAUUUAUUACAUAUUUUGAAAUUUAAAUUAUGUAACAAUGAUGAAUAAAAUAGUGAACAUCAGCAAAAUUAUUUCCUAUAAAUUUUAAUACGAUCUCGAUUCUCACCUCGUUAAUGCAUCCUACGCGGCUUCCUAUCCCGAGUUUCAUGGUUUUGCAAAUUGCCAUGUGCAUCAAACUAUUACUUUUGUCCAAAAGUCUUGGUCUCUGUCGAAAUGUCUUCGUAAGGGUAAUGCUAGGGAGUUUAAGGAAAUUUAAUUAAUUUUUUUUAGAUUUUAUGAAAAGUUUUGAUUCAGCUCCUUUCAAAAUUCUAGAAGGAGAGGGUAGAUUUGUGAAUACCUAAAAUAGCACAGCAAAAUUUCUCAAUUCCCUCAAUUCCUUAACUUUUUAAUUUUUUUUAAAAUAAAUUUUUGAUUGAAUACACAUAAAAUGUUAUAAACUUUUUUGAAGUCCUAAUUAAAAAUUUCCAGAAUUUUAAUGAUUUUAAUAAUCUAUAUUAAAAUUUUGAUUGAAUACACGUUAAAUUUCAGAAAAUUACUUAAAAUCCUGAUUGAAUACUUCUAAAUUCAUUAAAAGAAUUAAAGUCUGUCAAAUUCUUAAUUGAAUACACAUUCCUAAAUUUGUAGACAAAAUGUAAAAUAAUGAUGUUUUAUCAAUAAAAUAAGCUUUUAUCAAAAUUUAAGUAAUAAUUCAUUCAUCAAUUUUCAUAUAAUUUAAUUUAUAAAAUUGUAUCUACAACUUUUGUCUCGCCACAUUACCCCUUCGUAAAUAAUUUGAUGUAUUAGUUUUGUGUCCAAAAGUACUGGUCUUUGUAUCAUCAAGCAUGGACAAGAGUUUGUGUUAUAGGCUAUAGCGAUUAGAUUACAUAAACCUAGUGCCCACGAGAAUAUGUACAAUCAAAUUAUUUUUUAAACAAACGAUUUUAAAUAGAAGAAUUUGUUAGGCCGAAUUAUUACAUAGAAAUAUUGGUUGAUCUAAAUGCAUGUAAUUUGGUAACUUACCGAUUGACCCAAAAACAAUGAAUAAAUCGACUGUAAAGAUGAUCAUUACCUAUAUUUCGUAAACAAAUACAGUAAAAAUUCUUACUGGGUUAUGACUCAUAAGAUUAAAUUAUCUCUCUAAUAGGCUAAUACUUACUUUUAAUUAUUUUCCAAUUUUUAUAAAUUUGUAAUCUUCGUCUUCUUCUCAUAUUUGAUAUUUCAGAGUUCAUUAAUGAAGGAAUCCAACAAUAACGUAAGUUGUAGCUCAAUGCAAUUGAAGCAUAUCAUUGCAACUCUUUUGUGAGCUUUCAUAUUCCCCAGUGUAUGUUAUUCUGCACUCUUACUGCCACAUAUAAUAUCCUUCUAGAAUUUAUCUGGAAGAAAGUAUAAGUGCUUAUGAGAUAUAUCUGAUUUUUUAGUUUUACUUUUUUUCUUCUUAUUUUAUAUAUGUCACUUAGGUUCAGAGCAUUCAGCCUUCAACACACAAGAUUUCAAAUUCGAUUUCUUCUUCAACAAUAUUGCUUGAAUGAAAAAAAAAGGGUAGGUUGUUGAUUUGUACACCAUGAAGAUGAAUUUGGUUGUAGGUCUAAUCAUUAUUAUUUGAUGUUUUUAUUUAAAUAAUUUUAGCAAGCAAAUGUCAUGUUUUAUUUUUCGUGUCAUACUCAUUAUCUUAACAAAUCGUAUUGUAUCAAACUCGUUAUCUAAAUGAAUUCUUAACAGGUAAUCUAAUAAUGACUCGAUUCAUUAAUGGAUCAUGCCGUUUCAUGUCCAGUUAAUGGUCAUGCAAGAAUUUAAUAUACUUAAUAUCUAGAUCUAGCAAACGAUUUCUAAUAAGGUUCUCAACGAGUGACUUGAUAAUGAAUCAUACUAGGCGCAAGUCGGGCAGCGAGCAAGGGCUAGCUUAGGCGGAGGGCCUAGGUGGUUUUUUUAAUUUUAAUUAAAUUUAGAGAAUUGCUAUUGGCACUGCAAAAAUCUAAUUGUACACUCCAAACAUUCUAUAUUUAGAAAAAAAAAAUCUUAUGAAGAGUAUACAGAGUGCUGAUAAUAAUUGCCUAAAUUUAUUAUAUAACAUAUAUAUAAACAUUUGCCUAUGCUUAAAAAAAAACAUAACAUUAUGUACAUAAAUUGCAAAAUAAAGGACAUAUAUAUUAUAAAGUAUUAGAACAUAUUGAAACAUAGGGAACAAACCUAAAAUAUUAUUUGUAAGCAUAAGCCUAUCGCAUAACAUCCUUGCAUCUUACUUGCUUAUUGUUACAUGUUUGUGCAGCGUCUCUUAGUUAUUUUGUACUGUCUUGGGCCAAGGAACAACUUCAUUGUAUAUUCAUAUACACCAUUUACGUUCGAUUUGGAUCCAGAGUUAGGUGCCAGCAUGUCUUUAGGUUAGAUGUUUGGACUCAUAUGUGAUGUGCUUAGUGCCCGCUUCAUGUGAUGUAGUACUAGAACGUAAAAUCUAAACCCAACAUUUUCCAUUGUCAAAAUAUCUCUGAAAUGGACUUGUGCGCGUACAUACAUUAAUGAGCAGUGGCUUAUGCUUUGAGAUGAUUGUUGUAUACGUACUCUGUAUUCUUCGACUUACGAUAUAUGUCGGAUACUAUAUAGUAGUACGUUGUAUUAUUAUUUUUGGGGAACAAUAUACUUGUUUUACAGCGAGGGGUUACACGUUUUCAAAAAGGUUUUCCAAGCUUUAUUUUGUAGGCCCACUCACCCUUAUUUGUCUUCCCGCUAGGAUUUAAGUGGUAGAGCUUUUAUGACAACGAGGAUUGCUGGCAAGCGCUGACAUAUAGGAGGAUUUCUCCCUUCGGUAUAAAUGUUCUUUAUCUUUUACUAUAAGUUACUUGUAUCUGUCAUCACUUGUGUGAAAAGUGUUUAACUCCACCCACAUGCGCACUCUAGAAUUAGUUACUCUAGGUUUAAAUUAGUCUACACUUUCCACAUCACCAUUACUUUAUGGCUUUGUCACCUUCCAGGUGUCGGCCAACACAACUCAAUUCAAUUGUCCAGGUGGACAUUUUGGGUCGGGGUGUGUCAUAAUGAGUGUUCAUCCAAUUAUUUAAUCAGUCUAUUACAAUUUAUUAAAAAAAUUACAAUGAAAAUUAUCUAUUUUCUGUAUAAGUAAGAGUUUUGACUUAGGCAGUCUAGGCGGGCGCCUAGGUAGGUUUAGGUAGACAAAAUUGUCAGGCCUUUGUGUAGAGUUCAAUCUGAUGUACCCAAAAUAUUCUGUUCUUCUUUUCGAUGUGUGUACUUUCACUUAACAACAAUUUUGUGGAACUUGUCAACUGCAACCCACAAGGAAUUGGAACUCAUUUUUGUCCUUAACACUGUCAAAAAACCAUGAUGUUUGGUGGAAGAAUUAGAUUGAACGAGUUCGAAAAUUUUCAAUCAUAGAUUUUUUGUUCUUGAACCAAAUUCUUUAAUUUUGUGUUCUUUGGAAAAAAGACUCAAGAAGGUAGUUUUCAGAAUUUUCGACUGAGUUUGGCCCUUUGUUUGUUAAACUGAAUGAAAGUCAAGAACAGAAAUUUAAAUUUCUUGAGUACUAGACAAUUUCGGUACCUUAUUUAGACAAUUUCGGCACUUGGUGCGAUGGCAAGUGCCUUCGCCCAUGAGCGGUAGGUCUCGGGUUCGAGACUUGGGAGCAGCCUCCAUAAAUGGGGGUAAGGUUAGCCGACAUUCACCUUUCCCAGACCCUGCGUAAAGCGGGAGCCUUGUGCACUGGGUACGACAUUUUUAAGAGGUCGCACUUGGUGCGAUGGCAAGUGCCUUCGCCCAUGAGCGGUAGGUCUCGGGUUCGAGACUUGGGAGCAGCCUCUCCAUAAAUGGGGGUAAGGCUAGCCGACAUUCACCUCUCCCAGACCCUGCGUAAAGCGGGAGCCUUGUGCACUGGGUACGACCUUUUUGUAGUUUUGAAAACUAAGCACAUAGUUUGUAAAAUAAAAAAAGUUUAUCCAUUGCAUUCUUUUUCUUUUUCUGUUGUUUUGAAACUUGUCUAUUCUGCAGAUAUAGAUUGCAUACCAAAGUAUCGAAGGCCAAAAUGGAGUCAGCUGCAUCACUAUUGAUUGGGAAAAUUGCGGCCAUUCUUGAGAACGAAGCAUCUUCCAUAGCGGCAGUCCGUGAUGAAGUUGAUGAGCUUAAGCUGGAGCUCAUAAGCAUGAAAUCUUUCUUAAUAGAUGCUGAAGGCAAGGAACCACAAACAGAAGGAGUGAAAACGUGGGUUACAAGCGUCAGAAAUUUGACCUGCGAUGCGGAAAAUGUCAUUGAUGAGUUCCUGUAUCACAUAUAUGACAAGCACAGUGCGAGUCCAUCUGCAAAAUUGCUCCACAGAACCAUUUACUUUCCAAAGAAUCUUUGGUAUAGGCAUCGAAUAGCCAAAAAAUUACAGAAAAUCACAAAAAAGAUCAAAGCCAUUCCAGAGAGGAAUGAGAGAUAUGGUGUCUCUACAAUAGAAGGAACAACUUCGGAUAGUGUUCCCAGAUGGGUGAAGAACAAAGCCCAGUCUUCUCUUUAUAUUAUGGAAGACGAACUAAUCGGGAUUGAAGACAAGAAGCAAACGUUAAUGGGAUUGUUGAUGAAUGGAGAGGAAAAUGAAAUGGUUGUGUCUGUGGUCGGGAUGGGAGGAUCAGGCAAGACAACUCUUGUUGCCAAUACCUUCAACAACGAAAAUGUAAAGCGACAUUUUGACUGUUAUGCAUGGAUCACUGUUUCUCAAACUUAUGUGAUCGAAGACUUAUUCAAAAAUCUGAUCAAGCAAUUCCACCAAGGAAGAAAGGAAGAGGUGACUGAACAUUUGAAUUCCAUGAGUUAUGAAGAAUUGUUAGAGAUGUUGUCGACAUACUUGAAGUCUAAAAGGUACCUACUUGUAUUGGAUGAUGUGUGGGAUAUUAAACUUUGGCAAGAAAAUAAGGAUACCACUUCUUAAUAGACAUCAUGGAAGUCGAAUCAUGCUUACAACUCGAAAGAAAGGCAUAGCUUCCUAUUCUUUUGAAGUUGAAAGUUGUCCUAUUGAAAUUGAACCCUUAGAAAACAAUGAAGCUUGGAAGCUCUUUAGCAAGAAAGCAUUCUCAACUUACGAUAAUAAAUCGUGUCCACCAGAGCUUGAAUCAUUAGCAUGGAAACUUGUGGAAAAGUGUGAAGGCCUACCUCUGGCUGUGGUAACUUUAGGUGGUCUAAUGUCUUCCAAGAGGUCAUCAUCGGAAUGGAGAAGAGUAUACAACAGCUUAAAUUGGCACUUGACUAACCAUCCUAUGCUAGAAUCAAUGAGCAGCAUCUUGUUGCUUAGUUUCAACAAUUUGCCCAACCGGUUGAAGCCAUGUUUCCUAUAUUGUGCCCUUUUCCCAGAAGAUUAUCUCAUCAGAAGAAAAAGGUUGAUCAAGUUGUGGAUAGCUGAAGGGCUUGUUGAACCAAUUGAUGGGGUCACACCAGAAGAAGUUGCAGAGGACUAUCUUGUGGAACUUACUGGUCGUAGCAUGCUACAAGUUGAACUAAGGAAUGAAGCUGGAAGACCAAAAGCAUGUAAGAUGCAUGAUCUUAUGCGUGAGCUUGCUUUGUCGACAUCAAAAAAAGAAAAGUUUGGUGCAACAUAUGUUGGCCGAGAUAUAGUAGAUAAAGCUGAAAUCCGUCGAUUGUCAAUUCAAACAACUGAAGGGGAAAUUAAUUCUUGCACAGGUAUGUCAGAGCUUCGCUCCUUUCUUGUCUUUGGCACGUUAAAGAAAUUGCCUUCUGGAUUCAAGUUGUUGAGAGUUCUAGAUCUGGAGGAUGCCCCAAUUGAUAGAUUUCCAGAUGAACUAGUGUACUUGUUCAACUUAAGAUAUUUAAAUUUGAAGGGAACUUUAAUUGAGGAGCUUCCAGAAUCCAUCGGACGGCUUCGCAACCUUCAAAACUUGAACAUCCGUGACAGUAAGAUAAAGGCACUUCCAAAAGCAAUCUCCAAGUUAGUAAACCUACGCCAUCUAACAAUGUAUCGUUACACUAAUUAUCAUUAUGGCUUUAUGUAUGUCAUUGGGAUAAAAGCAGCAUCCGAUCUAAGUAACUUACAGAAACUGCAAGUUUUGCAAUCUGUUGAAUCAGAAGGAAGGAUUAUUAAAGUCAUCAGGAAUAUGACCCAACUUACAAGCCUCGGUAUUACAAAUGUGAAAGCAAGUGACGAGAUGGACCUAUGUGACUCCCUUCAAAAGUUAGAGCUCCUUCACUAUUUGUUUUUGAUGGCAAGUGAUGAAGAGGAGUUUCUUCGAGUUAAUGCACUACGUUCGCCUCCUCCAAACCUUCAAAAGGUUUAUUUGGCCGGAAAACUAGAAAAGGUACCGCUUUGGUUUGGUUCACUCCAUAACCUGACACGUAUGCAGCUAUAUUGGUCUAGACUUGAAGAAGAUUUGCUACCACACAUUCAAGCAUUGCCGAAUCUUGAGAGGCUUGAGCUAGUUAAUGCAUAUGUUGGCGAAAAAUUGUGUUUCUCCAGAGGCUUCAUAAAGCUUAAGCGUUUGGAUUUGCGCAACCUCCCCUUAUUGAAUAGUAUAGCUAUAGAGAAAGGGGCGAUGCCAAAUCUCCAGGUCUUAGACAUUUGGGAAUGCAUGGAGUUAAAGACAUUGCCAGAGGGCAUUGAGCUCCUUGCUAACGUAGAACGCUUGAUUCUGGGUCAUGUUCCAAGGCAACUUAUAGAGUCCGUAAAAAAGAGGCAUGGAUCAUCCAAAGGUACAACACUUUCCUGAAAUCAGCCUGUAUUACAUGGGACACCAUGAAAGAUUGUCCGGUAUUCACUCUCGUAGAAGGUACGCACACUUUUAUCCUUGCAUAAAAAUUUGAGUAAUGCUAGACUUAUCACAUUUUACAUACUAUAUAUUGUGUACCACCUUUUUAAUAGAGGUAGGGUCCAUCAACAUAUGUGGGUCUCAUUUCAAUUAGAGAGGUGAUACAAAUAUGGUAUGAAAAAUGUGGUAAAAGUAGCAUUUUUGUAAAAAAAAUUCCACAAUGUAAUCAUUUGAACUAUAUUCCUCUUGUUUUUGUUCGUUAUUAUUUUGAUUUAUUCAAUUCUAAGGCUACGAAAAAGAGGAAGUAGUGCAUCGGAGUGUAAAAAUCAUUUUGCCUUAUAAUUUGCAUGUUCAAUCUUAUUCACAAGUCUGGCAAAGACAUAAUAUAUGCAUGCAUUGAGAUUUUAUUCAGUAACUGUGUUUCGUUUGUCUUGUAAUAUCCUUUUUGUAGAAUCAAGCCUCAGAAGCACUUGUGAGACUGCAAUCUUUUUUGCCAAUUGAUUUUGUGGUGAAUCUCGACUUUCGUUAUAGUAACAUAUCAGACUAUAUACGUGUGGAGUCAUUCACCCUGCAAGGAAGAAUCCGUUUGUUGUUUGUGUGUUGUGUGAAGUUGCAAACAUUGAUCGAUCUUGGUUUCUUAUUUGCCCUUUUUGAAAUUGAAUAAUGCCCAAUAUUCUAUUUGUGUAACUGAAACUUAUAUUGAUUGCUUGCGUGUGUUUUGAUGUAAUAAUUUUAGUUUGGAACUAAAUGUGUCACUGAUGAGAAUAAUGCCCAACAUUCUGUUUGUGUGUUACAAGAACUUAUAUUAUUGUUUGCUUACGUGUAUGUUGAUGGAAUAAUAUUGGUUUGGAACUAAAUAUGUCAUUGAUGAGACCAAUUCUAACUAAACCAAUGGUUAUGACCCAUUUUUCAUUUUCAAUAUUUAUUGUUUUUUUUUUUUUCAAGUUUUCAAAUAUAUAUAUUGUUUUAGGAAGGUAAAUUUUGUGGCGGAUGCUUUAGCUCACUAUGGUUUUAUUGCUAUUGAGAAUUAUUUGAUUUGAUGGUACGGUAUUACCAUGUCGGGUGAUAUACUUCCAUUCAAAUUUUAACAUGAGUGCAGUUUCUUACGGCUGGAUUAAAAACUUUUUUAAUUAUUUUUUUUUUCAGUUUAAACAAAAUUAAAAGAAAAAAAAAUUCUCAGCUCCUUCCGCCAAAGCCCCAGUUCCCCACCACCACCUUCAUUCCCUGCCAUCAAUUGCCAUGAUUGCCUGCCUCCUGAGAAAUCACAUCCACCGUCAUAAGAAAUAAUAUCAACCUUAAAGAAUUAAUAUUCACCUUCAACAUCCAGCAAUCAGUCCCCAGUGGCUCCUCAAGGACUCAGCCAUCGAAAUCCCCCAAAGCCCCAACGAAGUCUGAGUUGCGAACGGCUCCCUGCCGAAAUCUCCAUCUCGAAACACCGCCACGGGUCUCCAACAUCCGUUGAACUCGGCGUCAUCUUCCUCCGUUCCACGUCUGUACAAAUGGCAAGUUUGAAGUGAAAGUACCACAACUGACGUGGUGAUACUGUAUCAUUCUACAAUUUAUCGUCUCACGCUAGCUAACCCUCAUUUUUGGGACCAUUGCUUGCCUUAUCGCUCAUAAUGCUUGUAUGGGAUAGAUGUACAAGAAGAUUUAGUCUUUAAUAGAAAUUUCUUUGUUGAUAAAAAAAAAAAAAUGUGUGUAUAUAUAUAUAUACCGUAUUAGAAGAAAAUAAGUGAUUUUUGUAAAGUAAAUAAAUAAUAAGAAUAAUGUUAAGUACACUAAAUGAUGUGGCCCAAUCAAAAUUUUACUUUAAUUCAAGUUUGAUUUGAUUAAUAAUUGUAAUAAAAAUUUAGGGGUAUUUGUCGUUUUCUCCUCUGAACUUGUAAGGAAAUGCCAAUUUCCCCUUGAACUUUAAUUUUAGCCAAUUACCCCAAUGAACUUUUGUAAUUAGCCAAUUUACCCCUUGAUGUUAGAUUUGAGAAUUUUCCAUCCAAUUUUCCAUCCAACUCGGUCACAUGCAUGGCACAUGCCAAAUUUUUAAGGGUAAAAAAGUAAUUUUAUCCCUAAUGUAGACAUUCUAUCUUUAUUCUUCUUCUCUUCCACUAGUUCACUUCGUACAAUUUUGUCUAAAUUAGCUAUAGAAGUCUAAUUAGCAACUGAAAAAUAUUGGCUCAGUGCCCAGUUUACCAAAAUGAAAUUAACGAUUCUUACUUCGAGUGCUUUAAUAAAGUAAACAACAUCCACAAAAAAUAUGCAACAGACUUAACAGCCUUAACAGCCUUGCACCUAGCAUCCACAAAAAAUAUGCAACAGACUUAACAACAUCCACAAAAAAUCUACUGCAUAAUCCUAUUAAAAGACCAACUUAAUCUCAACACCAAAGGUUUUCAUUAACAGGACGAAAUGCCUUCGAACACAUUAUAGUUAUACUCUCCAUGGUCUUGGCUUUUUGGCAACACGUUGGGGUUGUGAUGCCAUUUCAUUAGCCUUUCUUGUGACUUGAUUCACACGACCGCCUCGGUACACCUAUUUGAACUCAACACGAAAGCAACAAAAAUGUUAGCAAACCCAAAACAACAAAAAUUAAUGUAUAACAAAUAUUUUUGUUUUUUAAUAAAAAAAAGACAGAUUCUUGUUAUUACAUGUAGUUUAGAAGUUCCUUGUGGCCUAGUUUGAGAUGGAGCAGCCCCCGAGUGAUGAUGUGCACCAGUUUCCUACAUCAAAACCAUUUAUACUCAAUUAUUUAUGUUCACCUAGCGACUAGAUAAGUGAUAUAACAAAACUCAAAAUAAAUACAAUCCUUAUUGAUCAAAUUACCUCUUUUGUGGGCACAAAACCUUGUUGUGAUUGUAGUAGCCUUUGUGGACAGCUUCUUUUGUUGUGUCCUUCCUCUCCACAGGUUUGGCAAUGCAUUACAACAUCAUAUUUCCUUAGCUUUGUUGGCCCCUUCUUUAUCUCAUCCGAUGCUUUUGUUCUUUUGCCUUUAGGUCUUCCAAGUUGCUUGUGGUAAAAAGGGGGUUUAAUAGGCCUAAGACCAGUUCUCUUCCACUGUUCUUUUCCAGGCAUAGGAGCAAUAUACCCUUCAUAACACCUAUCAUAAGCUGGCCUUUUGUAAAGUGAGUGAACAAACACUUGUGGACUAGCCUCCUUCCUAGCAAUUGCGGAUAUAGCAUGAGGUCAAGGAAUGCCACAUAGCUGCCACUUCCUACAAGAACAAGUGUGCCUUUCCAAAUCUACUACAAACAUACUACCAACCAAAGUAUGCACUUGAUAUUGACCAUUCCCUGAAUAAUUGGCAAAACAAUUGAAACCAUCCAUUUGAUUUUUUUUUCAACAAUCUUUAAAAUUCUAGGUCCAACCUGUUGGGUCCACUUAGCUUCUCUUAGCCUAGCCAUUCUCAACAUCAAAUAUUUUUGAAUCCUUUGUAACAUCGUAAUAAUCGGUUUAUCUCUUGCAUCUAAAAUUGCAGAAUUAAAUGACUCACACAUGUGAAUAACAAAUCACACUUUACUGAUGUUCUGAAAUGAGAUCUGCUCCAAUGGCAAGGUGGCUUAUCAGCUAGCCAUUUCACUGCCUUAUCAGAUUGAUAGACAAUCUGGUUCAACUUUAAAUGGCUUAUCAGCUAGCCACACAUAACCAGUUGAUAGACAAUCUGGUUCAACUUUAAGUGGACUUUCAAACCCUUGAUAUGUAUUAAUGCAGGGAUUUUGACGUGGAAAGAAAGAUAACUUGGUCAACUUUCAGUUGCUGAUCAACUGGCAUAGCCACCAGGCAAUCGCCAAACAUUAAACCAAAUGCCAGUACAAGUUUGUUGCUCAGUUCUAUCCGACAAGUCGCAUAAAUAUGGUACUUACACAAAUGUCUUCUAUCUUUUUCAAUAAUUACAACCCAUCCCCUUCUUGAAAAAUUUAAAAGGUUGAAUGGCGUGUGGGUGUGGCUGGGCUGGGAUUAGGGUGGGAGGGUGUGGGACGCAUAACUGAAUAAAACAAUGAAGGGACCCCAUAUACACACACGACUGGAAAAAUAACACGCAAAGCAAACCUUUCACAUAUUAAACAAACUGAAAAAGAAAAAGUGAAGACUUACUGUAUCUUGGAGGAUGCCCACCAUCCCUGACCACGAUACUCAUCGUUCUCAACUUCAAAACUCAAAAUACCUUCAAUAUUUGGUAGCAAUUUGUUGAUUUCACUGUCUAUUCUCCUUAUCUUUUCCCAGACUGUAACCCUAUAAUGCCCAAUUCUUUAUGGCUCGCCUUCCCCUGCUUCUCCAUAUACCCAACAACGAUUAGGUUUGGUUGUGGUGUAUGAUUACCAUUUUGUCCUCACACCAUUAGCAUGUGCAGAGCACGUGAUCGAAUUGGAUGGUAAAUUCUAAAAUAUAACGGCAGAGGGUAAAUUGGUGAUUUACACAAGUUUAUGGGGGUAAUUGGCUAAAAUUAAAGUUCAGGGGGGAAAUUGACUAUUGCUUACAAGUUCAGGGGGUAAAUCAGCGAAUACCCCAAAAAUUUAUAUGGUGUUAUACGUGUCAUAUCAUUUAGUGAACACAUUUGGCGCAUAAAUUUGGUGUAUAUAGCAUCACCCAAAAAAUAAUAUUAAAUGGGUGGUGUUAUUCAUAUUUCAUACACUCAUUUUUACGUCUCACACGUAUUUUUCAAUUUCAGGUCGUCAGAUCAAAUAAAUUGAAGAAAUCAAUGAACAAAAUCAACAAGAAUGUAUGACAAAUAAAAAGAAGUGCGUAAAUAGCAAUGUACUACCCUAAUAAUAAUAUGAUUGACCGGUUUGUGUAAAUAUCUUACUAAUACCAAAAAAAUAAAUAAAUGAUAUUCAUUAAAAACCUUUGUCGAUGUACAAUACACAAAUCUCACAUUCCUAAGGAAUUUAUGUAUUUUAGGUAAAGAAUAUAUAUGUCAUAUCCCGGCCCGGGGCGAAUCACUUCCUGGGCCCGCUCCACCACCGUAGCACGAUAUUGUCCACUUUGGGCCCCGACCACGCCCUCACGGUUUUGUUUAUGGGAACUCACACGAGAACUUCCCAGUGGGUCGCCUAUCAUGGGAGUGCUCUUGUGCGCUACUUGCUUAACUUCAGAGUUCGGAUGGAACCCGAAGCCAGUAAGCUCCCAAAAGGCCUCAUGCUAGGUAGGGAUGAGAAUAUACAUAUAAGGAUCACUCCCAUGAGCGAUGUGAGAUCUUACAAUCCACCCCCUUAGGGGCCCGACGUCCUCGUCGACAUAUCACAGUCAGGGUUAAGCUCUGAUACCAAUCUAUCACAUCCCGGCCCGGGGAGGAUCACUUCUCAGGCUCGCUCCACCACCGUAGCACAAUAUUGUCCGCUUUGUUUCUGGGAACUCACACGAGAACUUCCCAGUGAGUCACCCAUCAUGGGAGUGCUCUCGCGCGCUACUCGCUUAACUUCAUAGUUCGGAUGGAACCCGAAACCAAUGAGCUUCCAAAAAAUCUCGUGCUAGGUAGGGAUGGGAAUAUACAUAUAAGGAUCACUCCCCUGGACGAUGUGGGAUCUUACAAUCCACCCCCCUUAGGGGCUCGAAGUCUUCGUCGACACAUCACAGUCAGGGUUAGGCUCUGAUACCAAUCUGUCACAUCCCGGCCCGGGAAGGAUCACUUCCCGGGCUCGCUCCACCACCGUAGCACAAUAUUGUCCGCUUUGGGCCCCGAUCACGCCCUCACACGGUUUUGUUUAUGGGAACUCACACGAAAAACUUCCCAGUGGGUCACCCAUCAUGGUAGUGCUCUCGCGCGCUACUCGCUUAACUUCAAAGUUCCGAUGGAACCCGAAGUCAGUGAGCUCCCAAAAGGCAUCGUGCUAGAUAGGGAUGAGAAUAUACAUAUAAGGAUCACUCCUCUAGGCAAUGUGGGAUCUUACAAUAUAUAUAUAUAUAUAUAUAUAUAUAUAUUAUUGUUAUUUUUUGAGCAAACGAUAUUAUAUAAUUAAGGGGAAGUUGAGCUCUUACAUGACGGCUUGGGUUCAAAUCCCGUCGUAGUUAAUCUAACAAAAUCUAUCGUUUAACAAGAAAAAAAGGGGGAGCGGUAUGAUGUGGUUCAAAUUCGUCUUUGGCGAGAAUCGAACCUAAGACCUAUCACUUACAAGUGAAGAGGAAUACAAAUAUAUCAUAGUAAUGAGUGGCUUUAGGUUAAGAAUAUUAACAAAAAGAGCAUUCUAGAAUUUAGAGGUUGGGGUGUGAUAUCCACACACCUUUUUUUUACUUUUCACACACCCUUCUAAUUUUCGGCCGUUGGAUCGAGUGAAUUGAAGAAAAUCAAAGGGCAGAAAUUAACAAGAGGUGUGUGAGAAGUAAAAAGAUGUGUGUGGAUAACACACCCAUAGAGGUUGUGGUGUUUCAAACAAGUUCAGUUGAUAAUGUUCUCACAUGAUUGACAAAUGACAAAGAAUGCAUUCUAGAAUUUGCCGCACGGCCAACAUGGUCCGUCGACUGUAAAUGUUUAGAAGACCCUAAAUUAUACGUGCCAAGAGCUACAUAGACCUUAUUCGGAAUGGGUACAUAAGUACAAUGUAUGACGUUUUAUGCUAAUAAUACAAUGACGACAUGUGUAGGUUUCUCUUUACAAGACAAUUUAUCAUUGCAAUAAGAUGCCAUAGUGAUAGUAUAUUUGUGUCAUGUAAGUUACUCUCAUAAAAUAAAUAUUGUGGAGCCAAAAAUAAUUCUAAAAAUUCAGAAGACGACACGUGUACUUUAUUCCGAAGAAGACAAGAUUGACCUCAUUAAAUUAGGAGGGGCAAACAAAUACUCGCACGUGCACGUGCAACUUCUCGGGAAGUUCAAGCAGCUAACUACGACUGCUUAAACCUCUCUUGGGGGAAGUCACAAGUAUUAAAUAUAGGGUUAAUUACUAAAUCUUAUUUUUAAUACAUUCUCAAUCGAAGAUCAACUCAAUCAAGUAAGGAAUCCCUACAUAUCACAAUCAAUUAGGGAUGUUUCCACCAUUAUCCCAAGAUAGUUUCUCCUAAUUAAUAUAUUGGGAAUAUUUUUUCCUCAUUCAGAGCAACUCCACCCUUGGAGCCAUUCCCCCUGGCAAUCCACUAUUGAAUCCACCAUAUUGAACAGUAACUGCCUUUAAUGAAUAGUAACUAUCAUUAAUGAACAGUAAUUACCUUUUGCAUCUCCACCCUUGGAGCCCUCCCCCCUGACAAUAGGUAAUAAAAUAUUAUUAUUUUUUGUUUGUUUAAAUAAUACAAAAUAAAAAAAAAACAUUGAAAUGGGGCUGUAGGCCUUCGGGCUGACACAAAAAAAAUAAAAAAUGCCUGGCCCUUGGGCUGCAGGCCUGUCAAUUCCACACCCCCAUUGUGCUCGAGCUCUCCAAGGCUGGAGGGUUGUCCACCGGGCCUCGGGCCCUUUCCUGAUGCCUGUCCCCCAAGCAAUCCACAAGGGUGGACUUGCUCUCAUCCAACGGAUGAGAAACGUUUCUUUCAUAUGAAGAAACUCGCCAGUUAUUCCUUCUAUAUUUGUGAUAGAGUGCAUCUUCACACGAAAGGAUCAUUCGGUUCUUGUCAUGUGAAAUAUGUGUUUCUCGGAUUUGCAUAGUAAUUUUGUGCACAGAAUCUUAUGGCUUCAGUUUUUUCCAGGUGAGCAGGUUGUGUAACUUGAUUUUGUUAUUAUUCUUUUGUAAACACGAUAUUCUCGUUCGGUUGCUACGAUUAUCAGUGUGGCCGGAAUACUACUUGUCCCAAACGCAUGGGGAAGUGCUCUAUAUUGUUCGUGAACUCCGUGUGUUAUGGGACUGUUGUUCCUGUUCAUGGGUGGAUUCUGACAAGCUGCAACACCAGGUAAUGUAGCUUGUACAUCAACUGUUUCAUGUUUCCAUAAGUGGUGAGAUAAAUUUGUUGGGUCUGAUUGAUUCAAACAGGAUUAUGGUACCCUUUUGAUGAAGGAGGCCGAGCGGUUUGCUAGCCGGGGAGCAUCGAUAGAAAAAGACUGCUUGAGCUUGAAGGGAAACACCCAAAAAUAAGACUAAGGUUAGACUUUAUGCAACAAAUGACUGAGACUUUAUUGUUAGCAUAUUGAAUAGAAGGACGACGUCCAAAUAAUACAAAUUUUGAACAGCAAAACCGAACCACCUCCUAACGAAUCUACCUAGCUAUUUUUCUUGUGUUACUUUUUCAUUCUCUAUUCUUCAUGUUGAUUUCCAUAUUGAUCUUCUGCUUCGGACUGUGAACAGAAUUGAAUCAAAAGAACCAUAUGAGGAAACCAACAUCAAGUGCGCAACGGAAAAGUUGCUCCUUUUGUGACAGAAAGGUCAUGGUUCAAGUCGUGGGAACAAUCUAUCUGCAGAGUAAGGGUAAGACUGUAUACGAUAGAUGUCCUCCUCCUGACCCUCACAAAGUGGAAGACUUGUUGCCUUGGGGUCGUCCUUUUACUUUUUGAUUCUUAAAUCUUGAUGUUGAUGUCUGUCUUGCUCUUCCGCUUCGGACUCUAUCCUUUAAAGAUAUAAUUAUCGACUACGAACUGAUAAAUUUUAGUUAGAAACCCUUUCAUUUCAGAUGAAUAAGCUCUGACAAAAUUCGUCAUUUGUCAUUUGGCUCAAAAAAUUGACCCCCACAGGAAAUUUACAACUUCAACUAUGAGAAUUAUGCAUUGCACACUCUUGGAAAUAUAUAGCUAAACAAAUUUAUGAAACCUUUUAGCCCUCCGACUAUUUUGCUUCUUGAAAUGAGUUUCACGACUUUGAAUAGACAUUUAAUUCCUUUCUUGAUAUUGUCCACCAAAAUCUCGAAAAACUUUUGAGUCUGCUACCAUGCACAUGAGGAGCAAGCUUUCUGGCAAUGGGUUUUACUCGGUCCUCAAUAAUAUAUCAACCUCUGAUCGAGUCGCCCCACUCUGCUUAUUCUCCAAAACCUUCAUCAUCAGUUGUUGAAUGCAUUCCAACUUUGGCCUCUCUCCCCCUUCAAGCUUUCAUAAAUCGUCUUUCCAACAACUUGCUUAACGAUCUCAAACUUCAUCGACGCGUUCUGCUUUCUUCCAAUAAUCUCGAAGACCAUAGUGAUGAGUUCUCGUUCCUCUGAACGCUCCCUUGCCAUUUCUUGUUCUUUCUUUCUGUAUAUGAGUUUGAGAUCGUUAAACAAGUUGUUGGAAAGCCAAUUUAUGAAAGCUUGAAGGGGGAGAGGGCCAAAGUUGGAAUGAGAACUCAUCACUAUGAUUUUCGAGAUUAUUGGAAGAAAGCAUAACGCGUCGAUGAGGUCAGAAGUUAAUGUUCAGUUAAUGUCUAAGUUUGAGAUCGUUAAGCAAGUUGUUGGAAAGCCGAUUUAUGAAAGCUUGAAGGGGGAGAGAGGCCAAAGUUGGAAUGCAUUCAACAACUGAUCACGAAGGUUUUGGAGAAUAAGCAGGGUGGGGCAACUCGAUCAGAGGUUGAUAUAUAUUAUUGAGGACCGAGUUUGAAAUCAUUAUGAAGCGCGUUGCUGAAAAUCCAUUGCCAGAAAGCUUGCUCUUCAUGUGCAUGGUAGCAAACUUAAAAGUUUUUUGAGAUUUUGGUGGACAAUAUCAAGAAAGGAAUUAAAUGUCUAUUCAAAGCCGUGAAACUCAUUUCAGGAAGCAAAAUAGUCGGAGGGCUAAAAGGUUUCAUAAAUUUGGUUAGCUAUAUUUCCAAGAGUGUGCAAUGCAUAAUUUUCAUAGUUGAAGCUGUAAAUUUCUUGUGGGGUCAAUUUUUUGAGCCAAAUGAAGAAUUUUGUCAGAGCUUAUUCAUUUGAAAUGAAAGGGUUUCUAACUAAAAUUUAUCAGUUUGUAACUGAUAAUUAUAUCUUUAGAGGAUAGAGUCCGAAGCAGAAGAGCAAGACUGACAUGGCCAUCAAGAUUUAAGAAUGAAAAAGUAAAAGGGCAACCCCAAGCUACCAAGGUUCUCCGCUUUGCUAACAUCUAUCGUAUGCAGCCUUCAAAGGAACAAGCACUCAUCGUGAUGGUCUUCGAGAUUAUUAUAAGGAAGCAGAAUGUCGACGAGGUCAAAAGUUGAUGUUCAGUUAAUGUUCGUUUGAGGUCGUUAAGCACUCAGUUGCUAGAAAACCGGUUUCUAGAAAGCUUGAAUGGGGGGAGAUGUCAGAGUUGGAAUGCAUUCAAGAACUGAGGACAGAGGUUUUCAAGAAUGAGCAAAGUGGAGCAACUCAAUCAAAGGUUGACAUAUUAUUGAGGAGUUUGAAAUCGUUAUGAAGCGCGUUGCUGAAAAACCCGUUGUCAUGAAGCAAAGCAGUCGAAGAGUUGAAAGGUUUCAUAAAUUUGGUUGGCUAUAUUUCGAAGUGUGUGCUAUGCAUAAUUUUCAUAGUUGAAGCAGGAAGGUAGCCCAAUAUUCUUCGUCGCGAUGGAUGUACAUCCUGCUGACUCCAGUGCUCAGGAAGCUUGGAGGGCAUCUUAGACUGGAGUUGUAGGCAUGCCAUAGCCACACACGAAAAAAGUAUGAAAGCAACAGUUCAUGGGGCACAGGUAACUUCAAUGGACAUUGUGUCAGUUAAAAAACAAUUAAAGAAGAUAACAGAGCUUGCAAUGAAUGGAGAAAGGUUUCAGAGGGCAGGGCGUUUAUGCAUAGGCCUCUCCCCCAUAUACUAAAUAAAUCACUCAUCGCAUGAACAGCAUGUGAUUGUAGCUGUGAUAGGAGAAAUUUUUCAUUGUGUCCGUAAUACGAGUGGUACACUACGUGUUAUUACGUAGGAGGAAGUUUUAUAUUGUAAGUUGUUAAUUUUUUAACACAAAUAUCUCACCACAUAUAUUGUGACAUGUGAUGUAUAAUUCCGUGUUCCGAACAAGCGCUAAAAAAAUCUCUCGAUGAGAUGAAUACAAUUGCUCCAUUUAAGAGUAUGAAGUUCAAGAAAUGGUUGAUUUUUUAUAUUUAAAUAAAAAGUUUUAAAAAAAUGCAUUGAAUCAGUUGCAAAAUAAUUUUUAUAGUUUUUUUUCCUUCUGUAUUCUUUUUUUUUUGUUAAUUCAUUUUUAAUUUAAUAGUUUAAAUAUAAAAUAAAACCAAUGAAAUUACAGUUAUAACCUUUAAUACAUAACUAGAAGAAAAAAAAAUUAGAUAAGGAAAAAAUGUGGGCAUUAAUUCCACACGAACAACUUUUUGCUUUUUUUUUUCUUUGAACCUGACAAUCAUGUCACCUUAUCUUUACCCUCUAAACUCACACUCUCUCUCCUUAACAGCCAACCCUUUUUUUUAUGUCUACCAACCCUUUUUUUUGUUUUAUCAAACAAUAUUAUUUACACUAAGGGAUGAAUGAGUGAGUUAAGUCUCAUAAUGAGCCAGCAAUAAUGCAGUUCAAAUUUACCUUUGGCGAAAAUCCAACCUCAGACCUCUCACCUACCAAUGAAGAAGAAUAUCACUAGAUCGUAGUAUUGAGUGCCAACAGUUAAAAACAAAUAACUCCUCCCUUUAAAAAAAAAGGGAAAACUAAUGAAAAUGGUUUGAAAACUUUGAGUUUUAACGAUAAAAACAAAAUAAAGGGUAAAGUGAAUAGUAUCGGAAUUGACUUUUUAGUGUAAAAAUGUGGUUUUUCGUUAAAGUGAAUGGUACCGGGAGUUUUUCUUUAAAUUCCUUUAAAAAAAACCAAUUUUUGAGAAAAGUAAAAAUAAAAAUUAUAUUUCUCACAGAUAGUGUGUGUGGCAUUUGCUAGUAUACAUAAUGUGAGAAGGCUAAAAAGGCGACACUUUCAAAAUACCUAAAAUGCCCCCUCUUCAAAGAAUGCAAUUUAAUAAAACUACUUCAAAUACAUGACUGACUAGUUACUAAUAUAGUUUUUUAUAUUUUCAUUUAGCUUUCAAUAUACCUAAAAUGCCCCGUUUUCAAAGAAUGUAAUUUGACAAAACUACUUCACAUACAUGACGGAGUAGUUACUUAUAUAUCUUUAAUCUUUAAUAUUAGAAAGCGAGAAGGAGAGUUUGGUGUCUUAAGGCUUCACCAAAAAAAAUUGGACCAUAAAACCCCUCAAACAAAAAAAAAUCAAAACUGACAGAAAAAAUACAUAUAAAAACCCCAAGGCUAAUUUCGUCAGAAAAAAAAUAUAUUUCAUUUUUUAAAAAAUAAAAUUUUAGUAGAAAAAAUUUAAAACAACAAACGUGGAAGACACAACUUCAACCACGUUCAGCAGUUUUCGAAAAAAAAGGGAAAAAAACACGAAAAAUAAAAAAGGAAAAAACUUCCGUGCAAAAACUGAAACCCAUUAUCUUGCGAACUGAAACCCCAUUAUCUUGCCAUGCCGAUAGAAUUAAAACCCACUACGGGAUCCUGUUUUCUGGAAUCUGGAUCCGUCUCUCACUAACUCUCUCUCUCUCCCUCCUCCGCAGCCACCUCUCUUUCUCCCUCCUCCACGGCCACCGCCAGCCGAACCUCCUGUCACUAGCUCCUCCCAUCUAACUAUCUAUCCUCUCCAAACCACCACCGAUUUAAUCCCGAGGUAUACACUUUUUGGUUUUUCAAUUUUUUUAUUUAUUUUUAUUUGUUUCAUCGGUACAGGCUUUUGUAUUUAUUGUAUUAAUAGGAGAAAUAACCCAAAGAGAUGAUAAUUUGUAUUUGAUUUCAAUUGCCAGAGUCGAAGCUCUGAAAAGGGAGCAGCAUCCAACCGCACUAGCAACUUUCAUGUAAGCUCCGAUCUUCCUCUCGCUCUAUCUCAGUUACCCAUUUGUUGUUCAUCUGGAUCUUGCUUCGAUUAAGCUAUUUGUGACUUAAACCGUCGCCUUCAUUGCCAUCUUCUCCAGGUACCCAACUUCCCAAUGUAAAAAACUAGGGUUCCAUUACCCUUUCGAAUUUCUCUCAUUUUUUUUGUGAUUUUGUUCCUGGGUUUGAUUCUUUAAUUUGAUUUUACUGGAAGUGUUUUACAGUUUUGGGUUGGAGAGAAGGAGAAGGAGAAAAGAGAGGAAGCAUUUUACCGAGGGAAAGGUGAAACUCUGUUUGCUUCUUUUCCCAUACAGGUUGUUCUGAUUGGGAUCAGUUUUAACCCUCUUCGUCCUUUGCACACACAACCACUCCACCUCUUCUUCUUUUUAUUUUUUUUAUAUAUCCAGGACAGUUUGAAGAUUUUGCUUCCUUGGAAAUCUAGCGGCAAGAAAACAUCCGUACGUUUUGGUUUCAAAGUUGUUCUUUAUUGUUUCAGUUUAAAUAAUUUGAUUAUUUUUUUACGAAAAUUAUGCAGAUAAGAAGAAGUCCACCCAUUGAUACUUCCAAGUUCCACGUAAGAUGUUGGGGAUCCUAUAUUUGCUUUCUUAUAUGUUUCUACAAUUUGUCUGUGUCUGAGUGUUGAGAUUUUUGGGCUUAUUAGAGCACACUAAACCGAAUAGGAAUCGGCGAGCGAGAGAGGGUGGGUGGUGCCACUGCAAUCCUACUUCUUCUGCUCUUCCAGUGCCUUCCAGGUAUUUCUCUUCAUUAUUUCUUGCUUUGUACUCUUUCUAACUUAUAUUUGUUCCAUUUUUUUUCUCAAUUUAUAUGUUGCGGUGAGAAAUAUGUCCUUUAAUUGUCUUUUUCUGUCGGCGUUUGUGAUGAUUGCUAAUAAAAGAAACGUUUGUGAUUAACCAAACGACAUAGGUUUUGCAUCAGCUGAAGAUUUUGCUUCCUUGCAAAUCUAGAGGCAACAAAUUUUGUUGUAUGUUAACCAUUCUGUUUUCUAUUUGUUUUCGUAACUCUUUUUGCUUUCGAAGUUUACUGCUCGGUUAAAUUUUUGUACUAAAUUCUUCAAGUUGUUAAGAUUGGGUAAAUUUAGGGAUUCAUGAAUGGGUCCGUGGUUGAAGCUCAGGAAAAUUAGCUCAAUCGGAUCUGCAAAUGGGUUAAUGCCUACUGUCUUAAUUUUGGUUAUGGUGGUAUAUGUUCGGCUCCGUCCUAUUAGUUUGUGUUAGUCUAUUUUUUCCUUUUUGAAAUCCCCAAUGUUAUGUGUUCUAUCAAUUCGAUAGUGUACAUUUCAUGAAUCUUUUAACUGUGAUCUAAUUUGUGUAAGCAUCAUUUUCCAUUGUUGAAUUUCAAUGCUAUGUUUCCAUAUUUUCCUUCAAUUUUACCUUUAUUAAGAAUCAUCCAAAUUGAAAUUUCAGUUUUAAGAUUUCCAGAGGACUUCAACAUAUCAACUAUGGAGGGAAUUGAUAGAAGCAAUAUGUCAGAGGUUCUUACCUUAUCUCUAUUAUUCCUCUUCUAUAGAGAUGAUUUAUUUUUUCUUCUUUUUCAAAAAUAAAAUAAAAUUCAUUCUUUUUGGCAAUUUCUCAAUGUCGGUCGACAAUGAAGAAAUUCACUUCGGACAAACAAAUGUUCAAAAUUCUCAACAGUCAAACCAAAGUUAUCGUAGGAGCAAUCAACAAAGGCAAAGACGACAAUCUAUGAAUUCAUCACAGCGGGCUCAAAUUUCAAUGCGACGACGUGCCAAUUAUCAAACACGAUUGAACUCAGUAAAUAUAGUACAAAAUCAAACGGAAGUAAACCAAGAUGAUAUAGGACCAACAUCGGUGGGUAACUAUGAUUUCUUAUUUUUUUUUGUCUCUAUUAAUUAUAUAUUUGUAAAUUCAUAUGUUGUAUGAAUAUUUUUGUACAAAUUAUUAAGACACAAUCUAUUAAGAUUGAACGAAUAGUUAUCUUACAUUGUCAUUGCCUUUCGUACUAUCAAUGGAAACAUCCACUUAAUAAUUAUGUUAUGUCUAUAACAAUUUCAACAUUCGGAUUGUAUAUAUUUACCACAGUGACCAACGUUUUAACAAGUACCCCAACAAAAAAAAACAAAUAAAAAAGGAAAGAAAUAUGUCUGGAACGGUAAGUGAUAAAUUUUUUAUGUAAACUUGGAAUAACAGUUCAACUAUAAUAGUCAAGGGAAAAAUAUAAAAACAAUUACAAUUAUGUCCAGCCAUCUUCUAGAUUAAAAUAUUAAAAUAACAGUUAAACUUGGUAAGUGAUAAAAUUUUUACGUAAACAGCUUCAAAUUUAUUGCUUCCAAUUAUGUGCAGCCAUCUUCUAGAUUUCACCCUUCACCUCCAUACUUGGUACUAUACUUUUUAAAGCAUAUACAUUAACAAUUACAAUGGAAAAAAAACUAACACAAUACAUAUUUACAGGCGCGUAGCGCCCGUGAUGCAAAAAUGCCUCUCGCACGCACGCUAGUGCAGAGAGGCUAGUUCAUUAUUAUAUUUUUAAACACAUGUAAAUUCAGUUUUUUUUUUAAUUUAUGCAUAUAACGAAGAAGAGCAAAUUGCCACACGCCUGCGAGGCUAGUAAAGAAUAUAAAUUCAGGAGGCCAAAUGGUGAAUCAUUCAUAAUCCCAAAAAUACCCUCUCUAAUUAAAAGUUUAAAUAAAACAAUUUAAUUUCACAAAAAAUACAAACUAACAAAAGAAAAAAUUGUCAAAGGUGUAAGCGUGUAGCAAGAAACUACUUGCAAAAAGAGAGAAUAACAAUACGAAAAUCAUCUUUGUCACAUUUUAGACCAAAUUGACACAUUAAGAAGUUGCCAAAUUUUUUGAGAAUAUUACUAAAUAUGUCUCAUAUUUCAAAAUCAAAUAUCAAUUCGUUUUUGAAUUUCAUACCCAAAGUUAAAAUUAAAAAUAGUUUCAGUCUUUUUAGUAUUUUUCAUAGAAUGAAAAUAAUUAUAGCCAAUUGAUCAAAAAACAAUAAAGUUUGUUCAACCUUAGACCAUCUCCAAUGGUUGUGCUAAAAACCAAAUAUUUUAGCCCGAAAAAUUUAGUUUUUAGCCCAAAAAUAGUUUUUUUGCUCCAACUGUUAUAGCCUAAAAUUUUAGCCCGGGAUUAUUAAAGAAUGAACUUAGACUAUUUUUUUUCUUAAAUUAAUUUUUUUUAAUUAAUAUGUAGACUAUCGUAAAUUAAUUUUAUGAAUAUUCUAAUAAAUUUUUUUUUAAUUCCGAUAAAUAUUUUCAUUCGGUUCGGUGGAGCUCAUACCGAUUUCUGGGCUAAAUUUUGGGGGAAAUCUGGCAUUGGUUUAGCAUUUAGCAUUUAAUCCAAAUUUUCGCCUUGGGUUGGAGUGAGUUUGGGGGAAAACUUUUAGGGUAAUUUGACUUUUAGCCACCAGAGAUGAUCUUAACAAACACGGACUGUAGCUAGACUUGUAAACGGGUUGGGUUUAUUGGGUUUGGGUCGGGUUCAACCCGACCCGUUAAGUUAACGGGUCACCCGAACCCAACCCGUUAAGCUAGCGGGUCAUCCGAACCUGAUCCGUUAAGCUAACGGGUCACCCGUUUCACCCGUUAUCACCCGUUAACAAUUAUUAUUAUUAUUUUUUUGCAUAAAGUUUAUUUUUUGUUAUUAAGACUUUACUAAAAUUACUAAAAUAUCAUCAACUAAUGGGUGCUAACGGGUGUUAACGGGUCCUAACGGGUCUAACGGGUUGACCCAAAGUGACCCGUUAGCGACCCGACUCGUUAAGUAUCCACCCAAAUACAAAUAUUAACGGAUUGGGUCAGGUCGGGUUAACGGAUUGGGUCCAAAAUGUCUCAUAUUUCAAAAUCAAAUAUCAAUUCGUUUUUGAAUUUCCUACCCAAAGUUAAAAUUAAAAAUAGUUUCAGUCUUUUUAGUAUUUUUCAUAGAAUAAAAAUAAUUUUAGCCAAUUGAUCAAAAAACAAUAAAGUUUGUUCAACCUUAGACCAUCUCCAAUGGUUGGGCUAAAAGCCAAAUAUUUUAACCUGAAAAUUUUAGUUUUUAGCCCAAAAAUAGUUUUUCUGCUCCAACCGUUCUAACAUAAAAUUUUAGCCCGGACUUAUUAAAGAAUAAACUUAGGCUAUUUUUUUCUUAAAUUAAUUUUUUUAAAUUAAUAUGUAGACUAUCGUAAAUUAAUUUUAUGAAUAUUCUAAUAAAAAAAAUUUAAAAUUCCGAUAAAUAUUUUGACUCUGUUCGAUGGAGCUCAUACCGAUUUCUCGGCUAAAUUUUGGAGAGAAUCUGACAUUAGUUUAGCAUUUAGCAUUUAGUCCAAAUUUUCCCCUUGGGUUAGAGUGAGUUUGGGGGGAAACUUUUUAGGGUAAUUUGACUUUCAACUCACCAUUAGAGAUGGUCUUAACAAACACGGACUGUAGCAUAGAAACGGCAGUUCCUGUUAAACCUCUUUUCCUCCCCUCACUCUUCUCUCCCAUGGCAACUGCAGUGCUGCCAGUAUCCGUGCCCGCCAGAAAGCAACCCCGACCCGGUCAGGGCGGAUUCGAGGCCCAUGGACUAUCCGAAGGAGAGGCCUGGGUCCGAGCCAUCGCCGAAAUCGUCAGCUCCAUGGUCGACCUCUCCCGGAAGACCAAAACGCCCUCAGGACCACCGCGUGCCGCAAGUACGGUCUCUCACGUGCGCCGAAGCUGGUUGAAAUGAUCGCGGCUCUGCCGGAGUCGGACCGUGAGGCUCUUCUCCCUAAGCUCAGGCCAAGACGGUCCGAACCGCCUCAGGCAUCGCCGUCGUGGCCGUGAUGUCGAAGCCUCAUAGGUGCCCCCACAUCGCCACCACCGGGAAUAUUUGCGUGUACUGCCCCGGUGGUUCCGAUUCGGACUUUGAGUACAGCACUCAGUCUUACACUGGAUACGAGCCUACUAGCAUGCGCGCAAUUUGGGCAGGUAUGGCUUUCUCUAGUUCAUUGACGCAUUUUAUCGAACACUUGAUAGGGAAUUCAAAAUUUAUGUUAUUCAUGAUUCGUUUCGAAGUUUAAAGUUUUCGGCUUGAUUGAUUUUUCACCAUGAAAUUGAGAGCUUUGUAAUGAAGAGAUUAUUUGAAGGAAUUGGUGUUUAAAAUUGGAUUAGUGAAGUUAAUUUGGUAGUUAAUCUUUUGGUUUUGUGUGUUUAGAUACAACCCAUAUGUCCAGGCUAGAAGAUCAGCUGAAGAGAUUGGGUCACAGUGUAGACAAGGUUUGGAGAUUUCCAUGAUAGAGUAAUAUGCAUGGUUGUCGCCUUAUAACUGGUACUGAAUUUGUGUUUUCAGGUCGAGUUCAUCUUAAUGGGCGGUACUUUCAUGUCGUUGCCCGCAGAUUACCGUGAUUACUUUAUUAGAAAUCUGCACGAUGCGUUAUUGGGACACACUUCUGCCAAUGUUGAAGAGGCAGUUGCCUACUCUGAGCAUGGUGCUACUAAAUGUAUUGGAAUGACCAUUGAAACCUGAGAUUUUAGUUUAUUUCCGAAGCCUUUAAUUUCUCAUUCUUGUGUUUAAAUUGGCUGACAGUAAUUUUUUCGCUUACCAUCUUGUUUCCAGUUCAUCUGGUCGGUCCAGAAAGUUAACAAAGGUAGUUGUAACUUUUUAUUCUGCUGGAGGCCAGAUUAUUGCCUUGGACCUCACUUGAGACAAAUGCUUUCUUAUGGUUGUACAAGACUAGAAAUUGGAGUUCAGAGUACAUAUGAGGAUGUGGCUCGGGACAACAAUAGAGGGUCAUACCGUAGCUGCAGUGGCUGAUUGUUUUUACUUGGCAAAGGAUGCUGGUUUUAAGGUCAGCCUAGUACCUUAUCAUAAAACUCACUUACCUUCACCGUGGGAAAAGAUUGGAUUUUGGACCUUUUAUAUCUACAGUGACAGGAGAUUAAUCU